AUCUUCCCUAUGGAUUUCGAGCUAAUACAUGGCUUGUACCUCCAUCUGUUGCUGAGUCUCCAUCAAAUUUCCCAUGCCUACCGGCAGAAGAUGAGAAUUGGGGUGGCAAUGGCGGAGGCCAGGGAAGAGAUGGAGAACAUGAUUUACGACCAUGGGCGAUGGAAUUUGCUAUACUGGCUAGGCUUCCUUGCAAAACUGAAGAGGAGAGGGUGGUUAGAGAUCGGAAGGCCUUUUUGCUUCAUAACCAAUUUGUUGAUGUCUCAAUUUUUAAAGCUGUUGGAGCAAUACGCCGUCUCAUUGAUUCAAAUUUACACACUCAAGAUACAAUCAAUGUCCAAAAGGGGGCAAUCUUGCAUGAAGAUCGUGUGGGAGACUUGUCCAUUACAGUAAAACGUGAUACAGUAGAUGCAAGCUUGAAGUCUGAGGUUACUAUUAAAGGAAAUCAGUUAUAUGGUAUGUCUACUGCAGAAGUUGCUCAAAGGAAUUUACUAAAAGGUGUUACUGCAGAUGAGAGUGUAGUUGUUCACGUAAGUCAAUUUCUCCUUUACUUCUUAUUCUUACGUUCACAGACCACACGCAUAAAAGACAUUCAUCAAAGCUGAAAUUACUUACGUGGGCGGAAUAAUAUAGCUCUACCUUUGUCAGGGAGUGAUUUUUCUGUCGGAUUAAGAUGUUUCACUCUUUAUCUGAUAUCUAGCAUUUGAUGAUGGCCUAAAAUACCCAUCCUCUUCAUUCUCUCUUUCUACACAUUUAUGAAUGCACAAGAAAGUCCAUUUUAGGUUCUUUCCUAAGAAUCACUACUCGUUGCUAACCUUAUAUAUCUGGUUUAGCUUCAUGAAUCUUAUGUUGCCAUUCUGUUUGGUGACUCCCUAUUCUGUUGAAAUCACUUGAUAGCAGGUCUUUCUACCCAUUUUAUCCAUAUCCCUCUGAUUUUCUACUUGUAGUUUGCUCCAGCUUAAUGUCAUCAACCCUUUUUGGGGAAGCCUAUUAACCUUGGUUGGGCAUGCUUGUAUUAUAUCAACUAGUGAUACAAUUGCUAAAGUUUUCAGCAUGGUAGAUCUUGAAAUAAAAUUUUCUUGAAAUAUCUAGAUUUAUCUUCCUUUUCCUUUUCUCUUUCUUUUAUUUUAGUUUCAAAGAUUUUGUUAUAAAGAGAACUGAAACAAUAUAGUUUUUGGCAGGAUACCUCCUCAUUGGGUACCGUCAUUGUAAGACACUGUGGAUACACCGCCGUAGUAAAGGUUGUUGGUGAUGUGACGGAGAAGUUUGGCACACAAGAUAUUGAAAUUGAAGAUCAACCUGAUGGAGGAGCUAAUUCUCUUAAUAUUAACAGGUUUGAAAUUGUAACACAAUGCUUCCUCUGUUGAUUCCUCUUAGCACACAAAGACUAGGAAAUCUACAGAUGGAGAAUGGCUGUAAGAUAUGAAAAAUUAUCUUUCAACCACUAACCGUUUUAAGCUAUUCUGCAAGAUAUCUUAGAAAUGCUAACUGGUAUGAGCUUCUUUGCUUAGUGUCUAUCACAGUUGAAUUCAUGAUGCAGAGCAUUGUUAUUCUCCUUAUUUUUACCAGAUAGAACAUGAUUGAAAUGCUGUUGUUGGGGAUUCUUAAGAAAGGAUAGCACCUGCUCCUUUUUCUUCCUGUUUAGAUGGGAUCUAAUCAGUAGAUGUCUGAACUCUUAAGGGGAGUUGAUGUCAUAUUUCUAAACCAGGUUUUCUUCAAGUGUUAAGUUUAUGAAUAGGCCAAAGAAAAGAAACCUGAUAUCUAGUUAGGGAUAUGUACUCCUCUUUCAGCAUCCUAUGGACCAGAAAAUGGCUUUUCCUCCACUAAAAUAUGUGUGAGAUUCUUCACUGUAUGGGGAUGCUUCACCUCUACAUAGUUGUAGACCACCUAAAAAAUAACGAGUGGUUGCAGGAAACAUUAAGUCAUGGCUUUCACAAUAAUGUUAUAUUAACAAAAUAACCAACAGACAUCGUUGAUGAUGUUCAAAUAAAGGAUAAAGGGAAGUAUAAUUACAGUGGAUGCUCAGUUGCUGAAAUAGGUCAUCAGCUUUUUGGAUUGUGCUAUUUCAGAAAGUAUUUAGACCUUCUUUGGUGGAUUCUGCCUUUGUUUCAUAUACUCUUAUAUAUUUCUCCAUUUAAGUUGUUCUGACAGGGUAAACUAUUUAUUGCAGCUUAAGGCUUGUACUUCAGAAGUCUUUCAGUGCUGAAUCAGCUAGAGGAGACCAGUCACCUCUGUGCAAUUUGAAUAAUUCAGAAGCUCUUAGAAGUCUUGUACGAAGAGUUAUUAAACAGAGUUUAGCAAAGCUAGAGCUGGAGCCAACUGCGUCAGAAAGAUCUAUUAGAUGGGAACUUGGUUCUUGUUGGGUGCAACAUCUACAAAAGCAGGAAACCCCAACAGAUACCAAGUCAACGAGGUCUGGGGAUGAUAUUGAGACUGAACAUGCUGUCAAAGGUCUUGGGAAGCAAUUUAAAUUUUUGAAGAAGAGGGAGAGCAGACCUAACCUUGUUGGUAGCAAUAAUAAGGCUAACGAAGAUGACAAUGGACCGUGCAGCAUGAAUGUGGGAACUAAUGGCAGACAGCAAAGCAAUGGCGAGCUCAAUUGUGAGAUGGAAUUGAAAAAACUAAUUUCUGAAGAAUCCUUCUUGCGAUUGAAAGAAACUGGCACUGGCCUUCAUUCAAAGGUUUCAAAAUCUCAAAUUUGUUUUCAACUGUAAAGUUUGCUACUUUUUGUGUUUUCAUUAUGCUAAAUUUGGUUUGUUUUAUUUUCAUAUGGAAUGACUGGUAAAAUUAAUUUCUUGUGCAGGCAGUGCAUGAGCUUAUGAAAAUGGCAUACAAAUAUUAUGAUGACAUUGCUUUACCAAAGCUGGUACUAUUUAAUUUAUUUAGGGCCUUUGUUGCAGCCAAUUUAGACGUGUGAGGAUGGUUUAUGGACUAAUUUGCAUUCUUUAUUAGGUAACAGACUUUGGAUCACUUGAACUUUCUCCGGUUGAUGGCCGCACACUGACAGACUAUAUGCAUUUAAGGGGACUACAAAUGCGCUCUUUAGGUCACGUGGUGAGGAAUUUCUCCCUCUCUUUCUCUCUCAGACAUGUAACCUAUUCACCCGUGGAAAUCGGAAUAAACAAAUUUUGUCUUUCUUUAUGUAAACAAAGCCCCUAAGUUAUCUUUCUAUAUGUAAACAAUCUCCCCAAGUCUUCCUGGAUUGAAUUAUCAAUGUUCCUUUUUGAAAACUGUACUACAUGAUAGAAUUUUUGACCAGGUGACCUUUUCCAAGAUAUUGAAUUAUUGUCGUCUUUAGAUAUUACUGUAUGUUGUAUGACAUACAAUAUUUUGAGAAAUUGACAUGCUAAUACUUGAAAGCCUGGUAUUCUUCUUCUGUUGGUUCUAAUCCCAUUUACAAAUUCAGGUUGAACUUGCAGAGAAGCUUCCUCACAUACAAUCACUUUGUAUUCAUGAGAUGGUUACUCGAGCGUUCAAGCAUGUACUUAAAGGAGUCAUCGCAUCUGUUGACUAUUUAUCAGACCUAUCUGCAGCUAUAGCUUCUUCCCUAAAUUUCUUAUUUGGCUGUUGUGAGAUGGAAGAUGACCAAAGCUUGAAUGAAGAUCAUAUCCUUAGAUUGCAGUGGCUACGAACAUUUCUUGGCAGAAGAUUUGGUUGGUCCCUGAAAGACGAGUUUCAGCAUUUGAGAAAGAUUUCAAUUCUACGUGGGCUUUGCCAUAAGGUAAGGUACUGUCUUUCGGUUCCUUUGGCAGCGGAUUAUUUUCAAAACUUGAAUUUUGCUUGUAAACUUUACCCAGGUUGGGUUGGAGUUGGUUCCAAGAGAUUAUGAUAUGGAAUGCCCAAACCCAUUCAUGAGAGAUGAUAUUGUCAGCAUGGUUCCUGUGUGCAAGGUGAGACUAUUUUCUCUCUUAAUUGUGUUUUGAUUUAGUUUUUACAUUCUCAAUGAGUCACUCAUUUGUAAAUUGAAUGUAAUUGUGCUAUUUUUAUGGCAUUCUACAGCAUGUAGGUUGCACUUCAGCUGAUGGACGGACUUUAUUAGAGUCAUCCAAAAUUGCCCUUGAUAAAGGAAAACUAGAAGAUGCUGUAAAUUAUGGGACAAAGGUAAUAACCCACUCGAUCUAUACGUAAGAAUUACAUUAUUCUUUUCAUAAUAAGGCAUCUCUUGAUCUCAUAUGAUGUAUUACUUGCAUUGUAAGGCACUGGCAAGGAUGAUAGCUGUUUGUGGUCCCUACCAUCGGACUACUGCAAGUGCUUACAGUCUUCUAGCUGUAGUUCUCUACCAUACUGGAGACUUUAAUCAGGUACGACAAUCUUCAGUUGUAUUUCAGUGUUAACUUGGUGAUUCUAAGUCGAGUAUAAUUAUAAUGUCCUUCUGUACGGAGGUUCUCAUUCAGUGGGACAUUUGAUUUGAAACUGUGUUAUGGCUAGUUUUUAUGGUCUUGUAUAAAGAUAUGCAUUAGGAAUUAUAAUUUUCUGGACUUAGGAAUUACAUGAACAGGCAUUAGCAUAAUUUUGAUAUCAGAUUAUAUAUUUUAACUAAAUCAAACACGUUCAUGGUUCUUAUGUUCUGGCAUUUGGUCUAAUGGCAUCUGCGUCUGAGUGUUAGCGUUCGUAUGUACUCAAGAUAUCUUCUUCUUCAUUUUAGGCAACUAUAUAUCAGCAGAAGGCAUUGGAUAUUAAUGAGAGGGAACUUGGUCUUGACCAUCCAGAUACAAUGAAAAGCUAUGGGGAUCUUUCAGUUUUCUAUUAUCGCCUUCAACACAUUGAAUUGGCUCUUAAGUAAGUAGCACUGCUUGAUUUACCGGAGCAACUUUGUGAUUUUCAUUCUUUAACUGAUUAAGGUUUAUUUAUUCAUAAAUUAAAUUGGAAGUUUCGAAAAAUGUGACCUUUGUAUUGAAUCUGCUUCGAACGAAUGCAGUUUUUAUGUACCUACUUUAGCUUUUAUUUGUCUUUUAUUGGCUAUAGCUCCUGAUCAUACCGUACCAUUGGCAGAUAUGUAAAUCGUGCCUUAUUCCGUUUGCAUUUUACUUGUGGACUUUCACAUCCAAACACGGCUGCAACAUACAUAAAUGUGGCUAUGAUGGAAGAGGGCAUGGGAAAUGUUCAUCUUUCUCUUAGAUAUUUGCUUGAAGCCCUUAAAUGCAACCAAAGACUAUUAGGAGGUGACCAUAUACAGGUUUUUCUCUCUCUAUUUACGCAUGUAUACACAUUCUUUAGAAUUAUAAAUCUUUCUGUAAACUCAGAAUUUUGUUUGAUUUCUUCACGUGACAGACAGCUGCAAGUUAUCAUGCCAUAGCCAUAGCUCUUUCUUUGAUGGAGGCAUAUUCACUAAGUGUGCAACAUGAGCAAACUACACUUCAGAUUCUCCAAGCAAAGCUUGGACUAGAAGAUCUGCGUACUCAGGUGACUACAUGUAGUCAUAUUUUAAUUGGUUCUGUUGUGCAAUUUGGCUAGUUGGCUUCUCUCUUGUCAAUCUUUUACAGGUGAUAUUAUGAUAUAAAACAAAUUGUAUUGGAGGCAUAUUUUUGGUGUCAAAUAUGGAUAUGACUUAUUCAUUAAUCGUAUCCAAAUAUCAAAAUACGGAUAUGACCCGUUUAUUAAUCGUGUUGACUUGUUUAAUAUUAAAUACAAACAAAUUAAAAAUUAAUUUUAAAAUAACAAAUGUGUCAAAAAAAUGAGUUAUAAAUAAGUUAAAAUGACAUAAGUAUGACAUGAAUAAGUUUAUAACAUAAUGUGAGUAUGACAUGAGUCAUUAAUUUAGUGUUUAGUAUAUAUUUUAGUUUUUUUUUCCAAUAAUAUUAACACAUAAUAAUUGAUAUUUGUGUUAUAAACGUAUAAUCAUAUUGAGAUGGUCCAAAACAGAUACGACAUGGUUAUUUAUCGUGUUGUGUCAACUCAUUUAUUAAUCGUGUCAAUAUUUGUCAACACGAAUAUGGGUCAUAUGUCAUAUUAUGUUGUGUAAUCGUGUCGUAAUCCAUUUUCCCACCUCUAAUCUUAACUGUCAUAAGAGAAUUUCUCAAGUUCCAUAUUAUUGAUGGGAAGAGAAUUUUGUUAUUUUGUUGUAUUUUUUUUCGUUUUACAGGAUGCUGCUGCAUGGCUGGAGUAUUUUGAAUCAAAAGCUCUAGAGCAGCAAGAAGCGGCACGGAAUGGAACUCCAAAGCCAGAUGCGUCCAUUGCGAGUAAAGGUCACCUUAGGUAUUAACAGGGUAUUCCCACAUUACUUGUUUCUAAAUUGUUGAUUAUUUCUUGUGGCACCAAGACCUAUAAUGAUUGCUUUUUGCAGUGUAUCAGAUCUCCUGGAUUACAUUAGUCCUGGUCAAGAUUCUAAAAGAAGCGAAGCACAUAGGAAACAACGACGUGCAAAGGUAGUAUAUACUUAGUACCUGUUUAGUAUGAUUUAUCUAAUAGUCAUAAAUUUUUAUUUAAUCCCAUAAGCUGUUAUCAAUUUUUUUUUUGUUGUUUAAUUGUUUUUUUCGUAGAGCUCUUGAAAAUUAAAUAAGUUAUUUUACCUCUACUACCAAAAGCUCAAAUUUUGUGCUUUUGAGAGUAGAGGUUAAAAAGUUUUUUUUAAAUGUUAAAAUAUCUAAAAUAUUUUCUACUUAUUUGACAAUCUUAUUUUAUUCUUUUCAAAACAUAACUUUAAAAAAUUUGCUUAUUAAAGUAAUUUUAUAAUUUUUAAUAAAAGCUUUUAUUGACAACCAAACAACACAAAUUUUUUGGGUAAAAACUUUACUUAUAAAAUCUUUACUAACAAAAGCUCUACUCAGAUAAGAUUUAUUUGAAAAGCUAUGUCAAAUGAAGCAUUAAGCCUGCUGCUGUUCUCUGUUCCUUUUUUCUUGUGAUGUCAUCUGAAUGGAUUCUUAAACUAAUUGUAGUUAGGAUUUGGUGUUUUAGAGUACACUCUGCUGGCUGCAUAUAGUUUUGGAUUUGCUGAUUACACGAGUAAACUUGUUGUCAAAUGCAACUAUAUAUCAGCAGGAUAAUAGUUCUACUUUUCUGAGUGAACUCUGAAGGCGCCAAUUAUAACAUCCAUUUCUAGUAUAGAAUCCCCCGCCCAACAAAAAGAAAUCUAACAUGCUUAUACAGAUCGCAGACAUGAUUGAAACUUUAGAAGUUUCUGAUCUAUUGAUGGUCAUAGAUUGGGCCAGCUGAUAGUUAGUAGGCAAUGAUGGAGGGUUGCUUGGUCAAGCUGCUAGUACUUUGGAAAUUCAGAGAUGAUGUGCAGAACGAGUGAUAGUUUUUGUUUUCCUCCGUAAUCUUGAACAGAGUGGGAAGAAACCAUUAAUUUGAAGUGCAAUGGAUGGAUAUGACAGAUCUAUCAUUUUGGCUAGUAGAUGGAGUUCUUCCAUUCUACUGUUAUUUACUGGUUGUUUUUAUUGAUUCUAGAAAAACAUUUUUCGAUUUGGCAGUUGGAGUUUUUCCCUUUUUUUUUUCUCCCCAUUUUGUAGGCCUUAGAGAACCAAAUAAUACUACAUAUUAGAUAGACAGGAUUAUUAUGUGCUAAUUUGAAGUAUUACCUGGUUGACAAUUUAAGACACUAGUAAAGUAUUUCGCUAUGAUUAUUUUUUUUUGAGAAUUCCAUGAUUCAAAAGGCCGAAGAAUUUCAUUAGUUUAACAUAGUAUAUAUUAACAUAAUUUCUCACUGAGUGUUUUUUUCAACAUUUCAGGCAUGUACAUAUCAAAUUCCCAUUUAUGUUCCGCUGAAUUCUGCCUCAUGUUAUGUCCGGAUUUGUUGUAAUAAAUUUUGCUACUGUAAAAUUACAAGAUGAUUGUAACUUAAAAUGAACCAUUUCUAUUUGCUCAAUUUUUUUUUUUUUUUUUUUAUUUUUUCAGGUAAUGCAGAUUAGGGAAAAGAUUCAUGGAGCACAUCAUGAUAUGAUGGUGGAAGAUGCACUGCCCCAUGAUGGAUUGAAAAAGAGUAUGACUAUAGUGGAAAGCAAGACCGAGGAAGUAAUAGAAGACAGUGUUCAACCUGAAGAGCCAGAAGAGAAUGAUGAUAUUACUAGAUAUGGACCGGCAAUUUCAGGUGAGUUUGUGGAAGAAACAAAUUCAGAUGAGGGGUGGCAAGAAGCCAAUCCAAAAGGUAGGUCAGGAAAUGCUGCUGUUCGGAAGCUCAGCCGGAGGCGACCUGUUCUUACAAAGCUAAAUGUCAAUGGUUGUGAACAUUCAAAUCUUAGAGAAAAAGGCAAUAGACGGGAAAUUGUAUCUCCAGCACGGGAAAAAGCUUCAAGGACCACCACCACUGAGUUAACAGGCACGAAGGAUUCAAUUAAAUUGCAGGCAAAAGCUUCUGUCUCCAAAGUUUAUGCAAGUCCACCAAACCUUACUGCCAUGGCUUCCAAGUCGCUGUCUUACAAAGAAGUAGCUGUGGCACCACCAGGUACGGUUCUAAAGCCAUUACCAGAGAAACCUGAUGAAGAAAUUGAAGAAAAAACUGAAACACAGAUGUGCAGUAAUGCUCCUGAGACAUCAAAGGCGGAGUUGAAUAACCAUUUCUCUCCCGUUGAAGAUGCGCCAGUUGAUGGUCAGUCUCAAGAAACUCAUGGAAGUGUAACUCAAUCUGAAACUACGGCUGCAGAUACCGAGGAAGUUCCUUCUUCUUCUAAUGAGGAAAAGCCCAUGGAAACAAAUGGGAGUAAGCUUUCUGCCACAGCUGAACCAUUCAACCCAGGAGCUUUCUCCAUGACUCAUCUGCUAAACUCUGUAGCAGCCACGAGUAUUUAUGAUUCGAGAACUAGUCAAGGUAUGCUUGCAGAACCUGCUGUACCUUCGGCUGCUGCUAGAGUUCCUUGUGGGCCAAGGUCGCCUCUCUAUUAUAGAAAUAAUUAUUCUUGCAUGAUGAAACAUGGAUUUCCAAAAUACCACUCUUCCAUUAUAGAAAGAAACCUGUUGGGGCCUUCAAGAAUCAUGAACCCACAUGCACCUGAGUUUGUGAAUAAAUCCUGGAUAUGCAGAUUCAAAUGUUUCAAAUGAGUCGAACUCUUCAAAUGACACAAGUGAGGCAGACGAUGAGAAACUUGACAAAAUGUCCAGUAUUCAAGGCGAGGAUAAUACCUCAAGAAAGAGCAGUACAGAGGCGGAGAAAUCAGAGCUGGGAAGACAGAUACUACUUAUCUUCAUUGUAAAGUCAGUCCAGCAUAAUAUGGAUGCUCCAAGUCAAUCUUCAGGCUACGAAAAGAAGAGUGGGUAUUCAGAAAAUUCUUCAGAUGCAAUUGCAAAUGAUAGUGCUAUCAUAAAGAUCCUUUAUGGAAAUGAAAAGGGCAAAACAAACUUGGCAUCUCAGUCCAAUGAUCAAGAACAGCAAAAACCCAAAGAUAAUAACCAAAAAAGUGGGGAUGGUGAAGGAUUUAUAGUUGUCAGAAAACGGAGAAGAAACCGACAGCAGAUCACAAAUGGGGUAACUGAGAUGUACAAUCAUCAAUCCAUCUGUGCUUCUGUUCGUUAAAAGAGAGAGCAAAGCAAUAAAAUGCAAAGGUGCCGUCCUGUUUCUCCCAAUUUUAUUCGAAAAAUUUGUUAGUGAAUGUUACCGUUGUAGAAAUGGUUAAAGUUUGGAGCAAGUUUUAAUCAAUACUUGAUUGUAUCAUUUUAGAUAUCCUCUCUGGAUGUUCUAAUAUAAUAUUUGUACAAAUCGGUUUCUUGUUUUGUUAAGAGAUUUUGUUUUGAUCAAUAAAUGAUGAUAAAUUAAUUGGGCGAUUUUCCUUCUCAAGAGAUCUGUGAUGUUGUUCUAUAAUGGAUUUUAAUGUUUUAGACUGAGAUUUGUAGUUAAUUAUGCCUCAAAUUAUUUGGUAUUUGGUUGGUGCGUGUGAACAAUACGUUCGGAAUGGAGUUGAAUUGACCCACUGAUAGAUAGCUUACAUUUGCAGCUGAAGUUGCUGCACUGAUGAUAUUACAACUAACAUAGUAGUUGGCAAAAUUCCUUAUUCAAUUUAAAUUUGCAAUCAACAGAAAUUGAAGAAGAAGCCGUAAGUCUAAUCCUAAUGGAUGCAUAGCUGUUUGGAGAAAAGCCAACGGAGACAUAACACAGCACGAUAAGUUAUACACGGCAGAACCGUAUGUGCUAGUAAGCACAGUCACCGAUGGAAAACAUAUUUGAAAAGCCAAUAGUAGCAUGUGUCAAUACAUCUAUCAAUGAAAUAGAACCACAGUCUGCACCAGUACGAGUUUAUCCAAAGUGCUGCAAAUAAACCCAAAGUUACUGACACAUAGGAUGCUCCAAAACUCCAUCUUAAUGCCACCAUAUCAAUCACAGAAUCGCCUUCAUCUCCUCCUCCUCCUCCUCCUGUAGGGGUCGCUGGUGGUGCCAACGCACUGCUGCAUUUCCUCUUUAUCAUUGAGCCACAAAGAGCCGAAUUACCUUUAUAACUGCUGUCAUCAAAGGUGGCAAACUGCUCUUUGUCUGGGAUUGGGCCGGACAAAUUGUUGUAUGACACGUUAAAAUUUGACAAAAAAUUGAGCUCAGUUAGUUGAGGAGGAAUUCGGCCACUUAAUUUGUUGCGGGAAAGGUCCAGGCUCUCUAUCAUUUUCAGAUUGGAGAAGGUCUCUGGUAUAGCACCUGAUAGUAAAUUAUUCGACAGAUUAAGUGCACGAAUAUGUUGAAGAUGCCCAAUUUCCCAUGGAAUUUCUCCACUGAAUUCAUUGCUCGACAAAUCCAGUCCAGCCAUGUCGACGAGAUUGCUACCGAUGAAAAAUUCAUAUCUAUACUUUGUCACAAAUUCUACACCUACUUGUUGAUCUUGUCCACCAUGUAGUUCAUCUGGCAACUGCAGAUCAAGAGUGGAAUUGUAGUAAGUAUAAGUGAAAUCACGAUUUGACCCAGCAAAUCCGUAUCCAUAUGGAUAAUCAUCAAUCGCUUCUCUCCAGAAUGACACGUUACCCAGGCAUGAAGGUAUCGGCCCAUUAAGUCUGUUAUGUGAAAGAUCCAUGAUACGUAAUUUUCUUGAUUGGCACAACUGAUUAGGAAUACGUCCUUGUAGAUAAUUCCCUCUCAAAAGAAGAACAUGCAAAUUCGAAAGCUCAUUGAUCUGAUGAGGAAUCCUACCACAAAAUUUAUUGUCCCUCAAAUCGAGAGUCAAUAAUGUAGAGCUUCUAAGCAAUGCAAUUGGAAUUAACCCAUUAAUUGCAUUGUUAUGCAGAAAAAUGUGCUGCACUGAUGAAAGAUUGGAGAGAGAUACCAUGGACCCAGACAAACUAUUUUCGGAUAUGUCUAUAAACUCAAGACUUUCAAGAUUGCCGAGCUGGACCGGAAUACUACCUUGAAAAUAAUUUUCUGACAUUAAAAGAAGCCAAAGGCUUGAGAAGUUGCCAAUCCAGUGGGGAAUAUCGCCGGAUAACUUGUUGUUGGAUACAUUUAAUACCUCUAGCCAAGUGGAGCUCAACAAACCAUCUGUCAUCUUCCCACUGAAAUGAUUGUUGUCCAAAAGUAAGGAACGCAAAUGAGUCAAGUUCAUAUAAUUGGGAAAAAGUUGGCCAUAGAAAUUGUUAUUUGAUAGGUCCAACAUUUCUAAGGAGAGGCAACUAGAGAAUAUAGAUCGAGGUAAUUCUCCUGAAAAAUUAUUUUCAGACAAAUCCAAAGUAAUUAGCUCUUUCAUCUCACUGAUUGAAUGCGGAAUAUUACCUUCAAAACUAUUUUUUGACAUAUCCAAAUAUAUCAAUUUCUGAAAGACAAUACCCAAAUUCUCUGGUAGCUUACCAGAGAAAUUGUUAGUGGAAAUAUCUAGAUGACGAAGCUUGUCGUAUUUGGCAUUGGGAAGUCGCGGAAGAAUUCCCGAGAAUGAGUUAUUCCACAAAAUCAAAAUUUCUAAUCCUGUGUUGUUUUGCAACAACCAAGUUGGGAAAUUGCCAACCAACUCAUUGUGAGAGAGAUCAAGGAAUUUUAAGUGGUGUUGGUGUAAAAGAAAACUACUAUUGACAUUUAAGUGGCAGUGAGAUAAUUGGAGAACCUUGAGAGGAUAUGUGGGGAGCCAAUUUUCGGUUUUCACUUGCAACAUAUCGUUUCCUGACGAGAGUCGCAAGACCUCAAGCUUUGAAUGAUUAGCCAAUGAAUUUAUUGAGAAUGUUCCUUGGAAAUCGAUGAAAGAGAGAUCCAAAUAUUCAAGUGAUGUGAGGUUGGUCAAGGCAGAAGGAAAGUUUCCACUUAACUGAUUGUAAGAAAUAUCAAGAACUUUGAGAUGGGUCAAGUUGUUGAGGCACUGAGGAAGGUGAACCACAAAAUUAUUUGACUUUAAAUCCAACUCAAGAAGAUUCUUCAAAUUACAUAUUCCUGAAAGUGAAAAUAAAAAGCUCAGAUUUCAUAAAACGAAAACUAAUUAUAGUGCAUUCAAUCAUAAACCCAAUAUAAGACUUAUAAAACGGACAUGAAAUCAAAUUGUCUAAGUAUUUUGGUCAACAUAAAUAAUAAUAGAAUGAUAUGAAUUUAUUUCUCAUAUAAUAUGAUGUUGAUUGCAAAAGCAUUUCAAUUAAUCUAACAAUAAAAUAAUAAUAAUAAUAAUAUAAAAGCAGUCAGCAAUUCUUGCUCAUCAUAAUCCAUUCAAAAAGUGUUUCAGCAAUUCUCGUUGUUUAAAAUAAUGAUUUUCUGUGGAAGAGUUUGUUGACUUCGUCUUUUUCGUUGGAUAUUGGUUUUCUAAUCUCUAAAUUUGUUGGAUAAUGUAAAGAGAAACUCAUAAUAUAUUAGUUGUUUUCAUAAACUUUAUUUAUUCUUCUCAUAGCAUUAAACAAAAGUAUUUGCCCAAGCGGGGAAAAAAAAAACUGGUCUUCAUAUUUAAUUUCGUCGAAGUACUUCGACCAACAAGUCACUGGGAAGUAGGAAUUGUGUAUCAGUAAUGCAAAUAUUGGGUACGUUGGCAUUGUUUUUAAAUGCUGUUUUUUAUUUUUUGAAUUUAGAAAAUAUUAGAUACCUGUUCGGUAGAUUGUUUCUGAAAUUUUAAAAAAAAUAUAAAAUUCAUUCUACACAUUUUAACAAAAGAAAUGAGAAACAACUUUUUCUUAUUUUCCUUAUUUCCUAAUACAAGAUUAAGUUCCAAAAUGAAGAAUUCUCUUUACCUCCUCUUGAAAUAAUAAUAAUAAUAUCAACAUUAUUAUUAUUAUUAUCAUUAGGUCUAAUUAUCCUUGGGUGACACAUGUUUUAAUAAAUUUCAAAAAGAUGACACAUGUUUUGAAAAUACUCGAGUGGGUGACAUUGCAUUAACUUUUACUGUUAAUUUUAACCAGUUGAGAGUAGAAUUGGAAAAAAUAGACUUUUUUUUUUUUCAUAAAGCCAAAGAGACGAAAAUUUUGAAUUUAUACAAUACUUUAUAAUUCAUAAGAUUUUUGCUUCUUUAUAUGCACAAAUCAGUUUGAUUCAACAAGAUUUUUUUUUUAAAAAAUUUGAUUUAACAAAAAAAACCUGUUAAUUAGACUUAGGUUUAAUUUUUCUAUUUAAAAAAUUAAAAAUGAGUGAGUAUGGGCAGAAACAUCAUUUUGUGGGGUAGAAAUGUCAUUUAAUUUAUUAUUCUCAUUAAAAUUAAUGGCAAAAGUUAAUAGAAUGUCACUCGCUCCAAUAUUUUUAAAAAAUGUGUCAUCUUCUUAAAAUUUGUUAAAACAUAUGUCACCUAGAGAUUAUCAUUGUUGUUGUUGUUGUUGUUGUUGUUGUUGUUGUUGUUGUACCCAAAGAAUCAUUUUCCUUCACAAAAAUCUUUUCUUUUUAUAUACAUUAUAAUAUUUAUGUUUUUAUAUAUUAACUAAAUCAAAUAUGUAGGGUUUAUCAUUUUUCUUUGAACAAAAAAAUAGAAAGAUCACCUAAUUUAUUCUUAAAAUUAAAAUAAUCAAUAUACAUUGCUUAAUCUUAAGUUUAUGGAAAUUAUUCCAAUAAUAAUUCUUUGAGAUAUUCUUACCAAACAUAUUUUUUUUUCUCAUUUUUUAGAUUAUUUUUUAAAAUGAUACUGAACACAUUUUUAAAUUUUAAAAAUAAAUUUAAAAAUAGCAUUUGCAUUUUUACUUUGUCAAAACAACAAUUAGAAAACAAUAUUGGGCUCUUAUUUAUCAUGUUUCAACAUAAAAACACAGUGUAAAAUGUUUAAUAUGGGUUUCUAGAGAAUUUUUUAUGUUACUAUUACACAAAUUCAAUGCUUCCAAGUUUUUGAAUUUAGCUAAUCUUGCAUCAAGAAUUAAUGGACAUAAGAAAAAAAAAAUUUCAUUCAGAACUAUAAAUAUUGAAAUAAAGAUAAAUAUCAUUGUUGAUUUUUUUAUAAAAAAGAUUUAGAAUUAAGAGAGAGUGAAAGAAAUGAGUGGUUUAUGUCGGAAAUUGGUGAUAGAGUAUGUCAAGUACUAAACUUUGUAUAGAAAACAGUGCUUCUAAUUUAAAUUUGAUCUAGUUUAAAGCAAUUAAAAAAUGCAAAUAUAUCAUCAUCUUGAUUAACAUCUAAAACAAUUUUUGUCAUCGGAGGAAGUGAAUUGUUAUAUACCUUGAAUUGUAGUUAUCCCACAAUAACCAAGAUCCAAUAUUUUCAAGUUUGGCAAAUCUGCAAAUCCUACAUGCGCAGAUAAAAAUGUAAACAUUACAUUUAAAGGAAUUGUAUGUGAUCCGUGCGUUUGAUGAACAUUAAUUCUACAUUUAAUUUGCUUCUUAUCUUAGAUUCAGUGGCCUACCUAGCGUUGUCAGAUUUUGAUUACCGCUUAAAUCCAACACUUGCAGGUUUGUCAAAUUUGCUAAUCCUGUUAAAAAAAAAACACAUAAAUUUUGUCAAUAACAGUUAUGUCACUCUCGUCUAAAUUGUUUAAUUAAAAUAAUAUGGUAAAUAUUGAAUGAAAAUUAAUUGUGCACAUAGUUUUUUUUUUGUUUCUAUUGAUAUUUUAAUAUAUACCGUCACUUUUAGCAUUACCAAGAUUAAGAGUGUUUGAAUCAUAAUUUGUAAAUUAGUUUGCACAUUGACUAAACUUGAAAAUGUGAAAAAAACAAUUAAAAAAAUGGAAAUAUAUUAUCAUCUUGAUUAACAUCUAAAACAAAUUUUGUCAUUGGAGGAAGUGAGUUGUUAUAUACCUUGAAUUGUAGUUAUCCCACAAGAAUGAAGAUCCAAUGUUUUCAAGUUUGGCAAAUCUGCGAAUCCUACAUGCGCCGAUAAAAAAUGAAAAUAUUACAUUUAAAGGAAUUGUAUGUGAUCCGUGCGUUUGAUGAACAUUAAUUCUACAUUUAAUUUGCUUCUUAUCUUAGAUUCAGUGGCCUACCUAGCGUUGUCAGAUUUUGAUUACCGCUUAAAUCCAACACUUGCAAGUUUGUCAAAUUUGAUAAUCCUGUUAAAAAAAACACAUAAAUUUUUUCAACAACAGUUAUGGCACUCUCGUCUAAAUUGUUUAAUUAAAAUAAUAUGGUAAAUAUGAAAAUUAACUGUGCACAUUGUUAUUUUUUUGUUUCUAUUGAUAUUUUAAUAUAUACCGUCACUUUUAGCAUUACCAAGAUUUGGAGUGUUUGAAUCAUAAUUUGUAAAUUAGUUUGCACUUUGAGUAAACUUGAAAAUGUGAAAAAAGCAAUUAAAAAAAUGGAAAUAUAUUAUCAUCUUGAUUAACAUCUAAAACAAAUUUUGUCAUUGGAGGAAGUGAGUUAUUAUAUACCUUGAAUUGUAGUUAUCCCACAAGAAUGAAGAUCCAAUGUUUUCAAGUUUGGCAAAUCUGCGAAUCCUACAUGUGCCGAUAAAAAAUGAAAAUAUUACAUUUAAAGGAAUUGUAUGUGAUCUGUGGGUUUGAUGACCAUUAAUUCUACAUUUAAUUUGCUUCUUAUCUCAGAUUCAGUGGCUUACCUAGCGUUGUCAAAUUUUGAUUAUAGCUUAAAUCCAACACUUGCAGGUUUGUCAAAUUUGCCAAUCCUGCUAAAAAAAAAACAUAAAUUUUGUCAAUAACAGUUAUGUCACUCUCGUCUAAAUUGUUUAAUAAAAAUAAUAUGGUAAAUAUUGAAUGAAAAUUAACUGUGCACAUUGUUUUUUUUUUUGUUUCUAUUGAUAUUUUAAUAUAUACCGUCACUUUUAGCAUUACCAAGAUUUGGAGUGUUUGAAUCAUAAUUUGUAAAUUAGUUUGCACUUUGAGUAAACUUGAAAAUGUGAAAAAAGCAAUUAAAAAAAUGGAAAUAUAUUAUCAUCUUGAUUAACAUCUAAAACAAAUUUUGUCAUUGGAGGAAGUGAGUUGUUAUAUACCUUGAAUUGUAGUUAUCCCACAAGAAUGAAGAUCCAAUGUUUUCAAGUUUGGCAAAUCUGCGAAUCCUACUUGCGCCGAUAAAAAAUGAAAAUAUUACAUUUAAAGGAAUUGUAUGUGAUCCGUGCGUUUGAUGAACAUUAAUUCUACAUUUAAUUUGCUUCUUAUCUUAGAUUCAGUGGCCUACCUAACGUUGUCAGAUUUUGAUUACCGCUUAAAUCCAACACUUGCAGGUUUGUCAAAUUUGCUAAUCCUGUUAAAAAAAAACACAUAAAUUUUGUCAAUAAUAGUUAUGUCACUCUCGUCUAAAUUGUUUAAUUAAAAUAAUAUGGUAAAUAUUGAAUUAACUGUGCACAUUGUUAUUUUUUUGUUUCUAUUGAUAUUUUAAUAUAUACCGUCACUUUUAGCAUUACCAAGAUUUGGAGUGUUUGAAUCAUAAUUUGUAAAUUAGUUUGCACUUUGAGUAAACUUGAAAAUAUGAAAAAAACAAUAAAAAAAUGGAAAUAUAUUAUCAUCUUAAUUAACAUCUAAAACAAUUUUUGUCAUUGGAGGAAGUGAAUUGUUAUAUACCUUGAAUUGUAGUUAUCCCACAAUAACCAAGAUCCAAUAUUUUCAAGUUUGGCAAAUCUGCAAAUCCUACAUGCGCAGAUAAAAAUGUAAACAUUACAUUUAAAGGAAUUGUAUGUGAUCCGUGCGUUUGAUGAACAUUAAUUCUACAUUUAAUUUGCUUCUUAUCUUAGAUUCAGUGGCCUACCUAACGUUGUUAGAUUUUGAUUACCGUUUAAAUCCAACACUUGCAGGUUUGUCAAAUUUGCUAAUCCUGUUAAAAAAAGGUAAAUUUUGUCAAUAACAGUUAUGUCACUCUCGUCUAAAUUGUUUAAUAAAAAUAAUAUAGUAAAUAUUGAAUGAAAAUUAACUGUGCACAUUGUUAUUUUUUAUUUUUCUAUUGAUAUUUUAAUAUAUACCAUCACUUUUAGCAUUACCAAGAUUUGGAGUGUUUGAAUCAUAAUUUGUAAAUUAGUUUGAACUUUGAGUAAACUUGAAAAUGUGAAAAAAACAAUAAAAAAAUGGAAAUAUAUUAUCAUCUUAAUUAACAUCUAAAACAAUUUUUAUCAUUGGAGGAAGUGAAUUGUUAUAUACCUUGAAUUGUAGUUAUCCCACAAUAACGAAGAUCCAAUACUUUCAAGUUUGGCAAAUUUGCGAAUCCUACAUGCGCCGAUAAAAAAUGAAAAUAUUACAUUUAAAGGAAUUGUAUGUGAUCCGUGCAUUUGAUGAACAUUAAUUCUACAUUUAAUUUGCUUCUUAUCUUAGAUUUAGUGGCCUACCUAACGUUGUCAGAUUUUGAUUACCGCUUAAAUCCAACACUUGCAGGUUUGUCAAAUUUGCUAAUCCUGUUAAAAAAAAAACACAUAAAUUUUGUCAAUAACAGUUAUGUCACUCUCGUCUAAAUUGUUUAAUUAAAAUAAUAUGGUAAAUAUUGAAUGAAAAUUAACUGUGCACAUUGUUAUUUUUUGGUUUCUAUUGAUAUUUUAAUAUAUACCGUCACUUUUAGCAUUACCAAGAUUUGGAGUGUUUGAAUCAUAAUUUGUAAAUUAGUUUGCACUUUGAGUAAACUUGAAAAUGUGGAAAAAGCAAUUAAAAAAAUGGAAAUAUAUUAUCAUCUUGAUUAACAUCUAAAACAAUUUUUGUCAUUGGAGGAAGUGAAUUGUUAUAUACCUUGAAUUGUAGUUAUCCCACAAGAACCAAGAUCCAAUGUUUUUAAGUUUGGCAAAUCUGCGAAUCCUACAUGCGCCGAUAAAAAAUGAAAAUAUUACAUUUAAUGGCAUUGUAUGUGAUCCGCGCGUUUGAUGAACGUUAAUUUUACAUUUAAUUUGCUUCUUAUCUCAGAUUUAGUGGCCUACUUAGCGUUGUCAGAUUUUGAUUAUCGCUUAAAUCCAACACUUGCAGGUUUGUCAAAUUUGCUAAUCCUAUUAAAAAAAGGUAAAUUUUGUCAAUAACAGUUAUGUCACUCUCGUCUAAAUUGUUUAAUUAAAAUAAUAUAGUAAAUAUUGAAUGAAAAUUAACUGUGGACAUUGUUUAAUUAAAAAAUUAUCUUCUAAAGAACCGUGUAUAUAAUAAUUAGAACUGAAAUCCAACGCUUCCAAGUUUUUUAAUUUAGCUAAUAUUGCGCCAAGAAAGAAGAAAAAUCUUAGUAAUCAUCUUUGGGAAAAAAAAUAAAGAAUUAAGAAAUAAAUUUCAAAGUUAGAUUAAAUAAUUGUAGUAAUAAAGCUUAUGAUUUAGAUCUAAUUAAAUUGAUCAUAUACUCAAAAAUGGUUUUAUUUUUUUCUUUUGUUAAAAAAAUUUUACUAAGAAAUUAGAAAGCAAAUUUUUGUCGUGUACCAAUUGUAGUCAAGUUUGUCAAGUUUUCCAGUCAAAAAUUGGUUUUAAUUUGACAUUAUACAUGUGUAAAAAUUAAGGGCAUAAUAAUAUCACAAGGAAUUUGGGUAGUGACUUGUUGCCGUGUACCUUGAAUUGUAGUUAUUCCACAACCAGUAAGAUCCAAUUUUUUCAGGUUUGUCAAAUUUGCCAAUCCUACACCAACAAAAAGCAAACUAUUAUUUUUAAAAUUAUUGUUGAAAUUUGUGAUUAGUGUGCUAACUUGGUAAUUAUCUUAGUAGCCUACCUAGCCUUGUUAAAGAGCCACUAGUUAAAUUGUUGUUCCAGCUUAGAUCCAACACUUGCAAGUAUCUCAAAUUUGCUAAUCCUGCUCAGAAAACAUUAAUUUUGAUCAAGACAAUAUACAUAUAUAUUUUAAUUAAGAAAUUAAUUAAGUUGCCUGACAAGUAUAUCUGCUGGCCUGAAACGUAUAUGUAUAUACCUUGCCUGGUUCUGGAACCUUCAAUCUUAUUGUAAUGAAGAUUCAGAGUGGUAAGUGAAGUAAGUGUAUUCAAAUAUGGUAAUAUUCUGUCGUUGAAGAAAUUAUUUUCAAGAUUUAAGGUCUUCAGCUGCUUCAAACUCCCAAAGCUAUCGUAAGCUGCAAAUGAAUAUGAAGUGUUAUUAUUAAUUAGUCACUGACAAAAUAUUUAUGGACGAGAAAUAACUGUAUACAUAUAUACGGACCUCUCUUCUCAUAGAUGCCUGUAAACCAAUUCCGAAAUAAGUUGAGUCUUUGCAAUUCUUCAAAAGGAUGAAACAAUGACAUAUUCAGAAGCAAAGUCGGAGGUCCUUCAUAAACAAAAAAGGAGUUAAAAGGGUAGUUGAAUUUUGUCGUCUCAUUGAGUGAGAGUUGCAUCACGCGUCGUGUGGUGGCGUUGCACAUAACUCCCUCCCAAUCAUCACAACAAUCAGACGGCAUUCCAUCAUCCUCACCAACCCAUGAAGGAAGGAUUUUGUCAUCAUAUCCAAUAUCACUGACUGACAGGAAGAAGCUCUUGAUUUCCAACAGAGCAGUCCUCUCUGUUUCCAAGCAUGCUUUGUAUCCAUGAAUUUCAUUUAUCAAUACAAUAAUCCAAAUUAGUGACAUUAAUGAGAACUUAUUACAGGAAGUACUUUCCAUUGCAGAGCAACUUUUCAUUUGGUUAAAAUUCAAUGUGCAAUGAGCAACUUUCCGUUGCAGAGCAAUUUAUACUAAAAGUUUAUCGCAGGUCUUGCAAUUUGAUUGGAUGAAGACUUUUUUAAGACUUUCCAAUACAUCGCCAUCUUUGAAGACUUCUAAGCAUUCCAUGUUUUGCAACAUUCGACCAACGGGAAAAAGCACUUCAUUAAUACCCCGUGGAAAAUAUAGAUAAAGUGAUUGUAAACUAUAAAUUUUUCCAAUAGUUUGAUGGAGAUAAUCAUAACUAAUAAAAUAAAAGUUGACUGAGAGAAUUUAAAUAAUUUAACCGUUUGUUUGGAUUUCCAUUGCAUUAUCAGUCAAUCUAUUAAAUAAUGUGUUUUGAGAAGAAUUUGAUUGGAUGUUUGAUAAGUUUAAAUUAAUUUAUUAGAAAAUCAAUAAUUAAUCAAAGUAAAUCUUCAUCUAUGUUUAGUUACUGUGGCGUAGUCUGAAAUGAAAAAACACAUAAAUGUUAUUUGAAGCUCUUGUGACACUUUUAUUGGAUAAAAUGUUAAAUAGUUAAGUCAGAUGGACUAAAUCAUAAAACACAUACAGUACUUUGAAUCAAAGCUACUAAAAUCAAAGAUAUUGGGAAUCCUUAAUAAGGAAAGUUUCCAUUGCUCUCAGUCUGCACUCUUCAUUACUAUUGCAAUCACUUGAAAUGACUAAAACAGAAAUUUCGUAUGAACUUGGGACAGCGGUACGGGUCCAAUUUAAAUGACAACUACGUGGAAAAUAAAAAUUUUGCAUCUUUUAUUACAACUACGUGGAAAAUUAAAGUUGACUGACUUUCAAAUUAAGCCAACAAACAAGUGGCAAUCAAUUCUUUUUCCACUAACAAUUAGUGGCGACGGUCAAUACUAUAAAAUAAAAGUUGACUAAGAAUUUAUGUAAUUUAAGAUCCAGAGGUCUAUAAGGUGUCGAUUGUAUGAUUGGGUUUGCACUGAAUUAUCAAAAAAUCUAUUCAAGGAUUUAUAUUCUAAAAUAUUUAGUGAGUUUAGAAAAUUAUUUUAUUAGAUUUUUGUUAAUUUUUUAUUAUUAGAUGGCCAACAAUUAAUCAAGUAAUUUUCCAUAUAUAUUUGAUAAUUUACUCAUAAAAGCGUGGACUACAUUCAAAUGACAUUUUAUAUGAUGUAUGAUAUAUGUAGAGGUGAAAUUUAAAUAGGCUUAAUUUUAUAAAUAAAUACAUAUGUAUUGCAGCAUUCAAUCAUUGUGUUAAAGCGCCAAUCACGGUGACCCCCAAAGCCUGUGAAUGAUUAGUCCAUCAAAACCCAAUGUAUGCUCAAUUAAUAUUUCCUAUCAAGAUCAAAAUUUUUGCUCUAUGGCUUCACCAAUCAUGAGAAUAAAAGCUCGAUUUAUACAAAAAUUACGAAUUUAUGAAACAAAAAGUCACAAUUAUUAUAAUUGGAAGUUUGAUUGAUUUUUAAAGAUUGAUUCAAUCAAUCUUAAUGUUACUGGACAAUCGAUCUUAAUAUUAAUUCAAAAUCAAUCUUUAUAGCGAUUGGCACAGAUAAAGAUAAUUAGUUUUGGUCUCUAUAAUGACUGACGAAGACUUGUAGGACCUGGACCAAUGAGGAAAAACACUUCAUUAAUACUCCAUGGAAAAUAAAUGCUGACUGACUUUCAAAUUAAGCCAACAUACAAAUGAUCGUCAAUUCUAUUUUUUACAAAAAUUGAUGGAGAUAGUCAACUAAUAAAAUAAAAGUUGAUUGAUAUAAUUUAAAGAAUUUAGGCGUAAGUUUGGGUUUUAAAUUAUCAAAUAAUUUAUUCCACUAUUGAUACAUAAAAAAGUGCUUUGGAAUUAAUAAUUCAAUAGGAUGUUUGAUAUAUUGGAAUUUGUAAAAAUCAAUAAUCAACUAUUUUUUAUACAUGUUUAGAAAUUUAUCCGGUGUGUAUAAGGGCUUGUAUAUUUCACAAUAAACUGAGAUUCUUUUUUGGAAAGCCAAUAGAAACAUGAAUUAGUACAUCCAUCGAUUGACGUAUAAUUAUAGGACAAAACUACGUUACAGAAUCUGUAAGGUACAGACUGCAGCAUCAGCCGUUGGAUGUGGUUGGAUGUGGAGUGAGAAACUAAACAAAAGAAAAUCGGAUGGUGGGAUGACGGGAGAUGUUUGUUACAGAAUCUGUAACAUAGACAGGUCCAUAAUUAUAAUCAUAUAAUCAAACAUGAAUUAACCCGUGGGAUACGGAGGAUGUGUGUUAACGUUAACCAAUGGUCAAGCUUAUAAACACAAUCAAGCAAUCAUAUCAUCAAUCAAAGCCACAUUCAGCGCACGACUAGUAAAUAUCAUAAUUGAGUUUGAGGACCACAGCCGCACAGUGAAAGAAUUUGAAUGAAGGAAAAGUAAAAGAAAAUGAAAAGGAAAAGUAAACGAAAAUGAAAAGAAAAUGUUAAGCUGAUUCAUCAGUAACUCCAUAUGACAAUUGCACACAACUUUUGGAUGUUUUUAGCUUCCGUGUGAAUCAAAAUGAUUAACAGAGACUGUCCUGCGUGUCACGUGUAACUAAUGUUGGCGCCAUCUUGAGCUAAUUCUGUUAAGGCCUUCACUCCAUAGUCUUAAGAUCUCAGUGAACAAUAAAUUCUUCAGAUUCAUAUGGCAAAUGAAUUGCACAACAAGGCAUAAACCCCGCUUGAAAGCAACCGACUAUAAUUAAUACAUUUCAAUUGCUCAUAAAAGAAAGAUACAGUAAGCUAGUGGUAUUGUAGUAUAAACAAUACUCGUUUUUCUAUCUUGGUGGUUUCUUGAUAGUGUUCAAAUAUCAGAGCUCGAAGAAAGAUAGAGGAAAGCCAAAGAAAAAUAAGCUAAUUCAUUAUUGACAUCAUAUGAAGGAGGUUCAUCAUCAUCAAACCAUGAACUAAGAGUUUCAACUACUGUUUCAAAAAUUCCUUUCUAAAAUUACGAUAAAUUUAAUAGCUAAUAGAAAUAUUUCAUUAUAUAAAUCAAAUUUCAAACUUGUAAGAAAAAAUGUAAAAAUAUUGGUUUUCAAAUAUUUUUCUAUAUUUUUUUAAAAUUCAAAAUUAGAUAGAGUCAGUCAACCAAUAAAUCAUCAAGAAUUAUCCAUUGCGUCCCCAAUUUGAUCACCAUUCUUGAAAGCAUGGAAAAUUUCCAGUUUUUACAAGUCAAGCGUGGAGUGUACGUUUUUAUGUUAAAGAUGGUUGAGUGGUGAUCACGUUUUACUUUGCAGCCUGCCUAACCAAUUUCAAAGCGUGUUUCACGGAUGACUUAUUUUUAUGAAUUGGAAACUAGCACCAAUAGACUUUUCUCUGUAAAUAUAAAAAGUUCAAAUGAAUACUUUCAAUUAUUGUUUCAAAACUGUCUUUCUAAAAUUACGAUAAUUAUUUUCUAUUGAAUUGUAUGCUUGGAUUUGCAUGGAAUUAUCAAAUAAUUAAUCUAUGCAAGCAUUGAAUUGUAAAGACUAACGAAGACUUAUAAGGCUUGGACCAACGAGGAAAAGUGCUUCAUUAAUACUCCGUGGAAAACAAGCCAACUUGGAGCCGGUUGAUCGAGAUAGUCAACAGUUAUUUGAGAUAGUCAACUAAUAAAAUGAAAGUUAAUUGAGAUAAUUUAGCGUAAGUUUGGGUUUGAAAUAAUCAAAUAAUUUAUUCCUGUAUUGAGAAGAAUUGAAUUCCGUUAUUUUAUUGAGAAGAGAUCCGUCGCUCCCUCCCAAUCAUCACAGCAAUCAGACGACAUUCCUUCAUCAUCGUGAAAUCAUGAACUAAGAGCUUGGUCAUCUCAGCUUCCAAGCAAGCCUUGCAUCCAUGGAUUUCAUCCAAAACAACAAUCCAAAGUAGUGAGGUUAAUGAGAGCUUAAUGAAGGAAGUAUUUCCAUUGCAAAACAACUUUUUAUUUGGUUAAAGUCAAAUGUGAAUUACAUAUCUUUGACUGGUGAUAUAUAUACAUAUAUAUAUUCAGAGAUAUGAAGUACUCAAACCAAAAUAAAAAAAAAUAUAUAAUUAUUAUAAAAAAAUUGAUGAAUAAUAUAGUUCCAGGCAGUGCUAAAACCAUAAUGUACGCCAGUAUGACUUUAUCCAAAGUCACCGGCUACACCAAUAUCAUUGUGACAUAGGAAGCCAUGAGGAAAUUUAAGAAAGAUUUAUUAAACCAUAGUCUACGCCGGUAAGAGGAAAUUAGCAUUCAAUGAUCAGACACUUUCUGCAAUUUCAUUGACUUGUGACCAGGGAGUCCUCAUUCUACGACCCGGGGACAGGGGUCAUAAUUGAUAGAAAUUAACCAGUAGUCAAGCUUAUGAACACAAUCAAGGACCUUGAGUAUGUAACGUAGCAAAUGCGGAGCAUCCACGCGUUGCAGGGGAGAGGAAAAGUUGUUGGAACUUAGCUGAUACAAGACCAAUUUGCACUGAGCUGUUACAUACAGAGCCUGUAACUUAGUUUUGUCCCACAAUCAAGCAAUCAUAUCAUCAAUCAAGGCCACAGUCAAGGCACGACUAAUAAAUAUCAUAAUUUGGUUUGAGGACGACAGCCUUACAGCAAAAGAAUUUGAAUGAAGGAAAAGUAAAGGUAAAUGAAAAGGAAAACCGACUAAAGUUGUUAGAGUGCAAUUUAUGCACUAGUUUUGUAUUGUUUACUUCCCUUAAUAUUGAUGUUUUGCACUUAAUAAUAGUGAUUUACUUGUGUUUUAUUUUUAUAGGUGCAAUUCUAUUGAUUGGUGCUAAAAUUGAGCUACAAGAUGAUGUUUAAGGAUGAUUGUUCUCUUGGAGAAAUUAUGAGUGUCAAAAGAACUUUUUUGAUAAGGCGUGGGCGCGUGCUGUCAACUACGGACCUGCAGUUUUUAGUUUAACAUGUUUUGUAUUUUUAGUUAUUUUUGUAAUUACGAAUUUAAUAUUUCAGAUAUUAGUAUUUUAUUUUAAAAAGAACUCUAGGGGGGAUUGGAAAAAAGAAAGAAACCCUAGAUCUAAAUUUUUCUUUCUCUCUAUGAAGAACUAAACCUAUUUUUCUGGUUGAAGGUUAAUGAAGCUUUGAUUCAUCAUUACUAUGAGAUAUUUCUUAUGCUUUAAUUGUUUUAUUACUUUUUGGGUAUUUGUUUAUUCUCUGAAUUAUUUUCAUGAUUAUGUUUGUUAAUUAGAUAACUGACCACUAUUUAAUUAUCAACUUAAUCUAUUGUUAAUUAAAGGAUUCAUCGUAUGAAGAUUUUAAUGUUUGUGACAAAUAACAUAGCAGUGAGUUGUGUUAUGAGAAUGAACAAUCUAAUUUAAAUGAAGCAUCGUAUGCGUUUAUUGAUUAGGAUUUGGGUCUCUCUGGUUUUUCAGGUUGUCAAUUGAUUAAAUCCUAUGAUCGUAUCUAGGGUUGUCUAUUGAUUAGGGAAAUAACCAACGGUCGUACAUUGGUUAUCGACUAGUUAAGGAGAGAUUGGCUAUUAGAGGGUCUCAGUAGCUAUAACCAGUCUAUUCAUUAGUAGUAAUAAUUUAUAUUUGAAUCAAUGAUCAGUAGCCGAAUCAAGCUGAGUUAAUUCCUUCAACCAAAGCUUUCUCCAAUUUGAAUUACAACUUUAAUUUGCAUUCUUGUUAUUUUUAUUUGAUUUUUAUUAUUGUCAACAAAACCCCUAUUUUAUGUUUUACGUUUUAAAAGGAUUUAAAUAAUUACCGAUCUCUGUGGACACGACCCUGCUCAAUCACUAUACACAAUUUAUUUAGAAUAGGUAUUUAUUUUUGUUGGCUUUGACAACCAUCAAAAGCCAAAGAAAAAUAGGCUGAUUCAUCACUAACUCAAUAUGACAAUUGCAGAAAACUUUUGGAUGUUUUUAGCCUCCGAAAUUUCAACAUCAAUUAUAAAUUACAGAUAUGUGAAGGAAAACUUAGAAACCAAUUUUUAUUAACAAAGAAAAUGUUAAAAAAAUAAAAUAAAAGAUUGUGUGAAAAUGUUGAAAACUAAUUUCAACAUCAAGGCAUGUCACAUGCAACCAAUUCAUGUCACGCAUGUCACGCGUUUCUUUAUUUUGCCAUGUGAAUCAAAAUCAUUAACAGGGACGCCGCGCAUGUCACAUGCAACUAACUCAUAUUUGUAAGCACAUAUAUAUAAUAUAUUGCAGCAUUCAAUCAAGGAGUUAAAAGCGUCAAUCACGGUGACCACCAAAACCUGUGAAUGAGCAGUCCAUCAAAUGUUGAGGGUGGUGAAUUAAUAUUUCUUACUAGAAGAGCGAGUAUAAUAGUACAUGGACCUAGCUCAUUUAUAAAAAUUAGUUCAAGAGUUCGAAGGUUAUUUAAGUAUUAUAUACUUGAAUCAAUAUCAAUUUUUCACUCUAUUAAUUCAUCAAUCAUGAGCAUAAAAGCUCAAUAUAUGCAAAAAUUAAUUUUGUGAAAAAAAUGUUUCAAUCAUGAGUCAUUAUAAUUAGGAAUUUGAAUGAUUUUUAAAGUUUGAUUCAAUCAAUCUUUAUGUUAUUGGACAAUCGAUCUUGAUAUUGAUCGACAAUCAACCAUUAUAGUGAUUAGCACAUAUUAAGACAAUCAGUUCUAAUCUCUAUAAUGAUUAAAGAAGACUUGUAAGACUUAGAUCAAUGAGGAAAAAUGCUUUAUUAGUACUUUGUGUCUAUUAAGUAUAGUUUAUUUAAUAGUCAUAAGUGCUUAUUUAAUCUCAUAAUCUCUUAUCAAAAUUUUUGUUGUUUAAUUGUCUUUUUAGUAGAACUUUUGAAAAUUAAAUAAGAUAUUUUGUCUCUACUAACAAAAGAUAAAAAAUUUUAGGAGUAGAGAUUUAUUUUUUAAAAAAAUAUUAAAAUAUCUAAAAUAUCCUUUACUUUUGACAAUCUUAUUUCAUUAUUUUCAUGACAUAAUUUAAGAACUUGUUUAUUAAACUAAUUUUAUAGUUUUUAAUAAAAACUCUUCUUGACAAUCAAACAAAUAAAAUUUUUUGCGUAUAAGUUCUACUUAUAAAAGCUCUACUAACAAAACCUCUAUUUAAAUAAACUUUAUUUAAAAAGUUAUACCAAACCGAACCUUCGUGAAAAAAAAAUGUUAAUUGACUUUGAAAUUAAGCCAACAUACAAGUGGUCGCACGUCAAUUCUAUUUUUUUCCAAUAGAUGAUGGAGAUAGUCAACUAGUGAAAUAAAAGUUGAGAUAAUUUAAAGAAUUUAAGUGUAAUUUUGGGUUUGAAAUUAUCAAAUAAUUCCCAGUCUAAAGCUAGGUGGAAGUAAUAAACGUCUUGGAAAUCAAUAAUGUUAAGGAUCCUGAUAUUUGAGUCCCAACUUGAGUCCUAAUACUAUUUGUCCCUCAUUUAUUAGAUGAUGGAUUUCCUAAUUACUAAAAUUACUUAACUACAAUGUAAUAGAUGAAUGCCACAUUAAUUGGGACUUAAAUGUUGAGAUACCUAUCAUUGCUCCUUGAAAAUAUUAAACAAAAUAUUAGAAUUCUUUUUGGUCGUUUUAGGUGGUGUUUGCUUUUUUGUCUGCAAUCUGAAUAGAUCUGAAUCAGUUUGAAUUCUGAAUAGAGCUAAAUGUCUUAAUCUGAAUGAUAUGUUUGUUUUUUUAUCUGAAUCACUAAAAAUAAAUAUUAUGUUGUUUUUUAACUAAAAAAUGAAAAUUAAUAUUUUUUACAUUUAUGUCCUUACAAAUUGUAAAUGUUAGAUAAAUAAUAAACAUUUCAAAGAAUAUAAAUAAGAUAAUAAAUUAUCAUAACAUAAAUCAUAUUCAAUUGAAUACAACUCUUUAAUAUUCUAUAUUAUAUAUGUUAAUUAAUUUUAUUAUAGUUUAUGAAAUUAGUUAUAGUUUAUGAUGUUUUUGUAUAAAAAUAUUAAUAAAAAAUUAUGAAGAUAAAUAAUGCUAAUUUGAAGAAAAUAAAAAGAUAAAAAUAAUAAUAGUUUACCACCAUAUAUUAUCACAAGUUAUAUAGAGAUGAGUAAUAAUGCUAAUUAUUAAAUUUUAUUUAGGUAAAAAAUUAAUUAGUUAGAUAGGGAUAUUUUAGAGAACAUUUUUUAAUGAUAUCAUUCAGACUUUUUGUAUUAAGCAAAAGACUAAAAAAAUUAGCUUAAUAACUUAAUGAUUUAAUGGCUGAAAAUUUUCAUUAAAUUGAAAAAAAAACAAAUAGACUAAAUAACUUAACUAAUUAAAAUUAAGUCAAUUAAAUCAUUAAGUAAAAAAAAAAGGGGGUCCUUAGUCUACGUUUACACAAAUAUAGCAAAAUAAUGAAGAUUAUCUAUGUGCGGAUAUAUACGUGUGGUUAUCAUGAAAUGACCCGCCCUGAGUCUAAUCUCAUCAAAACUAGAUAGAUAAUAAUUUAAUUAGUGAGAAUUCUGCCGAAUUUAAGAGUUUCUUUUAUAAAUAUAAUACUUUCAAAAUAAUUUAAUAUACAACCAACUCUAAUGAUCAUCAUUCUCAACCAGAAUACUGAAAUUUUUACCCAAGAUAUCUCCAAGGUAUCAAAAGAUUAUAUUAUAACUAAUAUUAACAUACAUUGAUUUAUUCUUAAUUCCAAAAGAAUAAUAUAACAAAAUUAUACAAUCUCAAAACAAUAAGAUGAUUAGGAUGUUCUAACAAAAAUCAUCUAUAUCUUCUAACACAAUCACUUGGAUAAGACUCAAAAUAUAUUUACAGUUGUCGGGUCUAUCUCGUGUACCUGCAACUUUCUGUUGGGGGGAAGGGGAAGAAUACAAUAAAAAUGAAAUGAGAAUAAAACUCGAUGAGUUCAGUGUGUGGAUCGUAAUUUUUUGAAAAUAAACUUACUUUAAAAGAAAUAAUCAUAUCAUUUCCAAACACGAUUUCAUCAAACUAUAUGCAAGAAACCAUUAAUAAAUCAUUUAACAUUUAAAUUAGAUUACUAACCUUGAAGAGCAUAUAUAUAAAAUCGUAUGUAGUAACCGUCGAAAUCAUAUCACAAUAUCAUAUAAAAUACAUAAAUCUGAAAUCAUUACUAAACAAUUACCCAUGAGAAUAAUCUCGUUGUAUCCGAACCUCAACAGACAAGUAAUGACGUACUAUCUAGGUACUGUCACGCCUCGGAGCUACACAGAUAGACAAGGAAGUGUCAUCUCAUAUCUAGUCAUAUAGCUCAUCUUUUUAUGCAUAAUCUAGCCCCUAAAGGACAAAAGCAUCCAAGCACAAGGCCCAAAACCUCUGUGUGUACUCAGACAGGGCCCAAAAGUCUGUAUCUCAUCUAUAUAUGUAUCACUGUUAUCAUCAUAUCACAUGCAUAUUCUCCUAAAAGGCAAAAACACCCAAACACAUGGCCCAAAGUCUCUAUCUGUGUUCAGACAGGCCCCAAAGGCCUCAUCAUCUUUGUAUCACUGUAACCGGAGAAGGGUCAUAUCCAAUACUUUUACAAACAAUAGUUUACACACAUAUACAUAAACACAUAAUCACGUAUGAAAUCUCAUUUCCUUUUCAUUUAACAUACUUUGAAUCUAAUUCCUUUUCUUAAAAAUAUUACCAUGCAUAUAUUCAAAAUCAGCAAUAAAAUCAUCAAUCAUACACAUCUUUAAUAAUAAACACUAAUACGCAGAUAAAAUCCAUUUUUUUAAAAAAAAAAUAUCAGAGCCUUUAAAACUUAUUUCGUAAACAUACUUUACCAUAUUUUAAAAUCAUAAUAAACUAUAAAGAAAAUAGAUUUUGUAUAUUUCACUCACAGUAAUGAUAUUCAAACUCGGAUAUUGUCCUUACCUACGGACUGAUUCUCACUAUAAGAUCCACAUAUACAUAAACACAUAAUCACAUAUGAAAUCUCAUUUUCUUUUCAUUUAACAUACUUUGAAUCUAAUUCCUUUUCUUAAAAAUAUUACCAUGCAUAUAUUCAAAAUCAGCAAUAAAAUCAUCAAUCAUACACAUCUUUAAUAAUAAACACUAAUACGCAAAUAAAAUCCAUUUUUUUUAAAAAAAUCUCAGAGCCUUUAAAACUUAUUUCGUAAACAUAUUUUACCAUAUUUUAAAAUCAUAAUAAACUAUAAAGAAAAUAGAUUUUGUAUAUUUUACUCACAGUAAUGAUAUUCAAACUCGGAUAUUGUCCUUACCUACGGACUGAUUCUCGCUAUAAGAUCCACCUAAAUCAAGGAAAUGACAUAAUUCCAUAAAUCAAAAUUAGGACUAAAUUUAAGCAAUAAAUUCAAAACAAACAUUUAUCUAUAAUUUACAACUCCUUUGUCGGUAAAAUUACUAACACACUUUCGAGUCCGUGAAUCAUUAAAAUACUACAAAAUCAUAAAUCACCGAAUCACCCUCGUAAUUACAAUCAAUACUCAAUUUCAGAAAUUACAAAAUCACUCUCAAAAUGUGAAAUUACCGAAUUACCCUCGCCGGUUAACGGAGACCGGAAUUCAGUAAACGGCAGCCGGUAAGCUCGGGUCUGAUAUUUCCAAUCACGCUGAGUCUAAUAGUGCCGGCGGUGAGCUCCCACGCGCGACAACAGCGGCGGGUCGAGCUUCCCAAGCCGCAAACUUUCCGGCAGUCGUUCGCGGCCAAAACGGCUGUUUCCGGUAGCAGGGAUGGUCGAAAAAUGAUGAGCGUGAGCUGAGGAUCAAGAUUCAAGCGGUGGCGUCACCCAAAACCGGCGGAACCGACGGCGAGAAAGGGUGGGUUUUACAGCGGCUUAUCGAGCUUGAUUGCCAGCGUUUUGACUGUUACGCGGCAACGGUGAUGGCGGGGAUACAACGACCAGUCUUCAAGCUUCAGAUUGGUACCUUGAUCGGCCGGUGAGGUGGCCGGAAAGUGGAGAUAUGGCCGGAUCGGGUUCGUGGGUGUGGGUCGGGUUUCGGGUCGGUUUACAGCUCCACUCACUUUCUCACACGUGUGUAUGUGUUCCCCUGUUUCCAGCUUCUUCUUUUAUUUUUAUUUACUUUUUAACCGCCUCAUUUUUUUUUUUCCCGCACAUAUGUUACAUAUCAUGUGCGAAUAUAUGAGUCUUUCAAAAAGGGAACUCGCACUUUAUAAAAAGAGUAAUACUAUAAAUAAAAAAUUUGUUGAAAGAACUGAAUUUUUAUUUAUGAUUUGAAGAUUUUUAUUUAUUUGUUUUUUUUUUUUUUUUUUUUUGCCACAAGUCAGUGUGUCGAAAAGCAAAUUUUUUUUUUUUAAAUUAGUGAUAUAAAAAAAGGAUCAAACAUCAUACUUGAGAGAUUUUUUUUCCCAUAUUUGCCAUAUAAAUAUGCGGGUUAUAUUUGAGAAAUUCUAAAGAAAAAUAUACUGAAAAUAGUAAUAAUUGGUACUGAUACACUUCAACCUAAAAGGUUCAAUUUAUACAUGUGUUAGAAUUAAAAAAAAAAAUGAAAUGACAUGUUUAUAAUAAUUUGGGAACGAUUGAUUGACAAAGAUUGAUCAAUCAGUUUUUUUUCUUCCCUUUAAUCUACAAACAUUAAGACAAUUAAUCAUGUGUUGACUAUCAGCACGAUCAAUCAUAUGUUGAUUUUUAUUUAUAUCAAUUUUGUUUUGUUUCUUUGCUGCUUCUCUCAAAUUGGCGAGGAAAUAUUUUUUGAACUCCGAGUUUGUAUUAAGAUGUACACUCUUGAUUUUUUUUUCUUUUUUCUUACUCAAUUAAACCAGGAAGUCAUUCAUUUAAACCUAAUCACGGAAGGGAAAUCUUUUUUAUUUUUUCCACAUACUCUUUUUUUUUGGGGGGGGGGGGGGGGGGGGGGGCGCAUGAAAAACCAUUAACUCAUUCUUUUGAUCAAGGAACUUUUUUCAAUUAGAAAGUUGUUCCUUUGAUCUUUGAAAGUAAAGGAAAAUAAGCUGAUUCAUCACUAACUCACUAUGACAAUUGCACACAACUUUUGGAUGUUUUUAGCCUCUGAAAUUUCGCAUGAAUGAUAAAUUACAAAUAUGUUAAGGAAAACUUAGAAACCAAUUUUUGUUCUCAGAGAAAAUAAAAAUGGAGGAUUAACAUGGAUCAUAUUUGAUAACUGAUAUUCCUAGUGCAAGGCUGAACAUAAUUCUUUGGCGUGUGAAUUAAAACUCUGAAUUAAAAUGUUAACAGAGACAUCACGCGUCACAUGUAUCUAACUUUGGCGCCAACUUGGGUAGAAAAAAUUCUCUAGAUUCAUAUGAGAUACGACAGGUGUUAAGCAAAUAAAAGCAUCAAGUCGGCCAUGCUACUAUUUCCACCCCGGUAUGAAUCACCUCAGCCAAAUGGUACGAGCAGAACAGGGGGAACAUGAGCCGAUCAGAGACGAAUACUGACCAGAGGUAUAUACCGAGCCGAUACCCGUCCCCCAAAAAAGCGGAAACAAGAUCUCACAGGAUCACGGUAGUUGCGCUUUCCCAGAACCGUUGCGGGAGACGCGAGAUCCCACGUUUGCCCAUGAGGGGCUGCCACUACCCGAAAAAGGUGGGAUGGAGGGCAAACGGGAACGUGGGACAGCGGCUAUAAAAGAAGAAGAAAUCGAUGAAGAAAGGGAUAGAAAAAUUAAGAGAGGGAAAACGCUGCCAAAUUGCAAUCAGGCCUUUUUCUUACAAACUUCGAAACAAGUUAGAAACCUUUCUUGAAUCCAAAUUACACUGUUUUCCCGUAAACACCUUGUGCCAACUUAGGCAUCGGAGGGUUUACGCCGGCAAAACCACCGGCGUCUCUGAUCCGUUUUUGGUGAACGCAGGUCUAGUAAGAGAAAGGAGGGCGAUUCCAACCCCAGUGGUCCGAGCAACAGUUGUCAACACAAACGUUGGUGAAAGAAUCUGGUCGGUCAAAAGGCGAGCAGAUUUAAGCAUCAACAUUUUGGCGCCGUCUGUGGGGAGCUGAAUAAAAAGCUACCACCAAAUUAGUAAUUAUCGGAGAAGCAGCGAACGAUUGGAUAUGGAUGUGUCAAGAAAGGAUACUUUAAGGGAGGACAAUGAAACGGUGGAGACAAUCACUCUCCGGGAAAUUGCAAAUGAAGCCCAAGAGAGGAUGAUGCAAGAUAGACUGGAGCGGAUGGAGAAACAAAUGGAGACUCUCGCGGCCAUAUUGUUUGAGCUGAGGGAUAAGCGGAGAAGGGAUUGUUAAACCCCCGUGGGAAGAGAUGAAGUUGGAGCAGAACCCAGCCUCCGGAGGCGUAGAGUCGAGGAAAUCCCUCCGCCCGCAGACGAACCUAAUGGGGUGCAUCCCCACAGAAGUACUGGUUGGGUCCCAGGGGAACACGUGGAUGAAGGGAGAGACCAACCUCGCCCCGAACGGAUACUGGAAAUUAAUGGCCGAGGGGCCAGUGUUGAUGAAGGAGAGCUUAGACAGCGGUUGUAGAACGCCGAGCAGGAGCGAGACCAGAUAGCUGCACGUGAUCCUGAUCGUGCUAUAGAAUUGGAGGGGGAGGUGCGCAGAUUGGCGCAGGUGAUAGAGGAGAUACAAGGCAAGAGAAAGCCCCCGAGUUGGAGGAUAAUGCUAGAUGAAGAAUCUCCGUUAUCAACUGAGAUCAUGAGUACCAUAAUCCCAAGAGAUUUCCGCUUCCCCGACCUCAAAUACUCCGGGCGAAGUGACUCGCUGGUGCACAUUGAGUGUUUCAACGAAAUGACGGUGCAGGGUGUUCCUGUUGACACUAGAAGGACGAGCCCGAGAAUGGUACCGCAAGCUGCCCCGAGGAAGUAUAAAGGGGUAUGAGCAGAUGUGCCAGGAGUUGGCCGAGCAGUUCCGAGGGGCAGUGGCCUCAGAGGACGACAUGAUGGAACUGAUGGGGAUGAAACAGGAGGAGCAUGAAUCCCUUCGAGAUUUUGUAAAACGAUAUCACCGAGCCGUGCUGGAUCUGGGAGCUUUUAAUCACCCGCAGGCGUUGAGGGGAUUAAAAGAAGGUGUAAGAAUCGGCCGAUUGUGGUAUAACUUAAGAAGCCCUCUCGUACAGAAUUACUCGUCGGGGUAUGAGCAGGCGAGGCGAGAUAUAGAAAUCGAAGAGGAGAAAUCGGCAAGAAUUAAAAGUGAACAGCUGGAAGAGCUGAGGCGAAAGGAACGGAGAGCCCCGAAAGGGAGCGGGUCGGGAAAGCGAACUGGAGAAUCUUCAGUGAUGGGCGGAAUAUCAGCUCGGUCUCGCCCUUACCCUAUAGCUCCAAGAGCACAACAGUUCCAACACAGCCGGGCUCAACCUCCGCGCCCUCCGAUCGAAGAGCGGCAGCGAGAAUUCAGGCAGAUGGCUGCCCACCCUUAUCACAGCGCUCCCAAAGCGUUAAGUGCAACUAAUUACAGGUCUGGACGACCAGAGCAGCUACCGGCUAUACCAGCCCGAGGUGACAUCCAUGAUAGCCGAGCAGUUCAGUUGGUUGACCAGAGCGUGGCAUAUAGACAGUACACUCCAUUAAAAAUCGCCAUGGAGGAACUAUAUGAAAGGAUCGAGGGACGAGGUCUGCUGUAUACUCCGGCCCCUAUAACAAAAUCCGCUCACCGGCGUGAUAAGAGCAGGUUCUGCAAAUUCCACAACACUCACGGUCACACUAUCAGCCAAUGCCGUGACCUAAAGAUUCAGGUGGAGGAUUUGGUGAGGAACCAGUACUUGGAUGAGUAUGUAGAUGGAGUGUCCCCCGUCAUUGAAUCGCAAUAUGCACGGGAUGAAGGAGUUGAAAGGGGUUUGGAACGAGAACAACCGACCAUCCGGGUGAUAGCAGGAGGGCCAACAUUGGCCGGGGAUUCGAACAGAGCACGAAAGAACUAUGGGAGAUAUGCCAUGACUGGCAAAGAGGUGCUUCUCAAUUUGCCAGCAGCCAAGAGGGCAAAAGUGCGGCAAGUUCCCAUUAUGUGGACAGAGGACGACGAAGAGGGCAUUUUAUAUCCUCAUGAGGAUGCACUGGUGAUUAAAGCAUUGGUGGCUAGUACAGAAUUGCGGCGAAUACUGGUGGACACGGGCAGCUCAGUAGACAUUCUGUUUAAGUCGGCCCUAGAUGAUAUGGGGAUUUCAGACUUGAAGCUGGAGCGGACGAAUACAUCCUUGAAGGGAUUUGGAGGAGGACGGCUAACUCCCAUGGGGAUCAUCGAACUCCCAAUUACCGUGGGAUCAAAACCGUUUGAAAGAACGAUGAUGAUGGAUUUUAUCGUGGUAGAAGAAAGAAGUCCUUAUCAGAUGAUAUUGGGGAGACCGUUCAUGAGGAUAAGUCAAUGUGUAAUGUCCACGCAUUAUCUGGCGCUGAAGUACAGAAUAAAUGGAGUUGUUGGUGUAGUAAAAGGCGACCAGAGAAUGGCCAGGAGCUGAUAUGCUACAGUAGCCAAGGAAACGCUGCAGGUUACCUCUCUAGAUAACCGAGGGGAUUCAAAAAAUGGUCGCCAGGAACCUGUUGAGAAGCUGGAUGGGGGUUGUUGUAAGCAGGAGUGACCCGACCAGAGUGGUUAAAGUCGGAUCAGAAUUGGGCGAAGCAAUAAAAGGCGAGCUGGUGAAGUGUCUACAGUCCUAUGCAGACAUAUUUGCCUGGUCUCAUGAGGAUAUGCCAGGUAUUGAUCGCGCGGUAGCUUGUCACAAGCUGGCAGUCAAGAAAGGGGCAAGGCCGGUGAGGCAGAAAAUGAGGUGCUUCAACCAGGAAAGGUACGAGGCCAUAAAUGCCGAGGUGGAAAAGCUGCUGAAAGCAGGAUUUAUAAAGGAAGCCAAGUACCCAGAGUGGAUUUCCAAUGUAGUACUGGUAAAGAAGGCCAAUGGGAAGUAGAGAAUGUGUGUAAACUUCACGGACCUCAAUAAGGCAUGCCCGAAGGACAGCUUUCCCGUACAAAAAAUAUAUCAGUUGGUGGACUCAACCGCGGGUCAUAGUCUGCUCAGUUUCAUGGAUGCCUUUUCCGGAUACAACCAGAUACCCAUGGACGAGCAGGAUGAGGAAAGCACUACCUUUAUAACUAACAUGGGUUUGUUUUGUUACAGGGUGAUGCCCUUUGGCCUGAAAAAUGCAGGAGCUACCUAUCAAAUGCUAGUGAACAAGGUCUUCAAACCAUUGAUCGGUCACACUAUGGAAGUAUACGUGGACGAUAUGAUCACCAAGUCAAGAGAACCGAGAGAUCAUGUGAAACACUUGGAAGAGACCUUCGAUUUGCUGAUGAGGUAUGAAAUGAAGCUAAACCCGGAGAAAUGUGCAUUUGGGGUCAGCUCGGGCAAAUUUUUGGGAUACCUGGUGAGCCAUCGAGGAAUUGAGGCCAACCCGGAAAAGAUACGGGCGGUGAUAGAAAUGAGGUCCCCACGAACAGUUAAGGAGGUGCAGAGCCUUACGGGGAAAUUGGCAGCAUUGAACUGAUUCAUUUCGCGAGCCACUGAUAAGUGCCACCCUUUCUUCCAAAUCAUAAAGAAAGGGAAGAAGAUGGAAUGGACACUGGAAUGCGAGGAGGCAUUUGGACAGCUGAAUGAAUAUCUGGCCCGCGCCCCGUUACUAUCAACCUCGAGAGAGGGUGACCAGCUGCUUUUGUACUUGGCAAUCUCCAAGCGGGCUACCAGCUCGGUCUUAGUCAGGGAAGAAGAAGGGAAGCAACACCCGGUAUACUACACAAGCAAGGCCCUGGUAGACGUAGAAACCAGGUAUCCACUAAUGGAGAAGUGGGCGCUGGCUCUGAUAACGACAGCACGCAAACUCCGACCAUAUUUCCAAGCCCACCAGAUUAUUGUGAUGACUGACCAACCUCUUCGGCAAGUGCUUCAAAAACCAGAUGCGUCUGGUCGGUUAGUAAAAUGGUUCGUGGAGCUGAUCGAAUUUGACCUGUCUUACAGGCCCCGAGGAGCAAUCAAGGCCCAAGCCCUGGUAGAUUUUAUGGUUGACUGUGUUGAACCAGGGGAAGAGGUCCAAGGGGAACAACCAGCAUAACAGGAGGAUUCAAAGGGGAUAUGGCUGGUAAUGGUUGAUGGGUCACGUAGUGAACAGAGAUCCGGGGCAGGAGUUAUAAUACGAAGCCCAGAAGGUGUUGAGGUAUCAUAUGCUGUAAAGUUUGAAUUCCAGCUUACGAACAACCAAGCUGAAUAUGAGGCCUUCAUUACUGGGCUCGGUCUUGCACAUGCACUACGAGCAGAAAUGAUAGAAAUCCGAGCCGAUUCCCAGCUAGUAUGUAACCAGCUCAGCAAUCAAUUCCAAGUAAGGGAAGAGAAAUUGAGACUUUAUUUGAAAAAGGCGAAGCAGAUGGUUGAACUCUUCAAUGAGGUAGAAGUGAAGCAGAUAUCCCGGAAUGAAAAUUACCGAGCUGACAUGUUGGCUAGGAUGGCCACAACUGUAGAUCCUAAAUUACCUAAAUCAGUUCCACUAGAGGUGAGAACCUCGCCGAGUAUAGGAGAGGAAGUAGAGGUAAUGAGAGUAAGCACUGAAGAAUCCUGGAUGGACCCGAUUCUUGCAUACAUCCGCGAUGGCGUUUUACCAGAGGACAAAAGCCAAGCAAGAAAGCUAAAAUGCCGAGCAGCGAGGUACACACUACUCGAUGGGGUACUUUACCGCCGAGGAUUCGCUUUGCCCCUUUUGCGAUGUGUGGAUGAUGAGGAGGCAGAUUAUGUACUAAGGGAGAUUCAUGAAGGAAUUUGCGGCAAUCACUCGGGAGCAAGAACUUUAGCCUUCAAGGCACUCCGGCAAGGAUACUUCUGGGCAACCAUGCACCAGGAUGCAAAAAAGAUGGCAAAAAACUGUAAAACAUGCCAAAGCUUCUCUGAGGUUCUUGCACAACCCCCAGAAAAGUUGACCACAAUGACAUCCCCAUGGCCUUUUGCCCAAUGGGGAAUCGACCUAAUCGGUCCAUUACCUAAGGGUCGGGGAGCGGCAACACAUGCAAUUGUGGCAGUAGACUACUUCACCAAGUGGGUAGAGGUGGGAGUCCUCAGCCAAAUUACGGAGAGAAAGAUGACGGAUUUUAUUUAGAAGAAUAUCAUCUACAGAUACGGGAUCCCCUAUGCCAUCAUUACAGACAAUGGGAGACAGUUUGACAACAGCAACUUCAGGGAAUUUUGCCGAAAUUUGGGGGUGGACCUGAAGUUCUGCACCCCCGCACACCCCCAGGCAAACGGACAAGUGGAAGCAGCCAACAAAGUGAUAAAGAAGCUCUUGAAAACUAGAUUGGGAGAUAAGAAGGGAGUUUGGGUUGACGAGCUACCAGGGGUAUUGUGGGCUUACCGGACAACUCACAAAACUGCUACAGGGGAAACCCCGUUCGCUUUGGCUUUUGGUCAUGAGGUAGUAGUCCCAGCAGAAAUUGGAGUGGGGACACAUCGAACGGAAUAUUUCGCUGAGGAACAAAACGACGAACAGAUCUGCCUAAGCCUGGACCUACUUGAGGAGAAAAGGGAAGGGGCCUCACAGAAAGUGGCCCAGUGUCAACAAAGGGUCAUGCGUUAUUACAACAAGAAUGUACGCGUGAGGCAGUUCCGAGCAGGAGAUUGGGUACUUAGGAAGGUGAAUCAAAACACUAGGGAUCCCAACCAUGGUGCUCUUGGCCCAAAAUAGGAAGGCUCGUAUAGGGUAAUACGAGCGACGGGACCAGGAGCUUAUAAGUUAGCAUACCCAGAUGGACGAGACGUGAAGAGGCCGUGGAACGCCGAGCACUUAAAGAAGUAUUUCCAGUAAGCAAAGUACUCUACUAAAUCUUCAAUUUGAUAAGUUAUAUUUGUCAAAUGCAUGGUGGCUUGGUGCACAAGCAUAUAUUUUGUAUUUCUGUAACGCAUUCAAAUUUCAAUAAAGAUGAAUUCAGCAUGAAAUCCCUCGGCUAAUAAGCCCAUUAGAAAGUUCUGCUAAGGCAAGUCAAUGCCUUAUUCUGCUCGGUCAAUGAGAGACCAGCAGCUAAUUCUGCAAAAAAUCCGCUAAGGCAAGUAAGUGUCUGCUUCUGCUCGGUCAACGAGAGACCAGCAGCUAAUUCUGUAAAAAAUCCACUAAGGCAAGUAAGUGCCUGCUUCUGCUCGGUCAACGAGGGACCAGCAGCUAAUUCUGCAAAAAAUCCGCUAAGGCAAGUAAGUGCCUGCUUCUGCUCGGUCAACGAGAGACCAGCAGCUAAUUCUACAAAAAAUCUGCUAAGGCAAGUAAGUGCCUGCUUCUGCUCGGUCAACGAGAGACCAGUAGCUAAUUCUACAAAAAAUCUGCUAAGGCAAGUAAGCGUCUGCUUCUGCUCGGUCAACGAAAGACCAGCAGAUAAUUCUGUAAAAAAUCUGCUAAGGCAAGUAAGUGCCUGCUUCUGCUCGGUCAACAAGAGACCAGCAGUUAAAUCCACAAAAAAUCUGCUAAGGCAAGUAAGUGUCUGCUUCUGCUCGGUCAGAAAAAGACCAGCAGCUAAUCCUACGAAAAUUCUACUAAGGCAAGAAAAUGCCAGUUUCUGCUCGGUCAACGAAAGACCAGUAGGCAAUUUUACGAAAUUUCACCAAAGCAAGUAAGUGCCUGUUCCUGCUCGGUCAUCGAAAGACCAACAGAUGAUUCCAUGAAAUUCGACUAAGGCAAAUAAGUGCCUGCUCCUGCUCGGUCACCGAAGACCAGCAGGUAAUUUUGCGAAAAUUUUACUAAGGCAAACGGAUGCCUAUUCCUGCUCGAUGCACUAAAGAACCAACAGGCAAAAUCAGAUAAAUUGUCAAGUUAUUUUGCAGAAGCAACCCGUGAGCAAAACCAGACAAGAAAGCCAAUAGAGAGCAUUUAAAAAUUUAUAAACGUUCAAAUGUUUACAAAGCAACUGAAAAUCUAGAGUCUUUACAAAAAUAGACCUAAGGAUUAGGAGGGUCAACGGCCUCAAUAGGUGAAGGGUCAGCUAUCUCGGGAGGUGGAAGAUCAGCAAUACCGGGAGGAGGAGGCACGGACCCCUGUCCCACUUCAAAAACACGCUGCCCAGCUUCUCCCUCCUGCACUCCAUCCAAAGGAACCUCCACCUGCUCCUGCUCACCCUGCACCUUAUCUCCCUGGCCGGCCCCAGACAUAUAUCUCUCCACCCCAGCCUCCAGCUUGCUCAUGUCGAGCUCGGGGUAUUCUUCCUUGAGCACAAACAUGAUGCACUUAUAGCUUAAAGCAACCCCGGAGUCAUACUUGGCAUCCAGCCGAUCAUCCACAUCAGCGGAUUUGCCUUUCUCUUCAGCCAGCUGGUCACUCAGGGAUUUAAUCUCUCCCUCAAGGGCGGUCCUCAGAGUAUCUCUUUCACUUUGAGUAGCCUGAAGAUCGGACUUCAGAUCACCCAACUCGCCCUCAAGCUUGGAGGAAGUGGACUCAGCAACCGCAACUUUCUCCUCAAGCUCCAUAAGCUGCUUGUUCAGCUCGGCCAGUUUCUCCUUGGACCGAUCAGCAGAUUCGGCUUUCUUUUUCAACUCCUGGUUAUCAGCUUGAAGCUUCCUCUCAUGACGCGCGGACCCGGUCUUGUAGCACGAGACCAUUGUGGCCAGCCUGAAGGAGACUCUUUGAACAGAAGCAGCUAACUCGGAGAGGUUCAUGCUCUCAAUGUCCUUCACCAUCUUGGGCCCAACCGAUUUUUUAUAAUCCUUCUGAUAUGGGCUCAGGUAGUCACCUUGAUCCCGAGAUGGAAGAGGAGAAGAUCGGUCCCCAGACUGCAAGCUGACCUCAGGACUCUUGUCGGAGGUUUUCUCCCCACCACUCUUACGAGGUGGAGGAGGGGGCAGAGCAGGAACAGGCGCCUUGGAAGGACCGACGCUGGGUUUCUUUGGAGGAGGAGGAGGGUUGCUGGAGCUACUCGGAGCCCGACCACGCUUCCUGCUCAUCGCGCUGAGGAUCUUGUUAUCCAUUCCAGCGGCUAUGUCCACUAGGCCCGAACCGACCAGGUUUGUUGACGACAGGAGGUCUUGGCAGGUAGACGCGUUCACCAGAGCAGUUUCCACCUGAAGCAAAGGUCGAUCUUCAAGCCCCCCGAUCAAACCCCACGACUUUGAAAUAGCAAAAGAGGUUAAAGAACUCGAUAAGUGACAAUUUGAGAAAGAAUAUAGGCAAAAAAUGAACGACCUGGGGUGACAAACUCUGUUGGAAGGUAAAUAUCACCACCCAACGAACGGAGUGCUGAACACCACUUUCCCCCAGCAAAGAAGAAUUUGUUCUUCCAAUUUUUGCACGAGGAGGGGAAACCGGUGAUUGGCUUUCUCUUCGCAGAACUGGACAUGAAGUAGUACCAGCACGCCUCCCUUGGGCUGCUCCGCAGCUGAUACAGAUGUUUCACUUCAAUAAGGGAAGGCUCCUCCAACCCGCACCUCUCCCACAACACAAACAUUGCCGAGAGAACCCUCCACCCGUUCGGGUGUAGCUGACUUGGGGCCAGGUGCAUACCUCCCAAUAUCUUGGCAAAAUAAUGCUGAAGGGGCAGCCGAACUCCUAGUUUGAAACUCUCUAAGUGCAUCGUCACAUACCCCUGCGGAGGCCGACUAGGAACGUCACCCUUCCCAGGAACUACAAGGAGAACCUCCUCAGGAAUGUCGUAGAGGUUCCUAAGCUUGAAUAGGUCAGUUUGGGUGGUGGCACAGGCUAUGUAAUCAAUAGGGUAGGAAUCAGCCUCCACCCUAUGGCCAAGAUUCCUUUUCUUAGCAGGUCCACUCGGUCCGGAACUGCUCCCUUCACCAUCACCAACUCCUUCAGGGAUCCCAACCCCACCAAAGCUGUGGUUCUCACCAGAGCCCGACGCAGGUCCACCUCUAUUCCCUACAAGCUCUAGUUCGGGGGAGGGAGAGACAACCAAGGGGCGUGGGUACUCAAGGGUAUCCCUGCCAUGGGAAGGACCUACACUACUGGAGGGACCUAAGAAAUCGGUAGGUAUUGACACGUUGAGGCCUGAAUCCCCUAAUUCUUCAUCACCCUCAUCAACAAUUAACUUUCUUUUCCGGUUUGACAUAUCGAAUCCCAAAAGAAAACAAAGAAAACUCGAAUAUACGGAUACAAAAGGGGGCAACACGGAACCCAAUCAACAACAACCAGAGAAGAGAUUAAAAGCAGUACCUGAAAUGAACUGACCCUGAUAGCGCUGCCGUGACAGAGAAAAAACCAGCAAGUAGAAACUCUGGACGCAGGAAGUGUGAGUAAAGUUCAGAAAGGGGGUAGGUUAAUGACGGAGAGACGAGUAACAAAACGAUGACGAUGUAAGUCUAGGGAUUUGAAACGAAAAGGGGGAAAUGAAAGCAUUUAAGUGAUGGAGACGCUAGCUCACUCACCGUACAUCAAGGACAGAUAGCCCGUCGUUUCAAAUUUCAAAUACGAAGAGUCUGGAGAUGCCACGUCACCAACCGUUACAAGAGGCCAGGCUAGAUGCAAGCUCAUAUACGCAAUGGACAUGCUCAUUUAGGCCCAUGCUCAGGUCAAAAUCUCCCCUGAAGAAAAAUGAUACCUCAGGUCCGUCCCGGUAGACAGAAGACCAGAGGAGAAGCCCCCGGAUUGGUAAGAUUUGACUAUCAGUUUCUACUCUUGACUUAUUUCACUCACAAGACCAGAAACUGGGGGACUGGUGUUAAGCAAAUAAAAGCACCAGGUCGACCAUGCUACUAUUUUCACCCCGGCAUGAAUCACCUCAGCCAAAUGGUACGAGCAGAACAGGGGGAACAUGAGCCGAUCAGAGACGAAUACUGACCAGAGGUAUAUACCGAGCCGAUACCCGUCCCCCAAAAAAGCAGAAACACGAUCUCACAGGAUCACGGUAGUUGCGCUUUCCCAGAACCGUUGCGGGAGACGCGAGAUCCCACGUUUGCCCAUGAGGGGCUGCCACUACCCGAAAAAGGUGGGAUGGAGGGCAAACGGGAACGUGGGACAACGGCUAUAAAAGAAGAAGAAAUCGAUGAAGAAAUGGAUAGAAAAAUUAAGAGAGGGAAAACGCUGCCAAAUUGCAAUCAGGCCUUUUUCUUACAAACUUCGAAACAAGUUAGAAACCCUUCUUGAAUCCAAAUUACACUGUUUUCCUGUAAACACCUUGUGCUAACUUAGGCAUCGGAGGGUUUACGCCGGCAAAACCACCGGCGUCUCUGAUCCGUUUUUGGUGAACGCAAGUCUAGUAAGAGAAAGGAGGGCGAUUCCAACCCCAGUGGUCCGAGCAACAGUUGUCAACACAAACGUUGGUGAAAGAAUCUGGUCGGUCAAAAGGCGAGCAGAUUUAAGCAUCAACAACAGGGAUACAGUAAACUAUGGCCUAGCACGAUCACAGAUGAAUUUGGUUUAAAGUACACUCUGCUGGCUGCAUCUAGUUUCGUAUUGAACCGACCCGCUCCAAACUUAAAGCACAAGUCUGAUAAGUUUAAUCUAACGUGACUAGAUAAAAUUAUUAAUACGAAUCUUGUUGAAAUUUCGGCAGAAUCUCUCUAUAUUUGUGACAUUUCCAACCUACAAAAUUUCCCUAUAUUAAACUAAUUUCAUUAAUUAAUCUCCCCAAACAUAAUACCACACAGCAUAGUAAAUAAUAUGGUUAAAUGAUCUCAUUCAAAUGUCACCCAAUUUUUCUAAUAGUAUAAAAAAGGUUAUAUUGUAGCUAAUGCCGGUACACAUUAAACAUUCAUAAUCAUCAAAUGAUAAUAUAAUAAUACAAUCCAAUAUUAGAUAAUCAAAUGUCCUCAUAAUUUAUCUAUGUCUUCUAACACUAUCACUUGGCCAAAAUCAAAAUAACUACAAUAACUGAGUCCAUUGGUGUACUUACAAUCUCCUAUGGGGGAAAAAUUUAGUAAAACAGAGUAAAUAUAAAACUCAAUGAGUGGAUAUUGAGUUUUAAAAAUAAGAUUACUUUAAAAUAAUUAUAUCAUUACAGCAUGCAAUUCCAUUAAACUAUAUGUAAAAAUAUAAGUACAAUUUUUAAACUUUAAGUCAAGUAAUUAGCUAGUAUUAAAAAGGAAUACAUGAUGUUCAUAAUAAUCAUAAAAAUCAUAUUAAGAAAGAACAUAUAUACAUGAUUUUAAAAUUAUCACUAAACAAGUACCCAGGGGAAUAAUCUUGUCAUACCCUCAUACAGGCGGUGUAAUGAUGCACUGGAUAAGGACGACAAAAUUCGGGUUCGGGCCUGGGUUUGUCUGUUCCAGUUCCGGAUCUAGAUAUAAAACUAGAUAGUUUAUCUCUAGAUUCGGUAUGGGUUUAUCCGAGUUCCGGGAUUGUGGAUUUCAAAACUUAGAUACCUUUAUGAAUUUUUUCUUUUUUAAGUUCUCCAAUAGGGCAUGGAUACAAUGGGGAAAAAACAAACACCUACAUAGCAAUUUCACCUAGAAAAGUAGAAGAAAUACUAGAAUGUGAACUGCAACUUAAAUCCAACCACACAACAAAUAAGCAAUGAAAAAAACACAAGCUAAAAACAUUACAAACACAGAUUAUCUCCCUCAUCACCAUCUUCAACCUCACUAGACUCAGUACCAGCCUCCCCAUAAUCCUUCUCCAAAGUCGCAAGAUCCUCACGGGCUUCAAAGAACUCACCUUCCUUUAUGCCUUCUUAGCAUACAUCAAAUCAAAUUUGUGGUCAAUGCGAGAAAACACCUUAGCAACACUAGUUAAGUUCGAUAUCAUGCACAUAGCCCUCUACACCUUCGCAAGAUCACCACCUAGAACAACAGUUGGAGGCUGGUAAUUGAUACCACAUUUGAAUCCAAUUUAUCAUCAGUCAAUAAAUUGAAUGGUAGCUGAUGAUGAUAAUGAUCAACACAGGCGUGAAGGCUAAGCGAUGAUGAUGAAAUAGGUAAUUGUUGGCGCUCUGUGUUAGAUUGAUAACGAGAAGAGGAAAAUGAUUGGCGGCUAUGUUGAGGAGAAGUUAUAAAGUGUAAAACUAGGGUUUCCUGUCAUUACCCAACCCAGACCUGGCAAGAUAUUGUUCGCUUUAGGCUUUAACAAGGCCCGCACAAAUUUGUUCUUGGGGUGUCCAUACACCCCAAAACGCGUCUUGCCAAUUAAGGUGUAGAUCACCUCUUAUAUACCCAACAUCUCUCUCGUGCUUUGCCGAUGUGGGAUUCGCCUAGGGUGUUACAUACACCCCCCUUGGGGACUCAGCGUCCUCAUUGAGGUUUGCCCCACCACCGCUCAAGAGGACAUGCGGAGAUGCUUUGAUACCAUAAUGUCAUGAACCAACCCAGACCUGGCAAGAUAUUGUCCGCUUUGGGCCUUAACAAGGCCCGUACAGAUUUGCUCUUGGGGUGUCCAUACACCCCAAAAUGCGUCUUGCCAAUUAAGGUGUAGAUCACCUUUUAUAUACCCAGCAUCUCUUCCGUACUUUGCCGAUGUGGGAUUCGUCGAGGGUGUUACAUACACUCCCCUUGGAGACUCAGCGUCCUCGUUGAGGUUUGUCCCACCAUCGCUCAAGAGGACAUGCAGAGAUGCUUUGAUACCAUAAUGUCAUGAACCAAACCCAGACCUGGCAAGAUAUUGUCUGCUUUGGACCUUAACAAGGCAUGCACGGAUUUGUUCUUGGGGGGCCCAAACACCCCAAAAUGCAUAUUGCCAAUUAAGGUGUAGAUCACCCCUUAUAUACCCAGUAUCUCUCCCGUGCUUUGCCGAUGUGAGAUUUGCCUAGGGUGUUACAUAUACCCCCUUGGGGACUCAGCGUCCUCGCUGAGGUUUGCUCCACCAUCACUCAAGAGGACACACGGAGCCGCUCUGAUACCAUAAUGUCAUGACCCAACCCAGACCUAACAAGAUAUUGCCUGCUUUGGGCCUUAACAAGACCCGCACGGAUUUGUUCUUUAAUGCGUCUUGUCAAUUAAGGUGUAGAUCAUCCCUUAUAUACCCAGUAUUUCUCUCGUGCUUUUCCGAUGUGAGAUUCGCCUAGGGUGUUACAUUUCCUCGUUCAUUUUUUAUUCUUUUAAUUUUUUGCUUUUCUAUUUAUGUUAAAAAUUUUUUAAAAUGUAAUAUUAAGAAUAAGGAUAUCCAGGUUUGGGUUUCAGAUAUGCAAGUUGACUCAAUACUAGACCUGGACCUGGAUACAUCAAGGUUCAUGAUAUUGUUGUUGGAUUCCGGAUGUUAUUUGUAUUCGGUACGGGUUGAACCUAGUCCAGAUUAUUUGGGUUCAUUCGGGUCCUGUCUGGGUAUGAGUUAUUUUGCCGUCCCUAGUAUUGGAAGUGUACUAUCGUGCUCAGAGUUACAACAGCAGACCUCGCUAUCUCAUGUAUCUCAGUGUAUCUCACUAUAUCGCAUGCGUAAAAUAGCCUCCAAAAGGCAAAAGCAGCCAAGCACACAACCCAAAGCCUUGUGUGUGCUCAAAUAGGCCCCAAAGACUUAUAUCUCAACUGUAUCUUUGUAAUUGAAUAUUUAUAACUAAAAUUAUAUCUCUAUGCUUAUCUGUGUAUUUGAAGAAAAGGGUAUUGUCUAAUGAUUUUGAAGACAAACUUUUAUAUACAUAUGCAUAAACAUAAAUUUUAAGCAUACUUUGAAUAUAUAUUCCUUUUCAUUAAAAUACUCUCAUAUGUUUAUAAUCAAAAUAAAGAAAGAAAAUCACUUAUCAUAUCGUUUACAAGACACAUCAAUAUGUAAAUAUAAUCCAUCUCUAGAAAACUUAAUCAAAGUAUCAAACAUUACUUAUAAAUAUACUUUAAUUUACUAAAAUUAGAAUCCUAAGAAAAAUGUUAAAUAAAAGUUUGUACUUUCGACUAACAACGAUGAUGGUCAAACUCAGCUAUUAUCAAUAUCUGGGAGUUGACUCAUGUUCUCACAACUAAUUUUAUGCGAUAGACUUGCAAUGAACAUUUACCCCAUAGCUUUUAACUCUGGAUUCCAUUACUUGUAAGUUAAAAAUUACUUUAAUACCUUCAAAACCAUCAAUUACACAUUUUCAACAUUCUUUUCUCUCUUAAUCUGGUCAAUUAUUUUAAUUCACUCGUUUCUUGUUAAAGCGGAUGUAACAUUCUCGCGUACUUUGUUCAAAACUAGCAAGACAUACUAUAGUAACUCAUUUGAAUAAUGAGCUAGAAAUCAAAGUGAAACUUGAAGGAGAUAAUCCAACAUGCGGGCUCUAAAAAUAAUUUGUGGUGUGUUGGAAGUUUGAAUUUAUAGAUUUAAAGCUCAGUCCAAAGAGUUAUCAAUAUUAAGUAUAAUCUGAAAAUCGAUAAUAUAUCUAUUUUGACUAGUAAUUGAAUUAAUGAAUGUAUCCUUAUCUAUAUUUCAAAAGUGGAUUAUAAAGAGGCUAGAUGAGCAUUGUUGAGAACUGCAGGCCGCAGGCCACGAUAAGAGACUGAUCGCUCAAUGCUUCUUUAUAAAAACUUUUUCUAUUCAUGAAAAACGUUUCUGAAAACGUCUAGCCGAAAGUUAAAAGGAUUUCCAUUUUGCUAUUUUUCGUUUUCAGAAACAGAAAACACUUAUAAAGCCAAAUUUCAUGGUAACUUAAGAUGUCACAUAAUUUGCAUAUGAUGUCAGCUUGAUUAAAAAUUAAUCUUAUUUUUUCCCCUAAUAAAGGUAAAGGGAUGAGUAAAGCGGAAGUUUAUUUUUUAACCCCUUUUCUCAAAUAAAACCUCGGACGACCAACCAAAAAAAAAAAAGACUGUUUGAAAAUCACUUGACGAUGCCCUUGGGGGCAAAAAGAAUAAAUUGAGAAUUCACACUUGAUUGCGGAGGAAUUACUUCUGCCAUCUCAGCUGAAAACUUGUUUAUUUCCAUUGCAUCUGGGUGUUGCUUAAAUUUUUAUUGAAGGAGUCAAAUAUAUUUAUGGGGGUUUUGAUGUUUUCAUCACUUGACGUUCAAUGGCAACUGUUAUCUUACCUUAACAAGCAUUUGAUGAUUUUUCAGUAGCUUUCUUUACGCCAAUAUUUUACUCAGUUUUAACUUUAAGCCUUUAUUUUAUCAAAUUAAUUCACCAGUAGAUAACAUGUAUUUUUUGGCAAGAUUUUACAUUGCGAAAGAAAGAUAAGCCUCAAUUCACUUGUAACUUGUUAAAGCAGAUGCAUUAUAUUAGACAAAAAAGCACUUAGUGGUCUAACCUAUUGUAAAAUCUUGUAUUUAUUUACAUAAUUAUGGUCAUCAGUAUCUUUUGCUUCAUUCACUUCUCUUUUUCUUUAAUUAUCAAGGAAACGCGGUUUAAGUAGUUAUCAAAAUUAUGUUAAAUAUUUGUGAGUCUAGAGUGAGUCCCCACUAACAAAUGGGACUGAUGAUACGAAAUAGCGACCCUCAAAAUCCAACUGAGAUGCCGCAAUUUCCUUAUGCUACAAUGUUGACACUUGAUUCAGUUAAUAAUGAAAAUCUAUCACAAUGAUCACCGUCUUCUACAAUAAUUUUAAAGUAACACUUUGCUAUUUACUGAAGUAGGAUUGGCAUAUUUCACGAAAUUGAAAGCAAUUGGUCUUCGUGGUUGUGGAAUAACUACACUUCAAGGAAUUCCGCAACAAUCACCCCUUCCUACUUAAUUUCCUAGUCUUUUUGGCAAUAUUAUGGCCUUUUAUUUUUCGAUAUUUUUUUUAGUAAAUCAGCUUAAUUGAAUCUUAACUAAUCACUUUAUUAUAAUUUUUAAGUCUAAUUUUGAAUUCUCAUUCUUCAUUCUUUUGAUUCUCGAUGCAUAAUUGACUAAUUCUAACUUGAUCAAAUUUGAAUUAGAACCACUGCUUUCUUUAAUAAACUUUAGUCCUUGACAUACUCUAUCACUAUUUUCUAACAUAACCUGCUCAUUUCUUUCACUCUUUCUUUUUUUUUCUGAAUUUAAUUUUUUUAAAUCAGCAAUGAUAUCUAUCUUCAUUUCAUUACUUAUAGCUUUGAAUGAAAAACGAUUUUUUAAUAGCUCUUACAUUUCAACGCUUUUGAAGUUUUAUUUAUGUUCAUUAAUUCUUGAUACAGGAUUAGCUAAUUAAAUUCAAAUACUUGGAAGCAUUGAAUUUGAGUAGUAAUAAUAAUAUAAACAGUUCUCUAGAAACCUGAAGAUUGUUGUCCAAAUAUAACCAAUGCAAACCGUGUUACUUGGUUGUUUCGCUCUAGAUUUGCUAGAUCUAUCAAAUAACAAUUUAUAUGGCCAAAUUUUUCCCAAAUAUAUAAACUUGACUCAUUUGCAUUGGUUAUAUUUGGACAACAAUCAUUUUAGUGGGAAGAUGGAUGAUGGUUUGAGGAGCUCCACUUCAUUAGAGGGGUUAGAUAUAUCCGACAACAUGUUAUCUGGUAAUAUUCCUAAUUGGAUUGGUAACAUCUCAACUCUUAGGGUUCUUUUAAUGUCAAAAAAUUAUUUGGAAGCUAAUAUUCCAGUCCAACUCAGCCACCUUAGAGCAUCUCCAAAAGACAUAAGAUUUUACUCUUCAAAUUUCAAUUUGCUUACUGAUGUGGCAAAUAAGUGUAUAGAAAAAUACAAUCUCCUCCAAAAGACUCAUCAAAUAAGAAUAAGUUAAUAUUAUUUUAAUUAAAUCUUUCCCACUAUCAAAUUGAAUUGUUGUUAUGUUUUUGAAAGGAAACAUAAAUAAUAAUUAUUGCAGUCUUAUCUUUUCAAUAAAUAAUAAUAAAAUAUUAAUAGAAGAGGGAGAAACUCACUCAGCAAUAUUGAAGAGUGAGAAACAAAUCUUAUUUGAAGAAUCUAAAUUAACGUGUCUUUUGGAGUGUUUAAUAUUGAUAUGACUCUUCAAAUAAGAAGUAGAAUUUUAUUUGAAGAGUCUUUUGGAGAUGCUCUUAGAGGUCUUGAUCUUAUAGACAUCUCUAAAAAUAGUUUGUGUGGGUCCAUGGUAUCUUCCUCCAAUCUUUCAUCAGUGAAACACCUUUAUCUGCAGAAGAAUGCUAUUAAUGGGUUAAUUCCAAAUGAACUGUUUAGAAGCUCUAAAUUAAUCAUUCUAGAGUGAGGGAUAAUAAAUUUUCUGGUAGGAUUCCUUGUAAGAUCAAUGAGCUUUCGAAUCUGCAUGUUCUUGUUUUGAGAGGGAAUUCUCUACAAGGGCAUAUUCCUAAUGAAUUGUGCCAAUUAGGAACAUUGCGUAUUAUGAAUCUUUCACAUAAGAUACUUGAUGGGUCAAUUGCUGAGGAAAAAUCAGGUUUUUAAAUUUUUAUAAAACAUUUUAAAGACCGCUCUCAUAUAAUAUAUAGGAAUUUGUAAUCUAGAAAUCGUACCUUGAAAAUCCAAUUUGGCUUUUUCUGCUGAAAUGAUUUAGGCUCCCAGAUCAUGAUCCGUCACCACCACUCCUGUUAGAUCACGAUCCGUCACCACCACGCUUGCCAGAACAUGAACUGGCACCAAUGAUCUUCCAGGUUAUGAUUCAGGUUUGAUCUGCACUUGAUGUGUGGGCGCCUUUAUCACUACCAAAGCAACUGGCACGAGAAAAUUUUUCUCUCAACAAUAGAGAGAAAUCUUUCUCUGAUCUGUAUAAAGUGGCUGCUCUCUUUUUCUUUAGAGAAAAUAAGCUUUUUUAUAUCACCCUUCAGUGAAAACCCUAGGCUCCAAAUAAUAAAAAUCAAAACUCACGUUACUUGCUUUUUCUAUAGGGGACCCACCUUGUAAAAUAACAUAAGGCCCCUUACACACAAGCUAAUUAAAUGGAGCCUCCCACUAAAUAAUAUAUUUAGGCUUUUGACCCAAAUAGCUAGUUAUCUUGCUUAUUAGUCCAGUAGUGGUGCAAUCAAUUAAAUGAGCUAACUCGGGGAUCAUUUGGCAACAUACAAUAGUGGCUGUAACAAUUAGGCCUGUGAUUAAACUAGCCUAAUUAUUUAAUUUCAAAUCUACUCUACUAAAAGAUUGGAAUUGACCUCCAUAAUUGUAUGCUCGAAUAAUAAUUCGUCCCAAGCCACAUUGAUUUCUUUACUGCAAAAUCCUUUGUACCACAUCAUUAAUUAAAUCGAUAUCUCAACUGUCCAAUCGAUUUAAUUACAUCUUAUUCCUUGAUACUUACUGGUUUUCUCUAAUAAUCAUUUUCAACAUACUAAAUAUAUUGACACACUCUGGCCAGAGAAUUCUAUGAUUAAGUGCCGAAAACCCAUCAAGAGAUGUGUUGUACAAAUUAUAUAUUGUUAAUCUAUAACUCCAAUACUCAUAAAUGCUCCCACCAAGAUACUGGGUAAUCCAGACUACAAGUAUGUGUCAUGCCCAUUGGUAACUCAAAUUGAAUAAUAAUUACAAUCAUGAAAUCAUAAUUAACUCAAGAUUAAGAUUACAGUAAAAUCAAUGCCUAUGAGAUUUAAUAAGUCUGACAAUUAUUACAAAGUUAAUUAAAUCUCAUAUGUGAUCAUGUUCAAUGUAGUCAUACUACAUCAAUAAAUUCAUACAUGAUUAAGACAAAUCAUUCAAUGAAUUUAUUACAGUCUAUAAUUAAAUAAAGUGCCCAACUUUAUUUAUCAACUGCGAACUAAAUUUAUUUAAUCAUAAGAUAACUUGUAUUUAUGUCUUCUGUGAAUCCACAUGGUGAUCACAUAAAUACAUAUAAUAUGAUUAAUUGGACUUUAAUAAAAAUAUUAAUGCAAUUAAGAUAUUUGAAUAAAAUACCUCAUUAAUUUUAUUAAUCAGAAAAAUAUUUAUUACAAUUAAAUAAAUACACAUGCUUUUAAAGAGCAUAUUUUCCCAACAUCAAUACCUUUAUGCCUGGGUAUAUAAUGUGCCAUUUUGGAAAGAAUGAACUAACUAUUAUUUGUAUGACUAUUGUUUGCUUGGUGAAUACACAGUGUAUCACGGUUUCUACAUCGAUUCUGUUGUUAAUAAUUACUGCAAAUCUAUUCUUGAUCUACAAUCGCCUGUUAAACCACGUGUAUCAAUAUAUCAACGAGUAGAAGCAGAAUUUGAGACAAGGAAUAGAUAUGAAUUUUUCAUCGGCAGCAAUCUUGUGUACAUGGCGGGACUGGAUUUGUCAGGCAAUAGGUUGAGCAGAGAAAUUUCCUAGGAAAUUAGGAAACUUCAAAAUAUUGGUGCAUUAAAUCUGUCCAAUAAUUUAUUAUCAAGUGUUGUACCAGAGAGUUUCUCCAAUCUAAAAAUGACAGAGAGCCUGGACCUUUCCCACAACAUAUUAAGUGGUCAUAUUCCUCCUCAACUCACUGAGCUCAACCUUUUAUCCAACUUCAAUGUAUCAUACAACAGCUUGUCGGGCCCAAGCCCAGACAAAGAGCAGUUCGCCACAUUUGAUGAGAGCAGUUAUAUAGGAAACCAUGAUCUUUGUGGUUCCCCGAUAAGGAAGAAAUACAACAGCGAAUUAACACCACCAGCAACAUCAACAGAAGGAGCAGAAGAAGAAGAAGCCGAUUCGGUGAUUGAUAUGGUGGCAUUAAAAUGGAGUUUUGGUGCAUCAUUUUUUACAGUGACUUUGGGUUCGUUUGCAAUCCUUUGGAUAAACUCCUAUUGGCGUAGACUGUGGUUCUACACUUACUAGACCCAAUUAUCCAUUAGAUUAUUUACUUUCAUGCAAAGACAUGAUAAAUAAUUAUCGUUAUCUCUUUGGGCCUAAAUUUGUUAACAGAGCUUCGUUGGGAAGGUUAAUAACAAACUUUAGUUGAGUGUAUAACCAUUGUUUCAAUCUACGUAUUUUUCAUAUCAAUAGUCACCGUUGGGGUGAACAAUCGAUUGAAAAAUAUUUCAAUUUUAUCUUUGAAGAAGUUCAUCAAAUAAAAUAUCUAAUAUAUAUACCCUCCGAAGGGAGCAUCACCGUAUCAUGAAGUCGAGGUAUAUAUAUAAUUUUAUUAUUGAACUAACAAUGGAGCCCGUGGGAAAAUUAUCUUGAAUUUUCCCUCUCCCACUCAAUAUUUUAAAAUUGGUUUUUCCUUUUUAAAACAUACAUAUUGUUAAUUGCAUGCUUCCUAUAAUAUUAUCUAGAUGAUAUCAAAUAUUAUUAAGCAUAUGCAAAUUUCAAACAAUAUAAUGAAAUUCAUUAUUAAUGAAUGACAUGUAUCAUUAUGCAUAGAGUGGCACUACCUAUUCUAUAUGACAUGUUAUCAUGGCAUGUUAUCAUCCAAAACAUAACAUAUAGAAAAACAAUUAAAUAAUCUUAAUUCAUGGCUUUCCUAAUAAUGAAAAAUACAUUAACCCUAAGCCUAAUCUUCAUUGGGCUUCUUGUCAAUGUCCAUCUUUCAUAAUCUUAUUUUUGUUAAUGGACUAGGGGAAAUUGGGCUUUUAAAUUUAUAAUUGGUCCAAUUUUAAUUUUUGGAAGGAAAUAAAUAAAUAAUUAAAUUUUUUUUUAUUAAAAUAAAACUUUUGGACCAAAAAUAAAUUUAAUGUGUUCAAUUUUAUCCAUGCAUUUUAAUCCAUUAAGCCCAAAUAUCAAUUGGGCCUAAAACUAGGAUUCUUUAAGUUCAAAACUGUUUUUUAGACUUAAAUGCAAAAAAUUAAAACUUAUCAGCCCAAAGAGAAAAUCUAUGGAACUAUAGGGAUCGUAAUGAUAAAAAUCAUUAAAACCCUAAAUCCAUCUUUUUCUCUCCCCAGCCGCCAUCACCACAAAGGGCAGCCACUGUUCACAAUUUCCAGCCAUCUCCGACGCCGAGUUUGCUGCCGCCGUCACACCGGAAAUGUACCAAACACCUCCCUCGCGCUGCACGGAAAGCUCCUGCUCGCGCUACCUGCUGCGUGUGCUGGCUGUUGCACGCGAGCGUGCGCUGGCUGCUGCACGCACAGUGUGCGUUGCUGGCUGCGCGAGCAGCACACGCUGGCUGCUGGCUUGCAGCGCGCGCUGCUGGCAGCGUGUGCUGCGAGCCGCGCGCUGCUUGCUGCUGGUUGCCGCUGUCAAUUUCCGGCCUUCGUCGCUUUGAUCUUGAAAAUCCGAGAUUAAUUUACAAAUAUCCUAGGCCAAUUUUUGGCUUACAAAAAUUCUAUAACAGUAAAAUAAAUCAAGAGGGAAACAUGAUGAUAAAAAAUCACCCCUCUUGUUACAGAUCCAAAGAAAAAAUACAACGGAAAAUAUAACCAUGAAUUAAGACAAAACAAAACAUGCUUUAUUCAUAUAUUAAACAAUUAAUAUAUAUCUGAAUAAAUUGUGCCACUCUAAUACAUAAAUUUCAAGAAUGAUUUCAUACGAAAUUCUUAUAUAUUAAUAUGAGAUGGCUCUGAUACCAAUUGUUGGGGAAAAAUUAGGUUUUUAAAUUUUUAUUAAACCUUUUGAAGAUCGCUCUCAUAUAAUAUAUAAGAAUACGUAAUCCAGAAAUCGUACCUUGAAAAUCCGAUUUGGCUUUUUCCGUUGAAAUGAUUUAGGCUCCUAGAUCACGAUCCGCCACCACCACUCCUGUUAGAUCACGAUCCGUCACCACCACGCUUGCUAGAUCACGAACUGUCACCAAUGAUCUUCCAGGUUAUGACUCAGGUUCGAUCUGCACUUGACGUGUGGGCGCCUUUAUCACUACCAAAGCAACUAGCACGAGAAAAUUUUUCUCUCAACAAUGGAGAGAAAAAUCUUAUUCUCUGAUCUGUAUAAAGUGGCUUCUCUCUUCUUUAGAGAAAAAUAAGUCUUUUUUAUAUCACCCUUUAGUGAAAACCCUAGGCUCCAAAUAUCAAAAAACAAAACUCACGUAAUUUGCUUUUUCAAUAGGGGACCCACCUUGUAAAAUAACAUAAGGCCCCUUAUACAAAAACUAAUUAAAUGGAGCCUCCCACUAAAUGAUAUAUUUAGGCUUUUGAUCCAAAUAGCUAGUUAUCUUACUUAUUAGUCCAGUAGUGGUGCAGUCAAUUAAAUGAGCUAACCCGGGGAUCAUUUGGGAACAUACAAUAGUGGCUACAAUAAUUAGGCUUGUAAUUAAACUAGCCCAAUUAUUUAAUUCCAAAUCUACUCCACUAAAAGAUUGGAACUGACUUCCAUAAUUGUAUGCUCGAAUAAUAAUUCGUCCCAAGCCACAUUGAUUUCUUUACUGCACAAUCCUUUGUACCACAUCGUUAAUUAAAUUGAUAUCUCAACUGUCCAAUCAAUUUAAUAACAUCUUAUUCCUUGAUCCUUACUGGUUUUCUCUAAUGAUCAUUUUCAACAUACUAAAUAUGUUGACACACUCUGGCCAGAGAAUUCUAUGAUCAAGUGCCGAAAACCCAUCAAGAGAUGUGUUGUACAAAUUCUAUAUUGUUAAUCCAUAACUCCAAUACUCAUAAUUGCUCCCACCAAGAUACCGGGUAAUCUUGACCAUAAGAAUGUGUCGUGCCCAUUGGUAACUCAAAUGGAAUAACAAUUACAAUCAUGAAAUCAUAAUUAACUCAAGAUUAAGAUUACAGUAAAAUCAACGCCUAUGAGAUUUAAUAAGUCUGACAGUUAUUACAAAGUUAAUUAAAUCUCAUAUGUGAUCCUGUUCAAUGUAGUCGUACUACAUCAAUAAAUUCAUACAUGAUUAAGACAAAUCAUUCAAUGAAUUUAUUACAGUCUAUACCUAAAUAAAGUGCCCAACUUUAUUUAUCAACUGCGAACUAAAUUUAUUUAAUCAUAAGAUGACUUGUAUUUAUGUCUUCUGUGAAUCCACAUGGUGAUCACAUAAAUACAUAUAAUAUGAUUAAAUGGACUUUAAUACAAGUAUUAAUGCAAUUAAGAUAUUUGAAUAAAAUAUCUCAUUUAUUUUAUUAAUCAGAAAAAUAGUUUAUUACAAUUAAAUAAACACAUAUGCUUUUAAAGAGCAUAUUUUCCCAACACCUUCAAGUGGUUUCGUUAUGGUUAGACUUAUUUUUUAUUCUCCAGUUUCUGUUGGAUGUAAAUUAACAACUUCUUAUUGUAUCUCGAAUAUGCUCAUGUUGAUUAAUUGAAAGAACCUGGGACUCGAAAUCUACAAAAUCGAAUGAGGAAUUAUGCCUAAUACUAUGUUGAUUGUAAUAUCAAGAGUGCCUGGUGGUGCCAUAGCUACUUCUUUGUAAGACAGCGAUUUGGAAGCCAUGGCAGUAUGGUUUGGAACCUGGGACUCUUCUUUUAAAAAUGGAAAAACUCCGUUUGCCAAAUCCAAAAAUGUUUUUCUAGAAUCAAUAAUAACAACCGUUAAAUAAAAAAAAGAUAGAUCUAUAAUAUCCAUCCAUUGCAUAAAAUGAAUCAAUGGUUUCUCCUCACUUUGUUCAAGGCUAUGGGGGAAAACAAAAAUUAUCACUCGUUGCUACCCGUCAUCUCUGAAUUUCGAAAGAUCUAACAGCUUUACCAAGCAACCCUCCUUCAUUGCCAACUAACUAAAUCAGUUGACCUUAUCUAUGGCCAUAAAUAGUUCAGAAUCUUCUAAAGUUUGAAUCCUGUAUGUGAUCUGUAUAAGCAUGUUAGAUUUCUUGGGGGGGGGGGGGGGGGGGAGGGGAAUCUAUGCUAGAAAUGGAUGUUACAAUUGAUGCCUUCAGAGUUCACCAAAUAAACUACAACUUUGCUCAUGUAUUCAGUAAAUCUGUUUAAUACCUUGACUUAUAAAGUUAUUAAUAAUAACUUAUGAACAUAUAUAAGCUGAUCUCCUUAUCUAUAAAGCUCGUUAAAAAAGAAAGCACUUACCACUUCUUUGCAAAAGCUCACGGGCAUGAGAGGAAGACAAUGGGAAAAUUUUCAUGAGUUAGGAUUUUUCCAAAAUUCAAUUUGACCCUUCACAGCUUGAAUUGGAGAGUUAUUUUAGAGUAUUUUUAUCCUUAAAUUCAUUUGGAUUUGAGAAGGAAUUUAAAUGUAGGAAUUGUAGAGAGAGGAUUUGAGUUAGAGGGAAAUGAUUCAAGCUUUCAAGUUGAGUUUCUCACCAAAGGGAGUAAGAUUUCUAUCAUUUUAUCUUUAUUUGAAGUUGCAUUUGCAUGGGAAUAAAGUUAAUUUAAAGACUAGUAUGCUUUGUUUAUAGUUAAGGUUCCGAACAAAUGGAUAAAAUCGGUCCCAAGUUAAUUUUUGUAAUUGGUAGAUCAUUUUAGGUGCACAAGGACACUUACAAGGCAUUGUAGAGAUGAAACGCGUGGCCUUCACCGUUUCCUCAAUUCAUGUGCUUUUGUGUGUGUGUGUGUGUUUUGAUAGUUCAUGGUCAAUAAUGAGAUUGGUGAUGAUGUGGAUGAUUUAUUAGUAUUAUAAGAUAUAGAAAUCUAAUUAUUGAGGUGGAGUAUAGAAUUUGGAGCAUAAGGUGUAAACUUGAAAUGUUGACUUAAAUAUUAUUGUAAAUUGAUUUUGACUUAUAACCGACCAAAGAAAUAAUUGAAGAAGCAAAUUGGUUAGUUUCACGUGCACGGCUUUUGGCAAAGUGAAAUGUCAGCUUCGCACUUCACUUGUGAACGUACAAGAUUUGCUACAUAAGGAAAUUGCGGCGUUUCAGCCGGAUUUUGAGAGUUGUUUUCAAGUUUCGUAUAAUCAGAUCCCAUUUCUUUUCUUUGUAUUUGUUCAUUGCCACGACUUUUUUUUCUCCCACAGCUCACGUGGUCACCGUAAUUUUGAUAACUACUCAAAAUGGGUUUCCGCAAUAAUUAAAGAAAAGGAAAAGUGAAUGAAGAAGAGAUACUGAUGACCAUAAUCAUCUAAGGGUGCGUUUGUCAGACUGUAUUGUAUUAUGCUACAUUGUAUUAUUUUAAUGCUGGUGUAUUGUAUUAUGUUGUAUUGCAUUAGCACUGUAUUAUAAUAAUAUUGUACAAUAUUUGGUGCUACACUGUACUGUAUUAUUUUUUUGUGAUUAAUUGAAAUUAAAUAUUAUAUUAUAUUAAUAUAUUUAAAUUGUAUUAAUAUUUUAUAUUAUUUAUAUUAUUAUUAAUUUUAAAUUAAUAUUAUUCAAAUUUAAAUAUUUAUUAUUAGUUAAAAUAAAUUAUAAAUUUAUGAAUAAAUUAAUAUUAUUCAAAUUUAUUGAACACUAGGGUUUCAAAUAUACAAACUGAUAUUUAUAGUAUCUUCGAAAUUCUUAUUGAUAUAAACACAAGUACUAUUAAAAUUGAAUCAUUUAUUGAUUUAUUAUAUGUUAAAGUUGAUGUACAAUAGACACAAUUCACUUGACAUAUUAAAUUCUUUGUCCACAAGCAAAUUCCAAGAAAAUAAUAAACCUAAUAAGAAUCUAAAUAAAUGUGCUUCACUAUAAUUAGUUACGAAGAUAUUAACUUAGUUACAAAACUCAUAUAUCUCUAUCUUAGGAGCAUCUGCAUAGCAUUUUCCCAUGGAUUAUUCUUCUUCCCAGUAUUAAUAUUGCCCCAAUAAGUAGUCUUUGUGAUGUCGCUUCUCUUUUUAUUGGAAAAAACACCUUCAAGCAUGUCUUCUAAGAUCUGGUUCAGCAUCUCUUCACUUAUUCUUUCCCUAGCAAGCAGCAAUCUUAAGGCUUCUCUUCAUCUGUAAAAUUAAUGUUGAAUAUUAGAAUAAGAACAGUUAUGCUAUAUCCAUAAAUAAUGUCAAAUAUCAUCCCUUACCAUGCGGGCUCUCUUCAGCAGCAACAGCACCGCCAUUUACAGUGCUGCUACUAACCUCAAUAACUUCACUAUUGCAGCAACAAUAGCAACACCAGCUUCAGCAUCUUCAGCAAUCACUCCAUCUCCAUGCUCUUCAGCAACAUCGCAAUCUUCAAGAUUUUCAAGAGUCUAAGGCUCCAUCAUCAAAAUUCAAAACUACUUUCAACUUAAUUUGAAGGAUAAAGAAAAUUUAAAUAGAGUGGAAAACAAUGCAUCCAAAUGGGUGUGAUAGGAAUUUCAAAUGCACUCCACUCUCACUCUAGCUUCUCCUAAUCCAUUCAUUCAUUUCUUCCAUUUAAGGAGGCCAUCACCAUUCACCCCUCAAUGUUAUUGCAUGCAAUUCCCAAAAUGCGUUCUGAGCACCCAAUGAGAAGAUGUGAGACAUGAAUAAGUAUGCAUGAAUUCACAAGAAGGCAUAUAAAAUCUUAAGUUAAGCACCAUAUUUCAAACUUCUCAUAUCAUUCCUAGGACAAAAUCGGACCAAAAAAUACAACUUUGCAAUCAUGAGUAACACUAGCGUUAAUUGUAAUUAACCUAAUUCAAUAAAUUGUCAUAACCUAAUUCAAUAAAUUGUCAUCGUUACUUCAGGUUCCACAGUAUUCAAACUCUUAAUACAGCAACCCAGCACGAAAUAGGAACUAUACAGUUAACAAGAUAUAUUAACACAUAAGCUAUACAGAGCAUUUUAAGUUACUUCAUGUUAAAGUUAUUUAAUCAUACUUCAGAUACCCAUAUUAUCAAAACAUGCCCCUUCAAUUAAGGGUCUGUAACCUAUGCCUAGGUAAUAUAUUUUUUUUAAGGAAUAUAAGCAGAAUUUGCUCCUUUAACUUCCACAAGCCGUGCACUCUUCAUGGUUUGUUGGAGAACAAACCAUCUGUGCCAUCUUGGUUUUAUCAUCAGCCACCAACUCAGGCUUCGCCUGAAUCACCAAGAGUUGGGAAAGUGAAACAUUGGGAAAAAGAAAAAAAAAAAGUAAUUGAUUGUUCUAGCAGCAAUCAUCUUCUUCCUGCAAGAAUCAGCCAUGAUUUCUUUUUUUUUUUUGAAAAAUUCAAAUCACCAAUAUUUUUACGUUCUUCUCCAAAUUCUUAUCAUUCACCUCAUUUCCACAACAAUUGCUAGAAAACAGAACACCAACAUUCAAACCAACAAACAAGCCAACAAAUUAAAAAAAAAAAAAAAGGCCCAUCUCCUAAAUUCAUCAAUUCAACACCACAAUCUCUACUACCCUCUUAAUCACUCUCUCUCACAUCAACGCCUCUACACUUUCAGAUUUCAUGAAAAUGAUUUCAAUAGAUUAUUAUUAUUAUUAUUAUUAUUUAUUUGGCUUUAUAGAGCCAUCAACUAAAACACUUGAAUACCUAAAUGGAAAAAUGAAAUCUGCACGUAAAUCCAUUCGAAUCUCGCCGUAGCACCACCGCCGCACCAUGCUGUUGUUCGAAUUCAAAUGACACCGUCGCUCCAAUCAAAGAUUCAGGUGCUGCAGCUGCACCACUCAUUUAAUGAUUCACGCUGCACGACGGCUGGGCUGCUAUGUUUGGCUCUUGAGAAAUUGGAGAAUGGAGGAAAAUCAGUGAAUAGAUGAGUGAGUUUGAGAGAAAAGUAUUGUUUUGGGUUUUGAGAAGAGAAAUUUUGUUUCAUGGUCGUGGCUAAGGAUCGUGUUUGGAAGAAGAAAAUAUUUUAUUUCUCUUUUCGAAUGCAAUGCGGCCUAAUUACGACUCCCCACGGGUUUAUUUUUUGCGGCGUUUGGUGUAUUAUAAUGAGGUUUAAUACAAAGUUAACUUUUUGCCAAACAUGAUAUUGUAUUGAUUUAAUACAAUACAGAGCUUUAAUGUGGUGUAAUGCUGAGUGACAAACACACCCUAAAUGCAUACAAAAUUUUACAAUAGAUUAGACUACCGAUUUGUGCUUUUUCGUCUAAUAAUAAUACAUCUGCUUCAAUAAGAAACAAGUGAAUUGAGGGAUGUCUUUCUUUCGCAAUAUAAAUUCUUGCCAAAAAAUACAUGCUAUCUGCUGGUGAAUUAAUUUUAUAAAAGAAAGGCUUAAAGUUAAAGCUGAGUAAAAAUAUUGGCGUCAAGAACGCUACUGGAAAGUUCAACCGUGAGCUGCAGCCUGCGGUCCUCAACAACCUGAGAAAAUGCUGAGGUGUUGCGCGCCUGCCCACUACUUUGGCAGGUCUAAUGGGACCCACAGUCGGAUUUAUAAAUUAAAAUAAUGUACUUUUGUAUAUUUUUAAAUAAAUAAUAAAAUAUGGAUAAGGAUACAUAUAUUUAUUCAAAUAUUAGUAAAAAUAGAUAUAUUGCUGAUUUUUAAAUUAUACUUCGUGAACCUUUUGGACUAAGCUCUAAAUCUAUGAAUUCAAACUUCCAACACACCACAAAUUAUUUUUAGCCCGCAUGUCGGACUGUCUCCUUUAAGUUUCACUUUGAUUUCUACCACAUCAUUCAAAUAAGUUACUAUAGCAUGUCAGCUAGUUGGGAACUAAAAAGUGUACUUUAUUCAAUGACAGAAUCAGAGCCAUCAAAGGAUUUGUCUAAUUAUGGGCUGGUGCUAUCAGUGUUAAAGGCAAUUUCCUAACGAGAAAUCCUCACCCACAAUAGUAGGAGAUCUCGUCUUUUAUUUAAUUGGUGUGUAUUUUAGAGGUAUCGAUCUCUAAAAUAGAUCCCACAUUGUAAUAUUUGUAGAUUUUCACAAAGAAAAAAAAAUUAAUCCUACAUAAUCAUUGUUCAAUGAAAUUGCAAACUUAAAAAAAAAAAGUCCGGAUGGUUCGAUUAUUAAGAGCAACCAAUAAGCUGAAUGGCAGGGAAAAUAAGCUUAAAGAAAUCCAGCUUAGAGAAACCGAACAAGCACACAUACAUAGAGACAUAUGACUAUCUCAAAGGAACCAAAAGGAAGGUUAAAAUAGAGGCUUCGUAUUUCAUAUCAAUUAUUGAUAUGAAGAAGCUCUCGAUUUCCAACGAGCUGUCCUCCCCGUUUCGAAGCAAGCUUAAAAUUAAACGUGUAUUUGAUUCAUAACUAUCGUCAAAAUCGGUGAUAUUAAUGACAACUCACCUGGAAACUUGAGUAUAGUUUUAGAACCAAACUGAGAAUUUCACAUAAACUGAUACAUACCAGUUUGCAGAAAAGCUAACCGAACACAUAAACAGCACAACAAGUGGGAAAUAUGUAUAAUAAACUAUAGAGGAGUAAAAUAUAAGGGAAAUAUGUGGGUGCACAGCAUAAUUAAUUAUCCAAUAACAAAACUCUUAAGUCUUUUUAUUUUUCCAAACUCCAGGACACAUGCAUGUUAUAAAGUAGCCGGACCAACUUGUGACUGAGGAUGCUUCUCUGAGUUAAAUUCACGUGGAUAAUUAAUGGUACUUGUAGUAAAAAAUAUGAAAGUAAUUCUUAAUCAUAUGCGACCACUCGAAGACAUAGGCCACAUGAUCCAUAAAAAUCCUUGAGAGCUUACAUUAGGAAAUGAUUUUAAUUUGUAAUUAAAAUGUCACAAUUACCUCAGACUUGUUAAAUAGGCACUUAUUAUAGUCAAACCAUUUAUUUAUAAACAAAAAUAACGUAAUCUGCAGUAAUUUUUAUGUUUUCAUAGAACUUUAUGAUCCAAAAGCAGAAGAAUUGCAUCAAUUUAAAUUUAACAUACCACUUGAAAUCAGCCUCAAUCCUCAUUUAGUGGAGUUUUGUCCAACAAUAUUUGAGGCCAGUAAACAUCAAGUUCCCAACAAUGUUCCACUACAUUCUGCCUAAAUGAGUCAAACUCUUAAAAUGACACAAGUGAGGCAAAAGAUGAGAAGCUUGAUAAAAGAUUAGCAGUCAUGACAAGGAUAAUACCUCAAGAAAGUGCAGUACAGAGGCCGCGCGAGAAGUCAGAGCUUGCAAGGCAGAUGCUACUUAGCUUCAUCGUAAAGUCAGUCCAGCAUAAUAUAGAUGCUCCAGGCUACGAAAAUAAGUUCGAGCAUUCAGAAAAUUCUUCAGAUAUAAUUGCAAUUGAUAGUGCUAUCAUAAAAAUCCUUUAUGAAAAUGAAAGAAGGCAAAACAAACUUGGCAUCUCAGUCCAAUGAUCAAGAAUAGCAAAACCCAAAAGAUGUAAACCAAAAAAGUGGGGAUGGUGAAGGAUUUAUAGUUGUCAGAAAAAGGAAAAGAAACCGACAGCAGAUCGCAAAUGGGGUAACUGAGAUGUGCAAUCAUCAAUCCACCUGCGUUAAAAGAGAGAGCAAAGUAAAAAAAUGCAAACGCGUUGUCCUGUUUCUCCCAGUUUUAUUCGAGAGAUUUUUUACUGAAUGUUAGUAUUGUAGAAAUGGUCAAAAAAUGGAGACUUGAUUGUAUCAUUUUGGAUAUCCUCUCUGGAUGUUCUAAUAAUAUGUGUACAAAUCGGUUUUUUAUUUUGAUCAUUAAAUAAUGAGUAACUAAUUAGCCGAUUUUCCUUGUACAAGAAAUCUGAGAUGUUGCUUUUAUAGAUAGAGGUUCCUCAAAUUAAUUGGUAUUAACCCACUGAUAGCUUUAAUUUGCAGCUAAAGUUGCUGCACUGAUGAUGCUACAACCAACAUAGUAUUUGGCAAAACUCCUUAUUUGGAUUUGUAGCAUUUCGAGUCUCAGGUUCUUUCAAUCAACAAUCUCCGACAGAAUACUUAUUUGGAAAGCCAAUAGUAGCUUGUGUCAAUACAUCUAUCAAUGAAAUAGAACCAUAAUCUGCGCCAAUAUGAGUUUAUGCCAAGGGCCACAAACAAACUCAAUAUUACUGUCGCAUAGGUUGCACCAAAACUCCAGUAUAAUGCCACCAUACUAAUUGCAGAUUCAUCUUCUCCUUCUUCUUUGCCUGCUGGUGUUGCUGUCGGUGUUACUGCACUGCUGCAUUUCCUCUUUAUGAGUGAACCACAUAGAUAAAGGUUUCCUUAAUAAUUGUUUUCAUCAAACGUGCCAAACUGCCCUUUGUCUGGGGUUGGGCCGGACAAGUUAUUGUAUGACACGUUGAAAUUUGAUAAAAAGUUGAGCUCAGUGAGUUGAGGAGGAAUUCUACCACUUAAUCAAUUGUGGGAAAGGUCCAGGCUCUCUAUCAUUUUUAGAUUGGAGAAACUCUUAGGUAUAGAACCUAAUAGUAAAUUAUUGGACAGAUUCAAUGCAUGAAUAUUUUGAAGUUGACCAAGUUCCCAUGGAAUUUCUCCGCUCAACUCAUUGCUUGACAGAUCCAGUCCAGUCAUGUAGUUAAGAUUGCUACCAAUGAAAAAUUCAUAUCUAUUUUUUGUCGCAAAUUCUGCUUCUAGUUGUCGAUCUAUUGCGGAAUGUUUUUCAACAGGCGGUUGCAGAUCAAGAGUGGAAUUGUAGUAAGUAACAAUGGUAGGGUUUAAAGACAGAUACACUUUAUAACCCUCAAGUAGUUCAUAUUCAUAAGAGAAAUCAUCAAUUCUUUCUCUCCAGAUUGACACAUUACCCAAGCAUGAAGGUAUUGACCCAUUAAGUCUGUUCUGCGAAAGAUCAAUGAUACCUAAUUUUUUUAUUUGGCAUAAUUGAUUAGGAAUACGUCCUUGCAGAUAAUUUCCUCUCAAAAGAAGAACAUGCAAAUUCGAAAGCUCAUUGAUCUGAUGAGGAAUCCUACCAAAAAAUUUAUUAUCCCUUAAAUCUAGAGUCAUUAAUGCAGAGCUUCUAAACAGUGCAUUUGGAAUUAACCCACGAAGGGCAUUCUUUCGCAGAUAAAGGUGCUUCACUGAUGAAAGAUUCAAGGAAGCUAUCAUGGACCCAGGUAAACUAUUUUCAGAGAUGUCUACAAGCUCAAGACUUUCAAGAUUGUUAAGCUGGACUGGAAAAUUACCUUCCAAACGGUUUUUUGACAUUAAAAGAACCCAAAGGGUUGAGAUGUUACCAAUCCAAUGAGGAAUAUUGCCGGAUAACAUGUUGUUAGAUAUAUCUAAUCCCUCUAAUGAAGUGGAGCUCAACAAACCAUCUUUCAUCUUCCCACUGAAAUGAUUGUUGUUCAAAUAUAACGAACCCAAAUAAGUCAAGUUCAAGUAAUUGGGAAAAAUUUUGCCAUAGAAAUUGUUACUUGAUAGGUCCAACAUAUCUAGAGGGAGGCAACCAGAGACUAUAGGUCGGGGUAAUUCUCCUGAAAAGUUAUUUCUAGACAAAUCCAGUAUAUGUAGCUCUUGCAUCUCGCCCAUUGAAUGAGGAAUAUCACCUUCAAAAGUAUUUUCUGACAUAUCCAAAGACUCCAAUUUCUGAAGGAAAAUACCCAUAUUCUGCGGUAGCUUACCAGUGAAAUUGUUACUGGAAAUAUCUAGAAGACGAAGCAUAUCGUGUUUGGCAUUUGGAAGUAGUGGAAGAAUUCCUGAGAAUGAGUUAUUCGCCAAAGACAGUUUGUAAUCUUGAGUUGUUUUGCAAUAACCAAGUUGGGAAAUUUCCAACCAACUUAUUGUGAGAGAGGUCAAGGAAUCUUAAGUGGUAUUGGUGUAAAAGAAAAGUAGGACUGACAUUUAAAUUGCAGUUGGAUAAUUGGAGAACCUUCAAACAAUAUGUGGGGAGCCAGUUUUCAGUUUUCACUUGCAACAUAUUGUUUCUUGAUGAGAGCAGCAAGACCUCAAGCCUUGAAUGAUUAGCUAAUGAACUAAGGGGGAAUGUGCCUUGGAAAUUGAUGGAAGAGAGAGCCAAUUAUUCAAGUGAUGUGAGGUUGGUGAUUAUAGAAGGCAAGUUUCCACUUAACUGAUUGUAAGAAAUAUCAAGAACUUUGAGAUGGAUCAAGUUGUUGAAACAUUGAGGCAGCUGACCCUCAAAAUUAUUUGCUCCAAGAUUCAACUCUAAAAGAUUCUUCAAGUCACAUAUUCCUAAAAAUGAAAGUAAAAAUAGAAGGCUUACUAUUUCAUAGAAUGAAACUCCUAUAAAAUGUAGUGUUUUGUAGUUUUUAAUUAUGGCAAAUUCAAUCGUAAACCCAAUCUAAGACUUAUAAAAAAGUCAUAAAAUCAAAUUGUCUAAUUAUUUUGGUCAACGUAAAUAACAUUAUCUAUUUAAUUCUUAUAUAAUGUGAUGUUGAUUGCAAAAGUGUUUCAAUUAACCUUAAAAAAAAAAAAAGAACGAUCAACACUUCUUUUCAUCAUAAUCAGCUGCUGCUUUAUUGUUUAAAUUAAAAUUAUGAUUUUCUCUGGAAUAAUUUGAUACUUCGUCUUGUUUAUUGGAUAUUGGUAUUCUAAUCUCUAAAUUAAAAUUAUGAUUUUUCAGUUGUUUUCUUAAAUAAUAGUUUGUCUUAAAAUACACUUAAAUUUGUCUUAAAUUUUUACUCCUCUCUAGCAUAAACAAAACAUGUUUGAAAAGAAUUUACCGGAGGAAAAACAAAAAAAGAAGGAAAAAAGAACUUUUCUUCAUAAUCUAGGAAGUAGCUACCCACAAACGGUUUGUCAUUAUUUCAAAUAUUCAAUUAUCAUGUUUCAACAUAAAAACGCCGAGUAGAUUGUUUACUUCGGUUUCUAGAAAUCUGUUUAUAUUAUUAUUACUCAAUCUAACGCUUCCAAGUUUUUGAAUUUGGCUAAUUCUGCGUCAAGAACUAAUAAUGAGGAUAAAUAAAAAAUUUUAAUUAGAUUUGGGAGUUUUGUCUUAAUUCUUCUAUAUAGUUUUGAUAUAUACUUAUCCAUAAUACUUCAAAAGCAUUGAAAUGAAAAAGCUAUUGAAGACUUCGUUUUUCAUUCAGAACUUUUCUAUUAAAAGAAUCAGAAGAAACGGAGAGAGUGAAAGAAAUGAGGGGAGUCAGGACUCAGCAGACAGUGGUAGGGUUUGUCAAGUACUAAACUUCAUUAAAGAAAGCAGUGGCUCUAAUUCAAAUUUGAGCAUGAGCUAGUAGUUGAUGGAAUAUGCCGGCUGUCUCGAAUCAAAAUAAUGAAGAAAGGGAAUUCAAAAUUAUAUUAAAAUUAAUUAAGUUAAUAUCCCGAAAAGGAUUCAGAAAAAGAAAAAAGAAAAAGGCCAUAACAGUACAAAAAAGAAAUUAAAAGAAAAGAAAAAAACUAGGAAAUUAAAUAGAAGUUAUGAUUGUUGCUGUAUACCUUGAAUUGUAGUUAUUCCACAAUCUCUAAGAUCCAAUGUUUUCAAGUUUGUCAGAUUUGCCAAUCCUACAUGGCCGAUAAAAAUGAAAAUAUUGUUUCAAAAUUAUUGUAGAGCGAUGAGAUAUCUGUGUUCGAUAAACAUCUUGGUAAAUUUGCUUCUUAACUGUGUCUUAGUACAUAGCUUACCUAGCCUUGUUAAGAGCCCUAUAUUGGGUUAUCACGUAGAUCCAAUAGUUGCAGGUUUCUCAAAUUUGAUAAUCCUGAGGACAUAAAUUAAUGUUGAAUAAGACAUAUAUAUAGAGAAAUUCUCAGAUCAAGAUGCUAAAUGUAAAUUUCGUGCAGAUUCAUUAUUACACUAUAUGGUGUUAGUGUAUUUCUAUUCUAUUAAGUAUAAUACUACAUAAUGUAAUAGCAAAUCCACACGAAAUCUGCAUUUAUGCAUAUAUAAGUUUUUCUCCCUCGAUGUGUGUGUGUGAGCAAUUAAGUUGCGCCUUACAUAUCUUGUGGCCUGGAAUGUAUAUACCUUCUAUGGUUCUGGAACCUUCAAUGUUAUUUUCCCGCAGAAUCAAAGUGGUAAGUGAUAUCAGUGUAUUCAAAUAUGGUAAUAUGCUGUCAUUGAAGUGAUUAGCUUCAAGAUUUAAGAUCUUCAGCUGCUUCAAGCUCCCAUUGCUGUCGUAAGCUGCUAAUGCAUGCACUAUUAGUAGCUCACUGACAUUAAUUUUUCUUUUAAAACGAAUAUGCAAAUUGUAUAUCAAAAACCAAAAUAACAAUAAUAAUAAUGGACGAGAAAGAUAUAUACGAUAUACACACCUCUAUUCUCAUAGAAACCUUCAAACGCAUUGAGAGAUAAGUCGAGGCUUUGCAAUUCUUCAAAAGGAUGAAACAGUGAGAAAUUCAUAAGUGAAACUCCAAAAAGAGAGUUAUAAGAGAAGUUGAAUUUGGCUGUAUCAUUAAGCAAGAGAUGCAUCACCCGUCUUGUGGUGGCGUUGCACUUAACUCCAUCCCAAUCAUUAGAACAAUCAGACGACAUUCCAUCAUCAUCAACCCAUGAAGUAAGAAUUUCUUCUGCAUAUUCCGUAUCACUGAUCGAUAUAAAGAAGCUCUUAAGUGCCAACAGACCAAUCCUCUCUUUUUGCAAGCAACAUUUGUAUCCAUGCAUUUGCAUCAAAACAAUAAUCAAAAUCAGUGACAUUGAAAACUUAAUCAAGGUAGUUUCCAUUGCGAAGCAACUUUUCAUUUGGUUAAUUUACUCGCUCUUAAAAUAAUACUUGCAAUAAUGAAGAAAUUCAAUAAUUAUACUAAACAUUUAUAGACCUUGCAAAUUUUUUUUUGAUACAAUGGGGCCUAAUAAAGAUUAGGACAAAACAGAGCGGGGAAUAGUAUUCCCAUACAUAUCAUUACAUAACCAAUAUCCAAUACCCUCUGGUGGGUUAUCAAAAUCAUGAAAACCGAGAGGUAAAGAUCCUACCAACUUGGCCAUGAAAUCAGCAGCAAAAUUAGCUUCCCGAUAUAUAUGCUUUAUUGUAAUUUGCCAAUCUCUAUUCAUCAACUCCUUGAUGGCAUUGAUAAGUGAAAGAUGUGCAUUAGGCUCUGUUCUUGUGGAAGAGAUAAGUUGAAAGAUACAUUGGCUGUCCACCUCUGCCACCAAGUACUGGAUACCCCGAUUCCAUGCAAGAUGAAGACCUUGAAACAAACCCCAUAAUUCAGCAGAAGUCACCGAACAGAGACCAAUGUUCAUGCCAAAUCCAAACUGCCAUUUGCCAUAACAGUCCCUCACCAAUCCUCUAGCACUUGCCAACCCAUUUUUUAAUCGAGAACCAUCUGUAUUCAAUUUGAAAAAGGAUUCCGAGGGAGCUUGCCAGCCAAUUUCUUUGAUGGUUUUACUGGUACGAACAACAUUGAGACCUGCUCUUGCAAUAUGGAUAUCAUGAACCCACGAUCUAAUUUCCGUGACCAUCUGAGUGCAGCAAGGGGCAUUGUGAGUGAAGAUAAAUUGGUUGCGCCAGAACCAAAUUUUCCAAACAGCAACGCCAAAUAAGCAGGCCCAAUCAUCCACAACCUUAUUGAUACCAGCCUUGCCCAAAUUGAAGCAUAACCAGUCACGGAGGUCAAGAGAGAAAAAGGAUUGCUUGAACAUACCUGGAACCAAAUGAUUCCAAAUUCUUUUUGCCACAACACAAUCACGAAGAACAUGGAUUACAUCUUCUUUUUCCUGUCCACAAUAUUCACAGUCCAUAGAAAUUUUGAUGUGUCUCUUAAAUAGCUCCUCUUUUGUUUUAAUUCUUCCGUGCAUUACCAACCAUAAGAAAAUGCGAAUCCUCUGGGGUCCUUUCCAAUGCCAAAUCAAUUUCCAUAUAUGGGCAUCAUUAUUGGAGAUUGGAUUAUUAAGGGAGAUAUAAGCUGACUUAGAUGUGAACUUGCCUGAUUUUGAGUGAGCCCAAAAAGGUUGAUCCUCGUUGUUGUCAUCCGAAGGUAGUUUGAUUGCUGCAAUCUGGAGAAGAAUCUGAUUGGGAAGAAAAUGACCAAACAUGCUCCAAUUCCAAUUUCCCUCAAUAUCCACAAAAUCCGCCACACAUUUAUUCUUCAAUUCAUCCGGUAGUUGAGUUAUAGUAUGAUUAGCAAUGAGAAGCUCUUCUGAAACCCAACUUUGAUGCCAAAAAUUUACCUUAUUCCCUUUUCCAAUCGACCAUCUCGUGCCCUGCAACACAUACUCCCAUAUUCUGUUUAUGCCUUUCCAGAGAUAAGAGUUGCGUUUAUUCUCAAGCUUGGAGGGAAUAAAAUCUGAAUCAAGCCCAUAUUUUGAUCUCAAAACCCGAAUCCAGUGACUGUGAGUAGAGGUUAGCAUAUUCCAUUCAAUUUUCAUGAGGAGAGCAUUGUUCAUGUUUGUAAGAUUUUUAAAACCUAGACCACCUUCAACUUUUGGAGAACAUAUCAUUUCCCAAUUAAUCAAACUGAGUUUACGGCUUCCAUUCUUGCUCCCCCAAAUAAAUCUUCGAGAAAUCCGAUCAAUUUUAUCCAAAAUUCCAUGAGGGAUCCUUGUUGUUUGCAUGGCAAAAAUGGGGAUCGCCUGAAUUACCGAUUGAGCUAGAGUAAUUCUCCCAGCAAGGGAGAGAUGCAUUGCAUUCCAUCCAGACAAUUUUUUAUCAACAUUAUCCACAAUUUCUUGAUAAGUGGCUCUUGUCACUCUGUUGUGAAGUAAAGGCAUUCCAAGAUAUUUGCCAAGAUUAUCUGUAGCGGCAAAUCCCAAUGAAUCACUGAUUUUCCUUGCCUUUUCUGCAGUAACAUUCUUUGAGAAAUAAACUCGAGUCUUCUGUUUGCUAAUCAACUCUCCCGAACAACUACAAAAAAUAUUCAGCACAUUAUUGAUCACAUGGGCUUGGUUGCAAGAAGCCUCAGCGAGAAGAAGUAGGUCGUCCGCAAAAAAGAGGUGAGUAAGAGGAACACCAUUUCUCGAGAGCCGUAUAGGACACCAACUUCCAUUUCUUACUGCCAAAUUAAUUGCAUGACUAAGGCGCUCGAUACAUAGAACAAAAAUAUAAGGAGAAAGAGGGUCACCCUGUCAGAUUCCCCUAGACGGAGUGAAUUCUUCAGUGAUCUCCCCUUCCCAUAAAAUUUGCAUUCUAGCCGUAGUAAUGCACUCCAUUGUAAUCCGAAUAAACUCUUUAGGCAGUCCAACAUCCUUAAGAGUAUCAUGAAUGAAGUCCCACCUAAGCCGAUCAUAAGCUUUCUCAAGGUCCACUUUGAUAGCCAUCUGCCCGAUUUUUCCUCUUUUGUUUCUCAUGGUGUGGAUAAUUUCUUGCGCCAUCACAAUAUUAUCUGUAAUUUGCCUUCCAGGAACAAAGCUUGUCUGGGUUGGUCCGAUCAACUCCGGUAGAAUUCCCUUUAACCUAUUUGCCAAAAUUUUUGUAACAGUUUUAUACAUCACUGGACAUAGGCUAAUGGGACGGAACAUCCUCAAGUUGGUGGGGUUGUUUGUUUUUGGGAUAAGGACAAUAAGGGUCUUAUUAAGCUCUGGAGGGAGGGGAUUGCCUUUAAAAAUAUUGCUCACAAGUUCACAAACUGAUGAGCCCACCACAUCCCAUUGUGACCGGUAGAAGAGAGCAUGAAGGCCAUCAAUUCCAGGAGCUUUUAGAGGGUUCAUUCCGAAAACUGUAGCUUUGAUUUCCUCGUUAAGAACAGUUCUGCUAAGAUCAGCUAAACUGUACUCAUCAAUUCUUGGAAAAGCAUUAGUAAUCGGGAAAUUAAAACUCACUUCAUCAUUACAAGAAAAAAGUUUAGAGAAAAAAUCAAUGGCAUGGGACUUGAUCUCUUCUUUAUUAUAAAUCCACGUACCCUCGCUGCUCUGGAUUGCAUCCACUCGGUUUCUCCUUCUUCUCGUUAUUGUUUUUCUGUGAAAAAAAGCAGUGUUUCUAUCCCCACAUGAAAUCCAUUCUCUCCUUGACUUUUGGUACCACAAUAACUCCUCCUGGGAUAGUAUGGUUUCAAGUUCCAUCUUCAAAUUGGACUCAAGCUCAAGAAGCCGGUUUGAAUCAAAUUUCUCCAGAGCAUGUUGAAUACCAUUUAAUCUUGCCAAUAAACGCCUUUUCCUUUUAAAAAUAUUCCCAAAAUUCUCUUUAUUCCACACACUAACUUUAUCCACAAAGUCAUGAGCAGCCCGAAUAUAUCCCUUAGAGUUGCACCAUUCCUUAGCCACUAGAGAUUGGAAAGACUGGUCCGUCAACCAAGCUGCCAAGAAACGAAAUGGCCUAACAACAUUCAUUUUCUUCAAACUACGGCCAAAUCUGACAAGAAUCGGACGGUGGUCAGAAUGAAUUUUUGGAAGAUGUAAAACUGAAGCUUCCAUAAAAGACACAUUCCACUGGUCAUUGCAUAUGGCUCGGUCUAAUCUUUUAAAGAGAGAUCCCCUCGACCAAGUGAAACAAGGCCCUUUAAAAUGUAGAUCCAUAAGCUGAUUAUCAUGAAACCAUUUGUUAAACAGUCUACAAACACCAUUGCCUUUUUUUGAACCUCCUUUUUUCUCUGAAACAUGUAGGAUUGAGUUGAAGUCUCCCCCUAGUAGCCAUGGUCCUGUAACUGAAUUAGCUACCAGGUCAAGAUUGCUCCAUAGCUCCCUCCUCAAAUUUGGGUUGGGGCUAGCAUAAACGGCAGUGACCCACGACCAAUUACCAGAAAAAUCUGUGACUUUAAAAUGAAUGUACUGCUUGUGAUUAAAAACAAACUCCAUCCUGAAUUCUUCUUUCCAUAAAAUCCAAAUACCCCCUGCAAAACCUUCAGCUUCCACUCGAUGCGAUGACUCAAAACCACUACGUUUAAUAAAGUUAUCAGCUUUAACUCCACUGAUUUUAGGUUCCAAAAUCGCAACAAUAUCAGGGUUAUAAAUUUUAUUCAUUAUGAUAAAAGCUCUUCUAAAGCCCGGUGAAGCCACCCCUUGGCAAUUCCAAAAAAGGAUAGAUAAAUUCAUUAAAAUAAAGAGAAUAAUAGGAGGAAACCGUUCAAACCGAACUUCAUUCUGACUCCAUGUUGUCCUCAUCUUCCAAAGAGGUUCCACUAUCAUCAGAUUCUGAGUCACUUCCCUCACCUUCACCCUUAAAGCUCUCAUCAUCCGGGUCAUCUUCAUCAUUGGCAUUUAUUACCAAAUCCUCAUCAGGGGGUUUGUCUCGAUUUUCAAUAAGUAUAUUAGGAUCAGCAAGCUCUAAAUUUGGUAAAGAUGGAACUAAACUGACCCCCUUAGAAUUCGAAUGAAAAUCUUGUCGAGAAACAAAUUUUAUUGCCGUGUGUUUUACUGGGUCCAAGCUAGUGGGAACAAUGGUGGGGAUAGGUAGGUUGGUUGAAGUUACAGGGAUUUUUGACUGUGAACAUGACACUGUUUCUACAUGCAUGUGAGUUGGUGAGGUAACAAGGUUUUCUUUCAAGCAUGGGUGUUUGGCUUUUUUUUCACUUAAACUUUGCAUAGCUGGAGAGUUGACGUUUGUAUGGCUAUUUGUGGUAGUAGGUUUCUUGGGAUUCUUUUUGGUUUGUAUUUUAAAAUGGAAAGCUGGCUGAUCCUUCUCGGUUAUGGGCCCAUUGUAGCCUCUAGGGUGGGAAAACAUUCUAUCCUCAUCAUUAUCCUUUUCGAGCACUUCAAACCGUGAUCCCCCUUCAAAUUUGGCAUCUCGAUGACGAGUGGAAAAAUUAUUAUAGCCACCUCCAUUGUUGACUCUUCCCCUUCCUUUUCGGCUGACAAUCAUCCAAGGCCCAAAUGAAGGGUUUGCCGGAGUAAUUGUAGAGGACGACGGUUGAUCACCACCACCACUACUGUGACUGUUCCCAUCCUCAUUAUUUUCUGAGCUCUCUGUUUGUCUUGUCCUUGUGUUGGGCUGAUGACAGUUUUCAGUCCUAUGACCAUAAAUCCCACAAUUAAAACAAAUAACAGGUAAAUUCUCAUAUUCCACUUUUUGCAUUUUGCCAUCGAGAAAAAACUGUGAACAAAGAGGUUUCUUAAGGGAAACCUCAACCGCAAUACGUGCAAACUUCCCUCUUGUUAUUGAUUCGGUAUUGUAAUCAAUUCGAAUCACUUUUCCAACGACAUUCCCGAGCAUGCGAAGAACCUUUUUAUGAUAAUAGUGUAGAGACAUUCCCGGUAAUCGGAUCCAAGCAACAAUGUUUUCAAUAUCUUCACUGGAACCAUCGAAGUGAGGGUUCCAUUGUUGCACAGUGAGAUAAUGACCGAGAAUGGUCCAAGGACCUUGUGUUAGAGCAUAAUGGGCGUCCCCUUCUGUUUUGAACUUAACCAGGAAGAAAUCAUUCUCUAGGUCAAUAACAGAGAAACCUUGGGUCGUUUUCCAAACCUCAUUUAACUUGUUGCAGAGUGCCCGAUAGCCAAGAGUUCUCCCGAGAAGUUUGACAACAACCGUGUUUCUCCAUGGUUUCACCAGCUGUGCUUGGAUCUUUUCUGAGAAGGAAAUGGAUGGGAUGCUUCCCUUUUCACUAACAACAACGUCUUCAGGAUCAAAUUCCAAUUCUUCUUCUCUACCCAAAGGCUCCUCUUCCCCAUCAUUCUGAUCUUCCAUUAACUUAUCUUUAAAAGAUAGCGGAAGUGGAUUUUCAUCAUCAUUCCCGUGACUCCUAAAUCUUGCCUUUUUAGUUGAACGUUCCUCCGCCAGUGGUGGUGGCGGUUCCACUAAGAAGAAAUACCUUGCAAAUUUAUUGGGUAGGAUUACCGACAACUCAAAUCAACUAAGAAGAAAUAUCUUAACUGGCAAUAUAAUUUUGACCAUAGACUUGCAAAUUAUACAGAAACCCUUGAUUUUAUGUGAAAAUAAUUUUGAGACUUUUGGGAAAAAAAACAAAAAGGCAUGUUUGACUAAUUAUGAAACUAAGGAAAUCAUAUUUGAUCAUGUAAACAUAUUUUGAGGAUUUCAGUGUCUUUUCUCUUCAUUGUCUUAUCUACUUAAUCGAUGUCUCUUCAAUUUAUAUUAGAACUUAAUGAGACUUUCGGAAGAAAGCCAUGCUCUCGAUAAUGCUGGGCAAAAAGUCCAAAUUAAGGGUAUGAUCAAUUAUCUAUUCCAGUAUUGAUUCUCAAUUCCUCUUCAUUGAAAAUAAUUUGAUUGGAUAUUUGGUAAAUUUAUAUUAGGAUAAUUACCGUUCAACUUUUCACAAACUGCAAAAUAAUAGAUGACUACAAAAAAGUAUUGACUCAUCAUUUUAUAUAUCUUCACAAAACUUUCUAUUUUAUUACUAUAUAUUUACAAAAACUUAAAUUAAUAGAGAACCAAUAAUCCACUAUUUCUCCAAAUAUCAUAUACAUGUUUUGGUUAAUUACUCACAAAAGUGUGUGGUGUAUAAUGUUACAAACAUACAAGUUCAAUUAAAAUGACUCUAGUUUUCUUUACAUUGCGAGUUGCGAGCAAAAGCGCUUUACUAAUUCUACGUGGAAAAUAAAAGUUGACUGACUUUUUCAACAAACAAGCCGACGUCAAAGUCUUUUUCCUCCAGCAGUUGAUGGCAAUUUUCAUUAAUAAUAAGAUAAAGUUGAUUGACAAUUUAAAUAAUUUAAGGGUACCAUUGGGUUCACAUUGAAUUAUCAAAUAAUCUAUCUGACCAUGACUCUCAAAUAAUGAUGGGUGGGGCCAUUUAUUCGUUCCUCAUUCAAGUAUCUCAGCAGCCAUAAUUUACUUGAGGAAAGACUUGAUCAUUGAAGUUGAAAAUAAAAGCUGACUGCACGCAAAUUGACCGGCGUUUAUGCAACAACCCAAGUUGACUGCAGAGAUAAAAUUUUACACUUGUUAAUUUUACAGGAAAUUAAUAAAAUCCGAUUAUUGAAUUUUAUCUCUGGAAAUUAAUAAUCUAUCCCUCCCAAACUGCAACGUCACAGAUCCCAUUAUCAACCCAAGGAGUAAGAAUGUUGUCAGCGUAUUCAUUAUCACUCACCGAUACAAAGGAGCUCUUGAUUUCCAUUAAAGCAAUCCUCUCUUUCUCCAAGCAACAUUUGACUCCAUGCAUCUGAAUCAAAUCUAUGGCAAACCACACUGAAAACCUAAUUAAAAACCUUUCCGUUUUUAACCUAAGAUUAAACUUUAAUUUAAUUUGUUGCACUCUCAAAGCUUAUGUCUCGCAAGAUAUAACUAUAUAUAUUCGGAAUUUUUUUAUUAAAAAAUAAUUAUUUUGAUUGUAAGAAGGUAUAGUUAGUAAUUUUACAUAUUAUAAAGAUUGACAAUCCAAUAAAUAACUGUUAAUUAUAGUGAGAUAGUGAUGUAACGGAUUCUAUAAAAAAACGCUGAACAGGAAAACUAACAAAUUAUACAAAAGGGUAAAUUGAUGCAGCUAGGGUGAUUGAUAUAGAUAGGAAAUUUUUAAUAUUCUAUUGAUUUUAAGAAUACUUGGAAUAAAAAAUAAAAUAAAAAUUGUGUUGAUUCUGCAAAAUAUUUUGAAUUUAGUUUGCGUCAGAUCUCGAUAGUUCAAAGAAUGACUUAAAGACAAUAAGAAUGGAUUUCAAACAAAGAGUUUACUAUACAUAAAAUAAUGAGUAUCUAGUAUUGAGUCUUCCUCAAAGACUACGAAUGAGUAAUGACGCUUAUGUAUGUCAACUCGAUCGGACUUAAACUAGCGAACUCCAAUUUGAGCAUUUUCACGAGAAGGGUAAACUAGCGAACUCCAAUGAGUAUGACUUCAUAACUUACACAAACAUUUAAAAAUUCAAUUUAGAUAUCUAAGACAAGGGUAAACUUCAAUUUACUCCCUGCUUAAAUUGUUAAUCCUCAAUUUAUUUCCUAAAAAUGUGAAAAUAUUAAUUUACCUCAAUUUUUAGUUAAGAAAACAUUAAAAAAAAAUAUAUCAAUGUGCCCGCAAUUGCCCUCAUCUUUUUAAAAAAAAUGGGGAUAAAUUGAGAUUUUUAUACUUUUUAGAAAUAAAAUGAAGAUUGUCAUUUCAUCUAAAGGACAAGACCUGAUUGUACCAAGUUAUUUUAAUUUUCUAGUUUAAUUACAAUGUAAAAAAAAAAAGGAUUUAUUCAAAAUUUGGCCAAAGCCCAAGUCCAAUGCUUUCUUCUAUACUCCUACAGCCCAAUUAUUAAUAAAAUUAUGAUUUCUACUUUUUAAUUCAUUAAUUUAUUUUAAUUAAAAUUAAAAUUAAGAAAAAAGUUACAUUCGGAACAUUCGGGAUGGUAUUGGUAUUUUAACCGAUAGGAAUUCGUUGCCUUUUUUUAUCCCGAUUAAAAAAUGGUACCGGAUUCGUACAAUUCUUUAUUCCAAUUAAACAAUCAUUAGGAAUUAGUAUUGGACAAUCCCAAUCAGGAUGUACUGAUUACCAACAUUAACAUUUAGGUCUACAAGUUAAUGGGUUUUUAGGUGGGGGAAUGUGAAACCAUAUGGUCAUGUCAUCUAUCCUAAUGAAUUAAUAAAUAAUUGAAGUGUUUUAAGCAACAUUCAAAAAAAUGGAGAGAGCUUUUUCUUUUCCUCGGGUAUUCCAAAAAUUGUGUUUAUUUCAAACUUAAAAAGAUAACACUCAAUGAAUUAUUAGAAGAUGAAGACAAUUUUUUUCUUUUUUUGGAUAAUUUUUUUUCCUACUGCUACACCUCCAUCAAAAUCAAUAUAACAUUAAAGGAAAAUUGAUCAAAACCCUUUGCUGCUAAAAAGAUUUUAAUAAUUUUUAACUUUUCUGUCUUUUAUUAUUUUUAUAUUUGAUAUGGUAAGACCGCCAUUGAUGUAUAAGAGUUGUCAGGAAUAAAAUAAUAAAAGACCAAAAAGUUGAAAGUUAAGUUAUGAGGCUAAUGUCUUGUUAAAAUUUUUCAGAAUUUAGAUGUGCACGGUUAACAUGAGUUUUGUUGAAUGAACCACUAAAAUUGCGUUAUUAUGCCAAAAGGACAAGGAUCCUAAUCCAUGUCAAAAAGGGACUGAAUUGAGAGUCAAAUAGUAAAGAUCAAUAAAGAAGGGAAAAAGUAUCAGUCAUCCUAAUAAAAACCAAUCAAAAGAGAGAAAGAAAAGGAGAAGUCAAUGAAGCGAAAGAAAAAAAAACACGGAUCAAACAAGUUGAUCACUGUUCUAAUACCACUCGAUUUAAACACUCCAAGACCUUAAAGAACUAACAAAGACUCAAUCAAGAGCACACAAAACCCUAGAUUGAUCGCAGCAAGCUCUCUUUGAUAUACAUAAAUCUAGGUGGAUAAAUGGAGUUAGAGAGUGAGGUACAGCGAACAAGAUUUGAUGCCUACUCGCAAAAUACGGAGUGGAUGAGAUUGAGAAGAGCAGUGUCUGAUUAGCAUUUUAAAGGCUGUUAAAACAGAGACCCAGAAGCUUCCCGCUCUUCUUUUAACCAACUUAACCUACCUCUGACCCAGUGUGACUGAACCAAAUCACGUGCCUUGAACGUGUGUUUAAAUGACAGCGAUAGCCAGUUGAGGUAAUGUCGUUUAAGCUUUUUGAUUCCGAUGCGCAGGUGCUCCAAGUAAACUACAUAUUGGACCGAUAUUAAAUUCUUAACUAUAAACCGACGCCUUCGUUUAAUACUGUUUUCAGAUCAACUCUUAUCUCACAUGCACAUUUUAGGCAAAAAGGUGAAACCCACCAAAGCAUGCACCUUUCAUAUCUUGUUUCGAUCACCAAAACAUAGCAUACUAUGGUAGUAAGAGAAGUCGAUAUACAGCCGAACAUAAGCUAUUACGUGGUUCACCAAAUUAAUUCUUUGGUAAAUUAUAAAUCAUGGACUAUGCUAAGUACGUGAAUUUUGGAUUGCAAAGCCCAUAAUAAAAAUUGUAACGGGCUGUUUGCGCAAAGUAGAUGAUAUCUACUUUUAUCCUUUUUGUAAUUUCGUUUAAAGCUAUUUUUGUAAUAUAAAUAAGCUGAUUCAUCAUUAUCUCAAUAUGACAAUUUGCAGACUAGUUUUGUAUUCUUUUAGCCCCUGAAAUUUUAAUAUUAAUAAUAAAUUACGAAUAUGUGAGUCAAGCGUGUCACCCGUACAAGAAAUCUUCAGAAUCAUAUGGCAGAUGAAGUGCACAACAAGGCAUAAAAAUUAACACAUUAUAUAAAAAUUAAUACAUUAUUCAAGAACCCAGGUUGAAAGCAACCGACUAAAAUUAAUACAUAAAAGUUUAAUUACACAUAACAGAAAGAUACGGUAAACUAUGGUCUAGCACGAUCACGGACGAAAUAUACAAAUUUCACAAGCCAAUAGAAACACCAAUCAAUACAUGCAUCAAUGAAACAAAACCAUAGCCAGCGCCAAUAAGAGUUCAACCAAAGGAUCGCAAAUAACCCAAGCAUGAAUGUGACGUACGAUGCGCCAAAACUCCAAUUGAAUGACACCAUAUCAAUUGCAGAUUCAUCUUCGUCUUCUCCUUGAUAGGACGACGUUGCUGGAUUUGCCUCUGCUCUGGUGCAACUCUUAUUAACUGUUGGACCACAAAGACCGAGAUUACCUUUGUAACUCUUUUCAUCAAACGUGCCAAAUUGUCCUUUGUCUGGGAUCAGACCUGACAAGUUGUUGUACGACACAUUGAAGUUGGAUAAAAAGUUGAGCUCAGUCAGUUUAGGAGAAAUUAGGCCACUCAAUUUAUUGUGACAAAGGUCUAGGCUCUCUGUCAUCUUCAGAUUGGAAAAACUCUCUGGUAUAGAUCCUGAUAAGUAAUUAUGGGACAGAUUCAAUGCACGAACUUUUUGAAGUUCUCCAAUUUCCGCUGGAAUUUCUCCGGUCAACUCAUUACAUGACAAAUCUAGUCCAGUCAUGUAGUUAAGAUUACUACUGUUGUAAACUUCAUAUCUAUUCUUUGUCACAAAUUCUACUUGUACUCCAUUUGCUGCUGUAUAAUCAUCUCCAUAAAACUCCAAGUCAAGGUUAGAGGAAUUGAAGUAAAUACCAAUAGAAUCAACAUCUAAACUCCAAGAAAACUCACGUUCAGAUCCAUAAAGAUCAUCAUUUCCUGCUCUCCAGAGUGACACAUUAACAAAACAUGAAGGUAUUGACCCAUUAAGUCUGUUACGUGAAAGAUCCAUGAUACCUAAUUUUCCUAAUUUAGACAGUUGAUUAGGAAUAUGACCUUGCAGAUAAUUCCCUCUCAAUAUAAGAACACGCAGCUCCGAAUGCCCAUUUAUCUGAUGAGGAAUACUACCAGAAAAUUUAUUAUCCCCUAAAUCUAAUGUCAUCAACUUGGAGCUACUAAAGAAUGCCUUUGGGAUUGAUCCACACAGAGAAUGUUGAAAACAGCAGUAGUGAGGAGGCAAAGAUUGACCUUGAAGCCAAGCUGGCAUGCCACCUAAGCCUCUGUAAUCUGCAGCCAGCUGACAUGGAAGAUGAGUCAAGAUUAUUGAGGUGGCAGAACAGCUGUGCUGAAGAAUAUCAGCACAUAAGCAUGGAGCAGCUGAAUCUUCUGGAAUUCUAAAAUGAUUGGCUCAUGCCUGCCAUUCUGACAAAUUUGUUUUGUGUGUAAUAUUCUUUAUUAGCUGUCAUUAUUUUCUUGUCUCUAUAUAUACUACAUCUGCUCUGUAAUACGAUCAUCGAGUAUGCAAUAAUAAAGAAAAAGGAAACUUUGUCUUGUUCACUCUGCUAGCAACACCAAAGCAAUUCUCUAGAAUUUAAGUUGGUAUCAGAGCCAUCUUUUAGCUAUGGCAAGCAGCAGUGACAAUGAAACAAAUGUUAAUCCAACACAGGUUGAUUCAAGUGAUCAACCAGAUGAAUUGAACCAAAACACUGAGCCACAGAAUCCAGGCCUUAAUACCAGAAACACAGCACAAAUAAGUGCAUCACCAACCCAGCACAUCACUAGCAACACCUAUGUCUUCACUACUCCAAUCAAACUCACUCAAAGCAACUUUAUGCUCUGGAAAUCACAAGUGAUUUCUAGCAUUCGAGCAAAUGAGCUUGAGGGGUUUGUUGAUGGCAGCCAUGUCUGCCCUCCUAAGGUCUUCAUGAGUCCAGGACCAAAUCGAACCACCAUAACCACACCUAACCCUGAAUACCAGAUUUGGAGGAAACAGGAUCAUAUCCUACUGAGUUGGCUACUCUCUUCACUAAGUGAGGGAGUCCUAGGCACAGUGGUAGAUUGUUCCACCUCCUGUGAGGUGUGGACAACUCUAGCCAACCAAUUUGGUGCUAGAACAAGGGCAAGAAUCCUAUAUCUUAGAACUCAAAUUCAAACCACUAAAAAGGGUUCAUCAACCAUUCAUGAAUACUACUCAAAAAUGAAAACUUUAUUGAACUCACUUAGAGCUGCAGGGAAUAGCAUGAAUGAUGAUGAUUUCAUCAUGUGUGUGCUUGCUGGGUUGGGGCCUGAAUAUGACUCAGUAGUCACCAACAUCAACUCAAUGCAAGAGAGUCCCUCAAUCUCAGAAGUGUAUGGUAUGCUUUUGAGUCAAGAAAACAGAACUGAGCAAAACUUGAGCUCAGGGAAUAUUGAAGCCAACUAUGCUCAAAUGAGGAAUGGAAGAAGGAGCUGGAAUAAUAGUGAAAGAGCUGCCCAUCAACAGCUGCCUGGAAUUGUUUUUAGAAAUCCUGGAAACAACCCCACAAACAACCAAACCAAUCAGAACCCUCAAGACAAAGGGAAAGGAAAAGCAGUGGCUGAUGACAAUGGUUCUGAUCCAAAAGGGCCAUGCCAAAUCUACUGGAAAAUGGGACACACAGCAGCUGAGUGUUGGCACAGGUUUAAGAAGAACUUUGUACCUCAGCCAAACAGAAGAAGAGAGCAGAGGGGUGCUUAUGUUGCUGCAGCUGAAGGUCAAAGCAGUGGAGCCUGGUACCUUGACAGUGGUGCCACCAAUCAUGUGACUAACACUCUUGGAAAUCUCAGCAUCAACUCUGAAUACCAAGGUAAAAAUAAGCUAGCUGUUGGUAAUGGUGAAAAGCUUUUAAUUAGUCAUAUUGGAUACUCUGCCUUGCCCACAUAUGAUCCACACAUGCACAUUACCUUGACUGAUAUAUUAUAUGUGCCUGACAUAACCAAAAACCUGAUUAGCAUUUCUAAAUUGCUGCAUGACAAUGAUGUUGAUGUUGAGUUUCAAAAAUCUGUUUGUUUUAUUAAGGACAAGAGACAAGGAAAAAUUCUGGUGAAAGGAGUGGCUAGAGAUGAGCUAUAUGAGCUGCUAUCCUGAGCAGGAACAAAAAUCCUCAUGCUGUUUUAUUUUCUAUUUUGUCAAAUUCAGAGUCAAUAAAUAACAGUAGUUGUCCAGUGUCCAUGUUGUCCUUCAAUUCAAGUAAUGAGUCAGUCAAAGUUAGUGUUGAGUCAAAUAUAGCUGAUGAGUCAAGUAGCAACAAUCUGCAAGCUGCUGAAGAAAUUGAUGUAUGGCAUUCCAGACUAGGACACCCUAGUACUUCAGUCCUGAAAAAUACCUUGCUAUCUUGUAAUCAGCUCAAAAUUAAUAAAGAUAUUGUUCCUUCAUUUUGCUCUGCAUGUCAAUAUGGAAAGCAGUCAAAACAAUCAUUCAAAAGCACUGAAACCAAAACUAAGACAGCCCUUGAAUUGAUUCACACAGACCUUUGGGGACCAGCACCAAUUCUGUCCACUCAUGGACAUAGAUACUACAUCUCCUUUGUUGAUGACAAAACAAGAUACACAUGGCUCUUUCCUUUAGUAGCCAAGUCUCAAGCUCUUGAAACCUUCAUUACCUUUAAAAAUCAGAUCGAAAAGCAGUCGAACUUAACAAUCAAAGCACUACAAACAGACAUGAGAGGAGAGUUCAAAGCCUUUGAACCAUAUUUGAAAAGAGAGGGAAUAACACUAAGGCAUUCAUGUCCAUACUUACAUGAACAAAAUAGCAAGGUUGAGAGAAAACACAGACACAUUGUGGAGACUGGACUUACCUUACUUGCCCAAGCCAAAAUGCCCUUAAAAUUCUGGCAAGAAGCUUUCAGCUAUGCUACUUUCAUUAUUAACAGACUUGCUUCACCUGUGCUCAAGAACAAGACACCAUUUGAAUUAUUAUACUCUCUCAAACCAGAUUAUACACAAAUUAAAAUCUUUGGCUGUGAAUGUUUUCCAUUUCUUAGACCAUACAACAGACACAAAUUUGAUUUUCAUACCUCAAAAUGCAUCCUAUUGGGGAUCAGCAGUGCUCACAAAGGUUAUGUUUGUAUGAACAAUUUAGGAAGAAUCUAUAUCUCAGCUAGUGUCAGAUUCAAUGAAAAAUCCUUUCCUUUCGAAAAUGAUUCUAGCUUUAGGAAACAAGAGUCAGUAAAGGAGAGUGAUGAAGUUGCUUUACUUGAGAAAUUUCAGGUUGUGUCAUUCUUUGUUAAUAGUUCCCAUGAUCUUACACAAGUGGCAACAGCUCAUAGCAACUCUCCAGACACUACUGGAAACACAGAAUGCAUCCCAAGUCCAAUCCAGAAUGAAAUACAACAGGUAAAUGACACUGACACAAUAUCAGGUAGCUUUUCAACUUACAGUCCACCUCACAUUACAGAAACAAACAACCAAAACCUUCCCACACAAAAUGCCUUACCUUCACACCCCAUGGUAACAAGAUCCAAGGCUGGCAUCUUCAAACCAAAGUUAUACCAGGUUUCCAGUAAAACACAACCUUUCCUUCCCAAAAACACAUUUGAUGCCUUGAAAAAUCCCAAGUGGAAAAGGGCAAUGGAGGAAGAGUAUCAUGCAUUGAUGAAAAAUAAAACCUGGACCUUAAUACCAAACAAUCAAAAUUUCAAAUUGAUUGGAAAUAAGUGGAUCUACAAAGUAAAGGAAAACUCAGAUGGCAGCAUCAAUAAGUAUAAGGCCAGAUUAGUUGCAAAGGGAUUCUUGCAGACUCCAGGACUUGAUUUCAAUGAAACUUUCAGCCCUGUUGUUAAGGCUGCAACUAUUAGAAUCAUCCUAACCAUGGCUGUGAGCAAUGACUGGUUACUUAGGCAAGUGGACAUAAAACAAUGCCUUCUUGAAUGGUGACCUGACAGAGGCAGUAUACAUGCCACAGCCUGAAGGUUUUGAAGACAAGAACAGGCCAAGCUACAUUUGCAAACUGGAAAAGGCUUUGUAUGGAUUGAGGCAAGCUCCGAGAGCAUGGUUUGAUAAACUAAAAGGUGCCUUGAGUUGUUGGGGAUUCAAGAAUUCCAAGAGUGACACAUCUCUAUUUUUCAGAAGAAUUGAAUCAAAGAUAGUCAUCAUGCUCAUAUAUGUAGAUGAUAUCAUAAUCACUGGAAGUGACAGUCAAGGUAUUGAGGAAGUCAUUAAAGAUCUAAAUACAUCUUUUGCUCUGAAGGAUCUCGGAAAUUUAAAUUUCUUUCUUGGGAUACAAGUUCAGAGGAGUCAAAACUCUCUUCUUCUCUCUCAAGUGAAAUAUAUUCAAGACUUGUUGACCAAAACAGAGAUGACAGACUGCAAAGGAAUAGAGACACCCUUCAGCACUUCUGAGAAAUUAAAGAAGGGUGUUGGGAAUAAAUUCCAUGAUCCUACACUCUAUAGAAGCGUCAUAGGAAGCCUGCAAUAUGCGGUGCUGACCAUGCCAGAGCUUGCUUUCUCAGUUAACAAGCUCAGCCAGUUCAUGUCUGAUCCCAGACAGCCACAUUGGGUGGCAUGCAAAAGAGUGCUGAGGUAUCUCAAAAACACAAUGAAUAUGUGUUUAAGUUUCAAAAAAUCUGAGCAUUUGGAUCUCAUUGCCUACACAGAUGCAGAUUGGGCAACUGAUCCAGAUGACAGAAGAUCCAUAAGUGGAUACUGUGUGUACUUGGGAGAUAAUCUAGUUGCUUGGAGCUCGAGAAAACAAGGCAUGGUUGCAAGGUCAACAGCAGAGUCAGAAUACAGAGCAAUGGCUCUAUGCAGCACUGAAAUCACAUGGAUAAAUUCUCUACUUGGUGAGUUGAAGAUGGAAGUUGAAAAUGUACCAAUUAUCCUAUGUGACAGCACCAGUGCAGCAGCCAUAGCAGCAAACCCAGUGUAUCAUUCUAGAACAAAACAUUUUGAGAUAGACCUUCACUUCCUCAGAGACAAAGUUACAAAAGGUGAAUUGGAAAUAAACUAUAUUGGCAGCAAUGAUCAAAUUGCAGAUGUGCUGACCAAGCCAUUACCACACCACAAGUUUAGCUGUUUUAGAAGCAAACUCAAAGUCAUUGACAAGACCUUGAAUUUGAGAGAGGGUGUUGAAAACAGCAGCAGUGAGGAGGCAAAGAUUGACCUUGAAGCCAAGCUGGCAUGCCACCUAAGCCUCUGUAAUCUGCAGCCAGCUGACAUGGAAGAUGAGUCAAGAUUAUUGAGGUGGCAGAACAGCUGUGCUGAAGAAUAUCAGCACAUAAGCAUGGAGCAGCUGAAUCUUCUGGAAUUCUAAAAUGAUUGGCUCAUGCCUGCCAUUCUGACAAAUUUGUUUUGUGUGUAAUAUUCUUUAUUAGCUGUCAUUAUUUUCUUGUCUCUAUAUAUACUACACCUGCUCUGUAAUACGAUCAUCAAGUAUGCAAUAAUAAAGAAAAAGGAAACUUUGUCUUGUUCACUCUGCUAGCAACACCAAAGCAAUUCUCUAGAAUUUAAGUGAGAAUUCUUCUGCAUAUAAAGGUGCUUCACUGACGAUGAAGGAUUGAAGGGAUAUAUAAUGGACCCAGACAAAUUAUUUUCAGAGACAUCUAAAAUUUCAAGUGCUUCAAGAUUGUUGAGUUGGACUGGAAUAUCACCUUCCUAAAGAUUUUUUGACACUGAAAGAAGCAAAAGACUUGACAAGUUACCUAUCCAACUAGGAAUCUGCCCAACUAACUUGUUGUUGGAUAUAUCUAACACUUCCAAUGACCUAGCGGAGCUCAAAAACCCGUUCGAAAUUCUGCCACUGAAAUUAUUGUUGUCUAAAGAUAACCAACCCAAUUGAGUCAAGUUCAUAAACUUAGGAGAUACUUGCCCACUGAAACUGUUAUGCGACAGGUCCAACAACAGUAGUGAGAAGCAACCAGUGAGAAGUGGCGCAAACAAUUCUCCCGAAAACUGAUUUCUAGACAAAUCCAGAAUACGAAGGUCUUUCAUCUCACUUAUUGAAGAAGAAAUACUACCUUCAAAUUUAUUUUUUGACAUAUCUAGGUACACCAAUUUUUGCAAUAUGGUACUCAUAUUCUGGGGGAGCCUACCGGAGAAACUGUUGCUAGAAAUAUCUAGAUGAUGAAGGAAAUCAAGUUUGGAAUUGGACAGUUGGAGACUUCCUGUGAAUGAGUUGUUUGUCAAACGCAAAACCUCUAAUUUUGUGUUAUACUGUAGCAACCAAGCAGGAAAAUUGCCAACCAACUUAUUAUGUGAGAGGUCAAGGGAUUUUAAGCCAUGCUGUUUUUGAAGAAAACCAAGGGUUCCAUUUAGGUUGCAAUUGCGUAAAUGAAGGACCUUCAAUUGGGAUGUAGGAAGCCAAUUUUCAGUUUCCACUUCUAACGUAUUGUUUACUAAUGAGAGCAUGAAGAACUCAAGAUUUGAAUGAUUACCCAAGGAACUGAGAUAGAAUAUGCCUUGAAAGUAGUUGUCAGAGAGAUCCAAAUAUUGGAGUGAUGUGAGGCUCGCGAUAACAGAAUGUGGGCUCCCACUUAACUGAUUGGAGGAAAUACCAAAUACCUUGAGGCGGGUUAAGUUUUUGAGACACUGGGGAAGAGGACCCUCAAUAGCAUUUCCUUCAAGAUUCAACUCAAUAAGAUUUUUCAACUCACAUAUUCCUGAAAAUUUUCAAGAAAAAGGGUAUACAAUUAGUCAGAAGAGAUCGACACAAAUGUUUAAGAGUAUUUUUAUUUUCUUUUAUGGUGCUGGGAUGGAGCAUUUGUGAACUCUAUUAAAGUGUUAUUCGGUAUGGCAUUUCUACCCGUAUAUAAGGGGAGGAAAGAAAAGACAAUUCUAUAUCUUAAGUUUGUUUAUUCGGUCAUAUUAGAAAUAAGUUAUCGAAGUUUUUUUUUAAUUAUUUUACCUUGAUUUUCCAGAGAACCAUUUAUAUCAGUAUAGCUCAGAUCCAAUGCUUUUAAGUUUUUAAAUUUUGCUAAUCCUGCAUUAAGAAAAAUGAAAUGGUCUUAGAAACCGUAAUUUUUGAAGGGUAAACAACUCUCUGUAAAUGCAAUUGUUACCUAAUCCUGAUGCAGAUCCACUCAUUCUAAUUUCACGUAGUUGCAGAACUUCCAGGUUUGUCAGGUUUUCUAAUCCUGCAACAAGGAAAGAUAAUUAAACCAGUAAUUAACUAUAGAGGAGUGAAAAGAAACAGCUUCCUACCAAACAUGUAAACAAAGACUUGAAUAAUUGGAUGCUAAGGAGGUUGGAAUAAGAAGAAAAAGAUUUUGGGUGCUAGAAGAGGGAAGCAGAUGUACCAAAAGAUCACCAAAAAUUUGCAGAGCCUCUCAUAAACGGAUAAAAUCCAACCGUUGAAUUUACAUUUAACAUAAACAUUUUUUCACAACAAAACAGAUCAUGCUCAGUACACUCAGAGCCUGAAACCAACCUUCAAUUAAAUUCUCAAGAUUCUCAUUUACCAAGCAUAAAUCUAGAAAUCCUUGAGCAACAUAUGAUGAAACAGAGUACGUACUAUCAACUCAAACAGAACCAGCUUAUGUAUCAAACUACUAACCCAGCUUGCAACCUAAGAACGACCAAUGCCAACUCACCCCAUGAUCACGGGUUCAAAAUUAAGAAGAUUUAAACCCCUAAAAAAAAAAAAGAAAACAUUCCUUCAAGUUUGAAAUAAGCCUUAUCAAAUCUUAAGUGGAUAGAUGCAAUUAAUAGAUCAGAAUUCGAAGCGAUAGUCAAUAAUGACUAGAUUGUAUAUGUUCUAUCAAUUCACACCAAAAAUCAUUAAAUCUACAAAUUCUUAACAUUUUAUCUACUCUAAUAAGAAAAUUAAGUUGACAACAAAGAUGAUUUAUUUUCCAUUCCACAAAAAUAAAUGGAAACUAGGAAAUAAAACAGUCACCUUGACUCGUUGGAAAGCCGCUUAUCAGAUUACCACCUAGACCCAAUCUUUUCAACUUUCUCAAAUUUCCCAGUUCUACACCAAGAAAAAGGAAUCAGUACUUGAAAAUUAGUGUGAGAGCUGUUGUAAAAAGCUGUGAUCAGUAUGCUUAGUUAAUAACAUUGCUGCUCUGUCAUCACAGUUGCUUACCUAGCCUUGUUACAGAGCCAUUUAUUCUGUUACCCCUUAUAUCCAAAGCUUCUAAAUUUGUCAAAUUCGCUAUUCCUACACAGUAAGUCCCACAAAUAGACGGAAAAACAGAAGGUAAGAAAGUGGUGAUUAGUAGUACGCUUGAUAUCAUUGCUUGUCUGCUCCUUAAGUAGCUUACCUAGCCUUGUUACCGAACCACCGCUUAUUCUGUUACCAGUUAGAUCCAACACUUGCAGGUUCCUCAGAUUUACUAAUCCUGCACCCAAAAUAAAAGUUAUUGAAAAGGACAAUAUUGGAUUUUGAAAAUUAGAUAUAGAUUGAUUAAGAUUUGUAUAUAUAUGGAAAUGUUGUACCUUGCUUGGUUCUAGAACCGUCGAUGUUAUUGCCAACGAGAAUCAAAGUUGUAAGUGAAGUAAGUGUAUUCAAAUAUGGUAGUAUGAUGUCGUUGAAGAGAUUAUAACCGAGAUUUAACAUCUUCAAUUGCUUCAAACUCCCAAAACUAUCAUAAGCUGCUAAUCAAGGCACGCAGGUGAAAUGAAUUGGUUAAUUUAGUUGCAAAUUUUCCUUUCAGGAUGAAUGUGGAGACUACUAAAAAUCAAACAGGAAAUGAACACACCUUUACCCUUGUAGACACCUUCAAACAAAUUGAAAGACAAGUCAAGGCUUUGAAGUUCUUCAAAAGGAAGAAGCAAUGACAUAUUCAGAAGCGGAGAUCCAUCAAUGAAGUCAUUAUAUUUGUUUUGCGGUAAAAUAUCGAGAGAGAGUUGUGUCACUCGUCGCGUGGUGGCGUUGCACUUAACUCGCUCCCAAUCACAACAAUCAGACAUCGGAUCAUCAUCAACCCAUGAAUUAGGAAUAUUAUACUUGUUUUCACUAUCACUGAUUGAUAUAAGGAAGCUCUUGAGUUGCAGCAGACCAAUCCUCUCUUUCUCCAGGCACCCUUGGUAUCCAUGCAUUUGAAUCAAAGCUAGUAAAGUCAGCGACACUGAGAACUUGACAAUGGAAGUUUCCAUUGGAAGCCAACCUUUCAUAGUUUGUACUUUGUUCUCAAUCUGCAGCUUCACCACUCAUAAAUCACAUAUAUUUAAUGUGAGUAUUGCAUGUAAUGACGGAAGGAUAUUUCUAAACAAAAAAUCUAAAUUUUUUCUUCUUUUCUUUCUAAAUUUUUCAUUAGAUUAAUGUUUGAAUAAUGUUUAUAGAAGCAAUAACAUUAACAGAACUUAUUAUAUAUAUACACACACACAGAUACACACACAAAACGACAAAAUUAUGAGUUUAGUUAGGUAUAUAUAAGCAUUUAAUUACCAACACAUUAAUUACAGCACCGGUGUAUACACUUUGUAUUGGCAUUUAGUUUCUUUAUUAUUUUUGUAAAAUAUACGCUUUUAAUAUAAUUAAAAACAUAAACAUUUUUUUUAAAUGUGUAGUAUUAUCAUAAAUCAUUUUGUAUUUAAAGAACGUUAAAAUAAGAAAAAAAAUCAGUUAAUUUCAUUAACAAAGAUCCUUAGUUAGUAAGGAUUCCUUACGUUUAAAGGAUUUAGAAACAGUUAAUUUUCCCGCUUUCAACAGGGUUUCCUAAACCCCGGGCAAACUCUCUCUCUAUGUAUAUAAAAUAAAAACUCUCUUCGCAGAAUGGCAAGUAAACCUAUCAAUCAAUCAAAGAAAGGCUAAAAAAGAAAUAAAGAUCAGACAACAAUGGCGAAUUCCGUGAAGAGAUUGGUGGAAGUAUGCAGCAAAGAAGACGGGUUUCUGGGCUCAUACUUCGAGGCCAAACUAGUACAGAGAGUCAGCAAGACAAGUUCUUGGUGGAGUUCUUGACGCUGGUGUCGGAGGAAGAUGAGAAUGAGAAGCUGAGGUAGGUGGUGGACGCGACGGAAGUGAGGCCCUCCGAGUAACUGGAGUUUCCCGUCGCCGUCAGUUGAAAUCCGGUCACCGUUGGUCGGCAUGGGUAUUUUGGUAAUGUUCACAUGGAUGCAGUUGAAAUUAACUUAAUAUUUGUAAAGUAAAGUUAAAUAAAAAAGAGUGAAAGGGGUUAUAUAAAAAUUUGCCACAAAAGACAAAAGAAAGUAGCACGGUAGCACUGUGGUACCAUAGGCAGAUCCCAAUCUUUAUAGCAAUUGGCACAGAUAAAGAUAAUUAGUUUUGGUCUCUAUAAUGACUGACGAAGACUUGUCGGACUUGGACCAAUGAGGAAAAACACUUCAUUAAUACUCCAUGGAAAAUAAAAUGUUAACUGACUUUCAAAUUAAGCCAACAUACAAAUGGUCGUCAAUUCUAUUUUUUACAAAAAAAUUGAUGGAAAUAGUCAACUAAUAAAAUAAAAGUUGAUUGAGGUAAUUUAAAGAAUUUAGGCGUAAGUUUGGGUUUUAAAUUAUCAAAUAAUUUAUUCCACUAUUGAUACUUAAAAAAGUACUUUGGAAUUAAUAAUUCAAUAGGAUGUUUGAUAAAUUGGAAUUUGUGAAAAUCAAUAAUCAACUAUUUUUUAUCCAUGUUUAGAAAUUUAUCCGGUGUGUAUAAGGGCUUGUAUAUUUCACAAUAAACUGAGAUUUGUUUUUUGAAAGCCAAUAGAAACAUGAAAUAGUACAUCCAUCGAAUAAUCAAACACGCACACUACAAGGCGACCUUCGAUUGACGUAUUAUGUCAACUAACCCGUGGGACAUGGAGGAUGUGUGUUAACGUUAACCAAUAGUCAAGCUUAUGAACACAAUCAAGCAAUCGUAUCAUCAAUCAAAGCCACAUUUAGCGCAUGACUAGUAAAUAUCAUAAUUGAGUUUGAGGACCACAGCCGCACGGUGAAAGAAUUUGAAUGAAGGAAAAGUAAAAGAAAAUGAAAACGAAAAGUGGGGAAUGCUAAAGAAAAAUAAGCUGAUUCAUCAGUUAUUCAAUAUGACAAUUGCACACAACUUUUGGAUGUUUUUAGCUUCCGUGUGAAUCAAAAAAAUUAACAGACUGUCCCGCGUGUCACAUGUAACUAACUUUGGCGCCAUCUUGAGCUAAUUCUGUUAAGGCCUUCACUACAUAGUCUUAAGAUCUCAGUGAACAAUAAAUUCUUCAGAUUCAUAUGAAUUGCACAACAAGGCGUAAACCCCGCUUGAAGGCAACCGGCUAUAAUUAAUACAUUUCAAUUGCUCAUAAAAGAAAGAUACAGUAAACUAGUGGUAUUGUAGUAUAAACAAUACUCGUUUUUCUAUCUUGGUGGUUUCUUGACUGUGUUCAAAUAUCAGUACUCGAAGAAAGAUAAAGGAAAGCUAAAGAAAAAUAAGCAAAUUCAUCAUUGACAUCAUAAGAAGGAGGUUCAUCAUCAUCAAACCAUGAACUAAGAGUUUCAAUUACUGUUUCAAAAAUGCCUUUCUAAAAUUACGAUAAAUUUAAUAGCUAAUAGAAAUAUUUCAUUAUAUAAAUCAAAUUUCAAACUUGUAAGGAAAUAUGUAAAAAUAUUGGUUUUCAAAUAUUUUUCUAUAUAUUUUUUUUAAAUUUAAAAUUAGUGAUAGAGUCAGUCAACCAAUAAAUCAUCAAGAAUUAUCCAUUGCGUCCCUAAUUUGAUCAGCAUUCUUGAAAGCAUGGAAAUUUUCCAGUUUUUACAAGUCAAGCAUGGAGUGUACGUUUUUAUGUUAAAGAUGGUUGAGUGGUGAUCACGUUUUAUUUUGCAGCCUGCCUAACCAAUUUCAAAGCGUGUUUCACGGAUGACUUAUUUUUAUGAAUUGGAAGACUUUUCUCCUUAAAUAUAAAAAGUUCAAAUGAAUACUUUCAAUUAUUGUUUCAAAACUGUCUUUCUAAAAUUACGAUAAUUAUUUUCUAUUGAAUUGUAUACUUUGAUUUGCAUGGAAUUAUCGAAUAAUUAAUCUAUGCAAGCAUUGAAUUGUAAUGACUAACGAAGACUUAUAAGGCUUGGACCAAUGAGGAAAAAUGCUUCAUUAAUACUCCGUGGAAAACAAGCCAGCUUGGACCCAGUUGAUCGAGAUAGUCAACAGUUGAUUGAGAUAGUCAACUAAUAAAAUGAAAGUUAAUUGAGAUAAUUUAGCGUAAGUUUGGGUUUGAAAUAAUCAAAUAAUUUAUUCCAGUAUUCAGAAAAGUUGAAUUCCGUUAUUUUAUUGAGAAGAGAUCCGUCGCUCCCUCCCAAUCAUCACAGCAAUCAGACGACAUUCCUUCAUCAUCGUCAAAUCAUGAACUAACAGCUUCGUCAUCUCAGCUUCCAAACAAGCCUUGCAUCAGGGGUGGCUUUAGGUAUAGGCGAACAAGGCCGUCGCCUAAGGCCUUAUAUUUUAAGAAGGCUUCAUUUUUUAAGUAUUUCCUUAAUAAUUCUCUAAUUAAUGAAAUAUUUUUAAUACAUAUUUUAAGAAAUUAAAAAGUUUAUUAGAUAUCUCUCUAUUCUUAAUUAUUCUAUAAUUAAGAAUUAUUUUUUAUAAAAAAUCAAUAUUUAGCAACCUUAAUUUUAAAUAAAUAUAAUUAAUAAUAUUCUUUAACCAUUAGUUCAUUCCUUUUCAAUUAUUCAAUGUUAGCAUAUUUGACUUUUAAUAUUUCUUUUAAUUUCUAUUAAAAACCUCAUAAUCUCAAGAAUUAGUAAAUGAAAAAAAUUUAUGGUUGUCUUCCCUACAAAUAAAAUUAUUAUAUUCAUUGGUUCAUUUAAAAUAAUUAGUUUCUUAAAAUAUAAAGUCCAUUUUUAUUUUUGAACAUCAAUUCAUCAUUUUAAAAUUUUUAUAUUCUAUCAUUCUAAAUAUUCUAUUUGAAAAUAAAAUUGUUUUUAUUUAUUUGUUUGUUUGUUUUUUAACGGUUUUAAUGGAAUAAAAAAAUCUAUCUUCUUGACUAUUUUUUUGGUUUUAUUUUUUAAAUUUUUAUUUUUUUAUUAUUGUUGAAAUUUAAGAAUUAAAGAUGGAAUAAAUUUUGAUCCUUUGUAUAUGUAUUUGAGUAUUAAAAUUACAAAAUAAUAGAGGUCUUAUAAAAAAAUUUCGCCUAAGGCCCCUCAAACUCUAAAGCCGGCCCUGCCUUGCAUCCAUGGAUUUCAUCCAAAACAACAAUCCAAAGUAGUGAGGUUAAUGAGAACUUAAUGAAGGAAGUACUCUUCCAUUGCAAAACAACUUUUUAUUUGGCUAAAAUUAAAUGUGAAUUACAUAUCUUUGACUGGUGAUAUAUAUAUAUAUAUAUAUAUAUAUAUAUAUAUAUUCAGAGAUAUGAAAUACUCAAACCAAAAUAAUAAAAAUAUAAUUAUUAUAAAAAAAAUUGAUGAAUAAUAUAGUUCCAGGAAGUGCUAAAACCAUAAUGUACGCCAGUAUGAGUUUAUCCAAAGUCACCGGCUACACCAAUAUCAUUGUGACAUAGGAAGUGAUGAGGAAAUUUACGAAAGAUUUAUUAACUUGACUUGUGCACUAUAAGAUGUGCAACUGCGUGCCCUUUGAACAAAAUCAUUACUACCAAAGCGUUAGUAAUAAUAAUUAAUUAUGUAACUUUUUAAAAUAGUGUGUAUGCGUUUUUUUGCAAGCGGUGUUAUCUAAGAUGUUUCUUCUCGAGCAUAAUUGUAUCCAUUUAAUUUGAACAAAGAGUAGUGCUAUGAUUAGACAUUGUGAUACAAAGAGUGUUUAUGGCUAUGUCAUUUUUUUCCAUUGCUAUUGCUUUAAAUGCACUGACCUCAUCUUCCACGAUGGGACAGUUGAAAGCAUGUUUUCCAUUUGCUACUUCUUCGACUGCACUAGCACCAUCCUUUAGUAAAUAGUAUUUGUCAUUUUGGUAUAAUUUUCCGCUGCGUUUGAACUUAUAACAAUUAAUAAUUCAUCCUUUAGCUUAUAACAAUUAAUAAACCCAUGAUGUCUUAAAUCUUUUAACAUAUAUAUGCAUUAGCUAUUAAUUUUGUUGAAAUUCGCUGCCUUAGGCAGGCAUAAUUUGUCAUGAAAUCAAUGAUCAGAGACUUUCUGCAAUUUCAUUGACUUGAUAAGUCUAUGUGCAGUUCCAGUUUUGGUAGUUCUUAAAAAGGAUGGAACAUGGAGGAUGUGUGUUGACGUCAACCAAUAGUCAAGCUUAUGAACACAAUCAAGCAAUCGAAUCAUCAAUCAAAGCCACAUUCAAUGCAGGACUAGUAAAUAUCAUAAUUGAGUUUGAGGACCACAGCCGCACAGUGAAAGAAUUUGAAUGAAGGAACAGUAGAGGAAAAUGAAAACGAAAAGAGGGGAAUGCUAAAGAAAAAUAAGCUGAGUCAUUAGUAACUCAAUAUGACAAUUGCACACAACUUUUGGAUGUUUUUAGCCUCCUAAAUUUCAACAUUAAUGAUAAAUUACAGAUAUGUGGAGCAAAACUUAGAAACCAACUUUUGUUCACAGAGAAAAUGUUAAAAAAAUAAAUAAAAAUAAAAGAGUGCAACUAACUUUGGUGCACAUAAGUAUGAUUGUAUGAAGUGAGCCCCAAAUAUAUAUUCAUCAGUAUACCCCACCUGUAAUAAUAUCCUUGUCUAGCUUUUUUUUGGUUAUUUUUUCACAAAUAGGAAAAUUUCAUUGCUAUAGAGAAGAUAAAAUAGAGGAUGCCCUAAAAUGAACAUUAAAUAAAGCCUUCGACAUUAAGGUGAAACGUAUUUUCCGGUACACCGAUUGUAUGCACUGCACUGAAAUUCUAUAUUGAUCAAAGUGGCUUUUCAUUAUAAUGCUCUAUCAAAAGGGCUUCUAAUUCUUGUUUUCCCAUGCCAAAGACAAAAGCAAAUUAGAAGAAUUGGAAAGCAGCAAUAGAAUAUAUUUUAUCACUAAAAUAUUUUUCUUUCUUUAUUUUUUUUGUGAAAAAAUCAAACCCUUAUAGUUAGAUUUUUCUAAAGGAUUCUUCUCCUCUUGGCAUGCCAAUUUUGUUUUUAUCGUAUAAUUUGUGUUAUAAUUCUUUGGCUUGUGAAUCAAAAUAAUUAACAGAGACUGUCCCGCGUGUCACAUGCAACUAACUUUGGUGCCAUCUUGAGCUAAUUCUGUUAAGGCCUUCACUCCAUGGUCUUAAGAACACUAUGCACAAUAAAUUCCUCAGAUUCAUAUGGCAAAUGAAUUGCACAACAAGGCAUAAACCCCGCUUGAAAGCAACCAGUUAAUACAUAAAAAGUUCAAUUACUCAUAAAAGAAAGAUACAGUAAACAAUACUCCUUUUUAUAUCUUGGUGGUUUCUUGGUAGUGUUCAAAUAUCAGUACUCGAAGAAAAAUAGAGGAAAGCCAAAGAAAAGUAAUCUAAUUCAUCAUUAACAUAAUAUGACAAUUGCACGCAACUCUUGGAUGUUUUUAGCCACCGAAAUUUUUAACAUUAAUGAUAAAUUACAAACAUGUAAAUGAAAAUUUAGAAACAAAUUUUUGUUUACCGGAAAAAUGUAACUGUGAAAGAGAGUAAAAGAGAGCAGAGAAACUAAAAACAGAGGAUUCCAUUCGUCAUUUCAUAACUGAUAUUCCUAGUGCAAAUGCGCAAGCUUGAACAUUCAAAAUACAUCAUUCUAAAUCAAAUAUAUAUCACCAACAGACACAUUUACAUGAAUUAUUCAGGCCUUCACUCUGGUCUUAAGACCUCAUGUACGAGAAAUUUGUCAGAUUCAUGUAGCAAAUGAAUUGCACAACAAGGCAUAAAAAUUAGUAUAUUUUUCAAGAAUCCGGCUUGAAAGCAACGAACUAAAAACUAAUGCAUAAAAGUUCAAUUACACAUAAAAGAAGGAUAACGGUAAACUAUGGCCUAGCAAGAUCAUGGAUGAAUUAUAUAAAUUUCACAAGCCAAUAUAAACAACAACCAGUACAUGCAUCAAUGAAAGAAAACCAUGGCCAGCGCCAAUACGAGUUCAACCAAAGGAUUCGUCUUAGUUGCAGAUUCAUCUUCGUCUUCUCCUGGAUUGGAUGUUAUUGCUGGAUUUUCCUCUGUUCUGGUGCAACUCUUAUUAAUUGUUGGACCACAAAGAGUGAGAUUAUAACUCUUUUCAUCAAACCUGCCAAAUUGUCUUUUGUCUGGGAUCAGACCAGAUAAGUUCUUGUAUGACUCGUUAUAGUUGGAUAAAUAGUUGAUUAGUGAUCUGAAGAUCACUGAUCAGAAAUUUUGUCAUUUAUGUUUGGUAAAUUAUUCAUAAAAGUAUGGUCUACUCUGAAAUUACAAAAAUAAGCAUAAUAAAUUUGAAUAAUGGAAAGGAAAAUGAGAAGGAAAACAGAGGAAGGCUAAAGAAAAAUAAGCUGAUUCAUCAGUAACUCAAUAUGACGAUUGCACACAACUUUUGGAUUUUUUUAGCCUCUGAAAUUUCAACAUGAAUGAUACAUUACAAAUAUGUGAAGCAAAACUUAGAAACCAAUUUUUGCUUAUAGAGAAAAUGUUAAAAAAAAAAUAAUGAUAAGAGAGUGCAGAGAAACUAAAAACAGAGGAUUUCAUUAUAACUGAUAUUCCCAGAGCAAGGCUGAACAUAAUUCUUGGGUGUGUGAAUCAAGAUCAUUAACAAAGAGAUCACGCAUGUCACAUGUAACUAACUUUGGCGUGAUGUAGGAUGGUUGCGUAGGAUGAGUAGGGUGUCUUCCAAAGGUCAUAACUUGGGUUACAGGUAUAACUAACAACGACGGUGCUCAAAUUUGGUUAUCGUCGAUGUUUGCGGAUUAAUGUUUGUGGCUCCUCCUAUAUCAAGGAAAUGUCAUAAUUACUUUCCAAACAUAAGAAAUACAACUAAUUUUAUGUGAUAUGAUUCACAAUAAAUAUUUAUCCCGUAGCUUAUAACUCUAGAAUCCAUUAUUUUUAAAUAAAAAUUACCCUAAUACUCUCAAAACCAUCAAUUACACCUUAUGCUCAAAAUUCCAUACUCCAGCUCAAUAAUUAAAUUUCCAUAUCCUAUAAUACUAAUAAAUCAUCCACAUUAUCACCAAUCUCAUUAUUAACCAUGAACUACCCAAACAUAAUAUAUAACAAUAAGCUAUUUACAUACCGAAUGGAGGAAAUAGUGAGGGCUACACAUUUUGGCUCUAAUGCCUUGGUGCCAUUGUGCACCUAAAAUGAUCCACCAAUUACUAAAAUUAGCUUGGGACUGACUACACCCAUUUGUUGGGAACCCUAACUAUAAUCAAAGUAUACUAAUCUUUAAAUUAAUUUUAUUUUCAUGUAAAUGCAAUUUCAGGUAAAGAUAAAAUGAUAGAAAUCUUACUCCAUUUGGUGAGAAAUUCAACUUGACAGCUUGAAUCACUUCCCUCUCACUCAAAUCCUUCCUCCACACUUCCUACAUUUAAAUUCCUCUCCAAUGAAUUUCCAAAUGAACUUAGGGAUAAAAAUACCCUAGAAUGACUCUCGAAUCCAAGUUAUGAAAGACCAAACUCAAUUUUGGAAAAAUCCUAAAUCAUGAAAAUUUUCCCAUUGUCUUCCUCUCAUGCCCGUGAGCUUUUGCAAAGCAAUGGUAAGUGCUUUCUGUUUUAAUUCGCUUUAUAUAUAAAACUUAUUUUAUUUUUUUGUUUAUGGGGUUUUGAAAUAUUACUUUAGGCCCAAUUAAAGAAAAUCUAUUUACCCAAUUAAAGAAAAUUAAUUUAUAUACAUUCAUAUUCAUAAGUUAUUAUUAAAAACUUGUAUAUACAAGUCAGGGCAGUACACAAAUUUACUGAAUACAGAGUAAAGUUGUACUUUAAUUGGUGAACUCUGAAGGCACCAACUAUAACAUCCAUUUCUAGCAUAUAUAUAUAUAUAUAUGUAUAAUAGAAAUCUAACAUGCUUAUACAGAUCACAUACAGGAUUCAAAAUUUAGAAGAUUCUGAACUAUUUAAGGCCAGAGAUUGGGCCAGCUUGUUUAGUUAGUAGGCAACGAUGGAGGGUUGCUUGGUAAAGCUGCUACAUCUUUAGAAAUUCAGAGAUGACGGGCAGCAAAGAGUGAUAAUUUUUGUUUUCCCCAAUCACCUUGAACAGAGUGAGAAGAAACCAUUAUUUCGAUAUGUGCGGUUCUUCCAUCAUAUUGUUAUUUAAUGGUUGUUGUUAUUGAUUCUAGAAAAACAUUUUUCGAUUUGGCAAAUGGAGUUUUUCCAUCUUCAAAAGAAGAGUCCCAGGUUCCAAACUUUACUGCCAUGGCUUCCAAGUCGCUGUUCUACAAAGAAAUAUCUGUGGCACCACGAGAUCCCGUUGAUAUUACAAUCAACAUAGUAUUUGGGAAAAUUGCUCCUUCGGAUUGUAGCAUUUCGAGUCUCAGAUUCUUUCAAUCAACACAAGCACGUUCGAGAUACAACAUGAAGUUGUUAAAUUUAUAUUUGCAACCAACAGAAACUGCAGAAGAAACAAUAAGUCUAAUUUUAACGAAACCACUUGAAGGAACUUCGAAACUUGAGCAUAGUUUUAGAACCAAAUUAAGAAUUUUAGCAAACACAUACCUGAUACAUAGCAGUUUGCAGAAAAGCUAACGGAAUACGUAACACAGCAUGACAAGUUAUACUCAGCAGACCCGUAGGAACUUACUACAAUGGCCUAGCGUAAUCACCGAUAGAAUGCAUAUUUGAAGAGCCAAUAGUAGCAUGUGUCAAUACAUUCAUCAAUGAAAUAGAACCACCGUCUACGCCAAUAGGAGUUUAUCCAAAGGACUGCAAACAAACCCAAAAUAACUGUCACAAAGGACGCACCAAAACUCCAUUUUAAUGCCACCAUAUCAAUCAUCGAAUCGUCUUCUUCUUCUCCUGCUUCUUCUGUUGGUGUUGCUGGUGGUUUUAAUGCACUGCUGCAUUUCUUCCUUAUCAAGGAACCACAAAGCUCAUGGUUUCCUGUAUAACUGCUCUCAUCAAAUGUGGCAAACUGCUCUUUGUCUGGGGUUGGACCCGACAAGUUGUUGUAUGACACAUUGAAGUUGGAUAAAAAGUUGAGCCCAGUGAGUUGAGGAGGAAUAUGACCACUUAAUCUGUUGUGGGAAAGGUCUAGGCUCUCUGUCAUUUUUAGAUUGGAGAAGCUCUCUGGUAUAGCACCUGAUAAAAAAUUAUUAGACAGAUUCAGUGCACGAAUAUUUUGAAGUUGCCCAAUUUCGCGGGGAAUUUCUCCGCUCAACUCAUUGCUUGACAAAUCCAGUCCAGCCAUGUACUUUAAGUUUGCUGCCGAUGAAAAAUUCAUAUCUAUUCUUUGUCACAAAUUCUGCUUCUACUCUUUGAUUUAUUGAGGCAUGUGGUUCAAUGGGCGGUUGUAGAUCAAGAGUAGAAUUGUAGUAAGUAGUAACAAUAGAAUCGAUGUAGAAACCUUGAUACGCUGUGUAUUCAUCAGGCAAACCAUAGUCAUACAAAUAAUAAUUAGUUCAUUCUCUCCAGAAUGACACGUUACCCAAGCAUGAAGGUAUUGACCCACUAAAUGUGUUAUUUGAAAGAUCCAUGAUACGUAAUUUUGCUCACUGGCACAAUUCAUUAGGAAUAUGUCCUUGUAGAGAAUUCCCUCUUAAAAGAAGAACAUGCAAAUUCGAAAGCUCAUUGAUCUGAUAAGGAAUCCUACCAAAGAAUUUAUUAUCCCUCAAAUCUAGAGUGAUUAAUUUAGAGCUUCUAAACAAUGCAUUGGGAAUUUACCCAGUAAUAGCAUUCUUCUGCAAAUAAAGGUGUUUCACUGAUGAAAGAUUGAAGGAAGAUACCAAGGACCCAGACAAACUAUUUUCAAAGAUGUCUAUAAGCUCAAGACUUUUAAGUUGGCUAAGUUGGACUAGAAUAUUAGCUUCCAAAUAAUUUUUUGACAUUAAAAGAACCCUAAGAGUUGAGAUGUUACCAAUCCAAUUAGGAAUAUUACCGGAUAACAUGUUGUCAGAUAUAUCUAACCCCUCUAAUGAAGUGGAGCUCCUCAAACCAUCAUCCAUCUUCCCACUGAAAUGAUUGUUGUCCAAAUAUAACCAAUGCAAAUGGGUCAAGUUCAUAUAUUUGGGAAAAAUUUGGCCAAAGAAAUUGUUAUUUGAUAGGUCUAACAAAUCUAGAGCGACGCAACCAGAGACUAUAGGUCGGGGUAAUUCUCCUGAAAAAUUAUUUCUAGACAAAUCCUGCAUAUAUAACUCUUUCAUCUCACCUAUUGAAUAAGGAAUAUCACCUUCAAAAAUAUUUUUUGGCAUAUCCAAAUAAAUCAAUUUCUGAAGGACAAUACCCAUAUUCCGUGGUAGCUUACCAGCGAAAUUGUUAUUGGAACUAUCUAGAUGACGAAGCAUAUCGUGUUUGGCAUUGGGAAGUAGAUGAAGAAUUCCUGAGAGUGAGUUGUUCGCCAAAGACAAAUAUUUUUAUCUUUUGUUGUUUUGGAACAACCAAAUUGGGAAAUUGCCAACCACCUUAUUAUUAGAGAGGUCAAGGAAUAUUAAGUGGUAAUGUUGUAAAAGAAAACUAGGAAUGACAUGUAAGUGGCAGUCGGAUAAUUUGAGAACCUUCAAUUGAGAUGUGGGGUGCCAGGUUUCAGUUUUCACUUGUAACAUAUUGCUUCCUGAUGAGAUUAACAAGACCUCGAGCUUCGAAUGAUUAGCCAAUGAAUUUAUUGAGAUUGUUCCUUGGAAAUUAAUGGAAAAGCGAUCUAAAUAUUCAAGUGAUGUGAGAUUAGUCAAGGUAGAAGGAACUUUUCCACUUAAUUGAUUAUUAGAAAUAUCAAGAACUUUGAGAUGCGUUAAGUUGUUGAGACACUGAGGAAUGUGACCCUCAAAGUUAUUUGAGCUUAGAUCCAACUCAAAAAGAUUCUUCAAAUUACAUAUUCCUAAACUUGAAAAUAAAAGAUUAAAAUUUUAUAGAAUGAAAACUAAUUAUAGCGAAUUCGGUCAAAAUCCAAUACAAGACUUAAAAAACAGAUAAAAAUCAAAUUUCCUAAUUAUUUUGGUCAGCGGUUUUAUUCCAUUAAAAUAAAUGAAUUAAAACCAUGUUAAUUGUUUUACGAGUUAAUAAUUUUAUAUUAAUUUAUUUAUUUUACCUUCUAUUUAUUAGUCUUAUGAAUAAUUUAUAAGAUUUAACAAUUGUAUUAUAAGUAAUAUUUAAAAAAAAAUACUAUUAGCAUUUAUUAUUUAAUAAAUCUAUUUAGAUAAUUUAAAAUUUUGUUAUUGAUGUCAGAGUUUGGGUCAAUGGUCAACAAUUAAUAGUUACUACGAAUUUUUUUUUCCCUCCCUUUCUAAUUGAUAGAUUUCAUGUGUUCCGAAAACGAAGUUUAGAGAAAAAGAAAAGGAAAAGGAAAAGGAAAAGGAAAAAAAAAAUGACUGCGAGGCCACUUUCCCAGGGUCUUGGUUGCAAUGCGCGCAUGUACACAGGCUGAAGCCAGCAAGAUGGUAUCAAACAUAUAUACCUUGCUUGAUUCUGGAACCUUCAAUGUUAUUGGAACGAAGAUUCAGAGUGGUAAGUGAAGUUAGUGUAUUCAAAUAUGGUAAUAUGUUGUCGUUGAGGAAAUCACCACCAAGAUUUAAGAACUUCAGCUGUUUCAAACUCCCCAAGCUGUCGUAAGCUGCAAAUGCAUAUGAAUUAUUAUCAUUAAUUAGUCACUGACAAAAUAAUUACGAAUGAGUAAUAUAUACAUAUGCUUGUACCUUUAUUCUCAUAGAAGCCUUUAAACCAAUUAUCAGAUAAGUCAAGGCACUGCAAUUCUUCGAAAGGGUGAAACAAUGACAUAUUCAGAAGAGAAACUUCAUAAGAAUAAAAGAGUUAUAAUCAGAGCAGUUGAUUUUUGUUUUCUGAUUGAGUGAGAGUUGCGUCACCCGUCGGGUGGUGGCGUUGCACUUAAUUCUCUCCCAAUCGUUACAACAAUCAGACGACAUUCCAUCAUCAUCAAAUCAUGAAGAAAGAACUUCGUCAUCAUAUCCAACAUCACUGGCUGAUGCGAAGAAGCUCUUGAUUUCCAACAGAGCAAUCAUCUCUGUUUCCAAGCAUGCUUUGUAUCCAUGUAACUGAAUCAAAGCUAUGCCAAUCUACAAUGACAACUUCAUCAAAAGCAUUUUCAUUAUUAAUAUUAACUGCGAGAGAAACACUCACAAGAUUGACCAGUCAAUUGUUGCUCUCUUGAAUUUUUUCUGGUUCUCUAGCAAAUAUAUGACUUAUAUAUACAAUGGCAGUUUUGUGCAGAAUGAAAAUUUUGCGCAUUUUCACGUGCCUGUCAAUGAGAAAGCAUGCAUUGAUUGAAAAAAGUAAGUGAGAGAAUGUUACCUGUUGAUACAUGUUAUCUGCUUGUGACGUUAGUACCGUCCAAAGAAAUUGAAAUGUGAAAUAAUUGAAGAUGCAAAAUGGUUGAUUUCACGGGCCUGGCCUUUGGCAAAGUGAAAUGUUAGCCACACACUUUACCAGUCAGUCAAGUGUCAACAUUUGUAGCAUAAGGAAAUUGCGGCAUCUUAGCUGGAUUUUGAGGGUCGCUAUUUCGUAUAUCAGUCCCAUUUGUUAGUGGGGACUCACAUUCUGUCCUAUAGUGGGCUCACAAAUAUUUAACAUAAUUUUGAUAAUUACUUAAACCGCGUUUCCUUGAUAAUUAAAGAAAAAGAGAAGUGAAUGAAGUAAAAGAUACUGAUGACCGUAAUUAUGCAAAUAAAUACAAGACUUUACAGUAGAUUAGACCACCAAUUGUGCUUUUUCGUCCCAUAAUAAUGCAUCUGCUUUAACAAGAUACGAGUGAACUUAGGCUUAUCUUUCUUUCGCAAUGUAAAUUCUUGCCAAAAAAUACAUGUUAUCUACUGGUGAAUUAGUUUGAUAAAAUAAAGGCUUAAAGUUUAGUUGAGUAAAAUGUUGGCGUAAAGAAAUUAGCUACUGGAAAAUCACCAAGUGCUUGUUAAGGUAAUAUACAAUUUCAAUUGAACAUCAAGUGAUGGAAACAUCAAAAACCCCAUAAAAAAUUAAACAAAACCAGUUGCAAUGCAAAUAAACAAGUUUUCAGUUGAGAUGGCAGAACUAAUUCCUUCACAAUCAAGUGUGAUUUCUCAAUUUGUUCUAUUUGCCCAAAAAGACAUGGUCAAGUAUUUGAAAGCAUUUUUAUUUAGUUGACUAUUCGAGUUUGAAUUUGGAAUAAGAGGUUAAAAAAUAAUUUUUGUCUUUACUCACCUCUUCCUUUAGAAAAAGAAAAAUUUUAAUUUUUGAUCAAGCUCACUUAAAUGCAUCAUGUGCAAAUCACGUGACAUCUUGAGUUACCAUGUAAUUUGGCUUUAUAAGUGUUUUCUGUUUCUGAAAACGAAAAAUAAUAAAAUGGAAAUGCCUUUAGCUAUUGGCUAGACAUUUUCAGAAACGUUUUUCGUGAACAGAAAAAGUUUUUGUAAAGAGGCAUUGAGCGAUCAGGCUCUUGUCGUGGCCUGCGGCCUGCAGUCCUCAACAAUCCUCAUUUGGCCUCUUUAUAAUCCAUUUUUAAUAAAGUAUAGAUAAAAAUAGAUAUAUUACCGGUUUUCAAAUUACACUUAAUAUUAUUAAAUCUUUAGACGGAGCUUUAAAUCUAUAAAUUCAAACUUCCAACAUAUCAUAAAUUAUUUUUAGAGCCCGCAUGUUGGAUUGUCUCAUUUAAGUUUCACUUUGAUUUCUAGCACAUCAUUCAAAUGAGUUGCUUUAGUAUAUCUAGCUAGUUUUGAACAAAGCAAGUGAGAAUAUUACAUCUGCUUUAGCAAGAAACGAGUGAAUGAAAACAUUUGACCAGAUUCAAGAGAGAAAAGAAUGUUGAAAUAUUGACUUGAAUAUUAUGGUAAAAUGAGUUUGACUUUAGUACCGACCAAAGAAAUAAUUGAAGAUGCAAAUUGGUUAGUUUGACGUGCAUGGCUAUUGGCAAAGUGAAAUGUUAGCUUCGCACUUCACUUGUGAAUGUACAACAACAUUUGCUGCAUAAGGAAAUUGCGGCGUCUCAGCCGCAUUGUGAGAGUUGUUUUCAAAUCCCAUUUCUUUUCUUUGUAUUUGUUCAUUGCCACGACCUUUUUUUUUUCCGCAGCUCACGUGAUCACCAUAAUUUUGAUAGCUACUCAAACGCGUUUCUGCAAUAACUAACGAAAGGAAAAGUGAACGAAUAAGUAAAAGGUACUGAUGACCGUAAUCAGGUAAAUGAAUACAAGGCUUUACAAUAGAUUAGACCACCAAAUCACGACCAUAACGAAUAAACAAUUUGUGCCUUUUGAAUACAUCUGCUUUCACAAUGUAAACUUGCCAAAAUACAUGUAAUCUGCUAGUGAAAUAAGUUUAUAAAACAAAGGCUUAAAGUUAAAAGCUGACUAAAAUAUUGGCGUCAAGAACGCUACGGGGAAAAUUCAACUGUGAGCUGCAGUCUGCAGUCCUCAACAAUCCGGGAAAAGGCUGAGGAGGCGCGCGCCUGCACACUAAUUGGGCAGGUCUGAUGGGAUUUAUAAAUUAAAAUAAUGUAAUUUUAUAUUUUUUAAAUGAAAAAUUUGUUGUUGCCGUUGUGAGAUCCAUUGGAUCCUCGCGUGCCUGCCCCACAAAAGUUUCUCCCUAACAAUCUCCAUCAAACCUCUUUACAAUCCAUUUUUGAUAAAAUAUGAAUAAGGAUACAUAUAUUUAUCCAAAUAUUAGUAAAAAAUAGAUAUAAUGCUGAUUUUUAAAUUAUACUUUAUGAACAUUUAGACCGAGCUGUAAAUCUAUGAAUUCUAACUUCCACAAAUUAUUUUUUAGCCGUAUGUUGGAUUGUCUCCUUUAAGGCUGUGUUUACUAAACCGGAAUGGGAAUCGAAAUGGAGAAAUUAGAAUGAAUAACUUGUUUACUUGUUAAAUUGAUGCUAGGAAUGGGAAUAAGGUGAGUGGGCUCCAAGGUCUUGAAGAGGAAAGAUCACUAUGGCUCCAAGGUCUGGAAGAGGCAAGUCCAAUAAAGCCAAGGCUGACAAGGAGAAGAAAGAAGAGAAAGGUUUGAAUUGUUAAUCCUUUUUAUUCACUUCUUUCAUUGGAAAGUGCUUUCUGUAAAGUGCUUCCGCUUUCUAGCUUCCUUAUGUUCAUUGAUUCUUUUGUUGUGCAGUAGUACCCAGUGUUCUUGAUAUCACAAUCAUCACCCCAUAUGAAUCACAAGUUGUUCUCAAGGUAUACAUUUAUAAUUAUUAUUAAUACUGUCUUGUUUUGCCCUCACCAGCCAAGAUUAGCAUAUUGUUUUUUAAAACUUUAUAAAUAUAAAUGAAUUAUUAAUUAAUCAUCUUUUUUUUUGUUUGAUUGAAAUUUGCUCAAAGGGCAUCUCACCACCAGCCCCAUUGUCUUUGCAAUCUACCUUCACGACGCAUGACACCACUGCCCGACACACAUUUGCGACGCUCCACCAUCACUGUGAGUGGCUUUAAAAGAAGGAAAAAAAAUAAAGAAACGAGAGUGAGAGCAGAGCAUAAUAGAAUUGUCAAGCUCUUUGUUAGAAUCAUCACAAAAUUUAUAUUGGAUCGGAGCUAUUCUAUGUGAUGCAUUUGGAUUUGCUAUAUGCUAGACAGGCAACAACAUGUAAAAGCUUUUUGUCCCCAUUUUAGAUUUACUAUCUAGUAUCUUAUAGGCUUAAUCUAAAUAGAAACCAUGCAGGAUACCGGACACAAUUCUAAUGUUAGACUUUAUUUUUCAACUUUCUUUUAGCGAUAUGUCAAGACCCCAAGUUUAUGUCAUGAUAAUUGUGUGAUUGAUAAGAUAUUUUGUGUUUUGGACUUUAUCUCAUGGAUUUAGAGUUCGAUUAUGUUUGUAAUCGGAAUAAUGCAUUCAUUUACAUAUGAUGUUUGAUGAAAUUGCCAUAAGAUUAAUUCAAUUAUAUAUGUUUUUUAUGCUGAAUUAAUAUUAAUACAAUUAUGUAUGUCUAUGGUGCUGAAAAAGUAGAGCAGAAAAUUUAUCAAUGGGUUGGUUUCACUAGUUCAAGAAAGUAAAGCAAAGAAAUUGUCUUUAUACACUUAACCCUUCCUCUAUUUAAAAUAAAAAAAAUUAUUGAAGUUUUUGGAAGUGAUUUGUUCAUUUUGUUUGUGCACUUAUGUAGAUGGGAUUUACUUUUGAUUGCUUAACCCUUCCUCACUUAUGUCUUUUUAGUUCAAGUUGCAGUAUUUUGCUGCUGUGCAACAACAGAAGAGGCUGUUUUAUUGUUGUUUAUGCAGAAACACAGCACCUGGAAGCAUCCAGGUGCUGUUUAGCUGCUGUUAUGCAGCAAAAGCAGCACUUGAAAGUUUCCAGGUGCUAUUUUUACUGCUGUUCACGCAGAAACGCAGCACCUAGAAGUGUUCAGGUGCUGUUCAGCUGCUGUUAUGCAGCAAAAACAGCACCUGAAAACUUCCAAGUGCUGUUUUUACUGUUGUUUAUGAAGAAACAAAGCACCUGGAAGUAUCCAAGGUGUGCUUUACUGCUGUUUUGUAAUUAAAAUUGCACUUAGAAAUUUUGGGUGCUAUUUCGCUGAAAUUUUGCUACUAACAGUGCAGCUGAAUAAUUUCGGGUGUUGUUUAGUUGUUGUUUUGGACCUUCUUUAGUUCUUUUCUCUUAUGUCUAUACUUAAUCUCCCCACCCUCCUCCCCCCCCCCCCCCCCCCCCGCGGCGCGGGUAAUAAGCAAGUACAACUUUUGCAAGGUAAUAUCCAAGCAUGCCAUUAAUUAAUUCUUUGGUUAAUCAUAGUAUUCUAUACAUUAGGUCUCAUUUUUUUUUUUUAUUUCCAAGUGUAUAAUGGAUAUGUAGUGGAUGUCUUAUGGAUGGUGUAGUCAAUGUUUUUUUUAUUGUCUCUAUUUUGUCAAAUAUUGUUGGUUCAUUUAUUAUCUAAACACAUGGUUGAUAAACUUACUUAGGUAAGUCUAAUUAAUAGCAAUUUGGUACUUUAAAGUCUUGUUUUACAACUUAAGUCACUAAAAUGAUUUAAUAUUUACGAUUUAUAAUAUAUGAAUAUAUCUUAAUUUCUCUUUAUUCUUUGUAAGAAUGACGUAGAUUGCUGACGCUGGUGAGACUUGUUUGCAAUUGAAGACUUGACGAGAAAUUAGAUGUACUCACGCAUGCCAAUCUCUUUGGUUGCUAGUGCAGUCAUUAGUAGAUAUUAAGUAGUUGUGAGAAUUUUUGUAGAGCUAUCUCUUUGUAUAUGAAACAUUUGCAUCUUUUUUGUUUGUGGAAAAAUAAUUGUAAAGAAUUUAAUAUGAAAUUAGAAUUAAAAUGAGGCUUGAAAUAGUCUUAAAUUUGCCAUAUUUAUUUUUUAAUAAUAAAUAACAAUGAUGACGGUUAUUUGAAAAGAACCGUCAUCAAAUAUAGUGUUUAGAAACAAAGAUGACCGUUUUUUUUUUAAACCAUCAUAAAAUGUUGUUCAAUAUUUAAUAACGGUUCUUAUAUAUAUAUAUAUAUAAUGACGGUUCUUACAAUAAACCGUCAUUAAAAUGGCACAUUUAAUGAUUGUUAUAUAAAAAAACAGUCAUCAAAACAUAUAUAAUUACUAUAAAAAGUGACUAUUUUAAAAAAUAACCGUCAUUAAAAAUAUAUAUUUAAUGACAAUUAGUGAACCGUCAUAAAAAACAUACCCUCUUUAAUGUUGGUGCCUAAGAUGACCGUCAUAAAAGAUUAAUUUUGUAGUAGUGAAGCAAGGAAAACACAAGGAAUAACAAUAUUGUUAUUCCUCAGUCACUGGGGCGCCAACAACAUCAUGUACACCUAAAACCAGAAUAGAUUUAACAGCUUAAAAGGCAGAAUGUUCAACACCUUCAUAGUCAUUUCCAAUGGCAAGGGAAAGGCUUGCAACAUUAUCAAAACUUAAAUUUCUUGGAUACAUUCUUUUUAGCGAAAUAACAUAUGAAAGCAAAACUAUAUCUAAUUUUUUCUAUUCACCUAAGAAUUAAUUAUAUCUACAAAAAAGUCAUAAUAACACAUCUUUAAAAAUAUUUCACAAUAUGAUUACAGAAGUGUUUGUUAUGCCCCUGAAGGAUCCGCCUUGCGCGCAAUCGUGAUUUCACGCACCUCUUUUUUUUUUUCAUAUCCAAUCAUUAGAUUCAACGCGGGAGUUGUAAAAGGUGUUAUAGCUGCAUGAAGAUAAUCACUACUAACGUUGUAGCCCUUCCUAUUUUAUGAAAUUAUAAGGAAAUGUUAGGUUUUAAAAUUUUAACACAUAAGCCCUAUCUAUUAUUUUAUGGGUCAACACUAUUUUAUGAAAUGAACAUAUUUAAAUAUUAAUACUAUAGAUGGAUUACUUUAACUUAUUAAAAUACUCUACACACCCAUUUACUUCAAAUACGAAAUUGGAUUACAAUAUUCUUAUCUUUUGUUUACUUUAACACAGGAUUGGACAAGGUCUUACAUACGUUUUGGCAAUUUAAAGUGAAUAUAUAUUAAAUAAAUGCUUUGAUAGCAAUUUACGUGUCGCUAUACAAUCUAUGUUUAGUACAUUCAAAAUAAAUAAUUUCUAUAUGUAAAUUUGAAUUUAUUUCAAAUUACUUAUACCUAGUGUCAUUUAUGAGUCCAACAUUUUUUUUAGAAAAUUAUUAUCCCAAUUAUUCAUUUAAUGUGAAAACAAAUAAAUUGUGUAAUAUUUAUGCUAUUAUUUAAUUUUAAGCUUGUCAACAAUGAACAAUACUGUAAAAUAAUAUAUUAUGGGAGAAUGUCCUAUCAAAAAAUUAUUUUAUCAAAUAACUUACUUUUACGGCUUCUAACAUAACCAUAUCUUCUGUUGUUAACAUAAAAUUACAUUCGACCAUAUUGCUUUUACUUCUCUCUAACAUUUUCACAAGUAUCCUUACUUCACUAGUUUGAGAAAUGUUCUAAGCUUAUUUAGCGACUUGCAUGCUAGAAGUCGUCUAAGUGUCGCAUGAGUUUACUGCGCAAAACACUCAUCCCGUGACAGACUGCUAAUAAAAAUAGAUAGGAUAGGGUGUUUGGUUCAACAAGCCCAAGAUAGUUUUCUCUUUAUUUUUUUUCCUCUUUUAACUUAUCCUUCACCUCAAUUUAGAUUGUCAUUCUUGGUUGAUCAUAAUUUAUUUAUUUUAUUAUUAUUAUUAUUACUACUACUACUACUACUACUACAUGGUAUUUAAUUGUUCUUCACAUUUUUUUUAUAUGGUUUUCAUUUACUUAACUCACACUCCUAUUUUCCACAAAAAAGAAUUAUAGGGCAACUUAACUGUAAAUUCAAGCAAGGCUAGUUUCGGGAUUAAAAUUGAUAUUUCGCCCUUUUUUCCCACUAAGGGUAUGUUUGGCGGGCGGGUCUACAAGGGUCUGUCUUGUAAGAUAAAUUAAGACUCGUGUUUGGUUGCAAAAAACAAUUGCCUGGCUUGAAAAGAUUGUGCGGCAAUUGAGGUGUAAAAAAGACCCGCCUCCCCCUGCGUGUCUAAAUUGUACAUCUCUUUUUCUAUUUUAACUAUUAUUUAUAUUAGUUAUUAAAUUCAAUACAAAUCAAAUAUAAUAUUUCUUUAACAUAUUAAUUUAUGUUUAAUUGAUGAAUAAGAAAAGAUGCUGAAAUUUACUGCAGAUAAUUAUAUUUUUAUUAAUAAAUCUAAAUAAUAUAUUAACUUAAUAUUAAAAUAUUUAUUAAAUUCAUAUAAUAGUUAUUUAAAAACUAAAUAAAUAAUAGCUAUUUAUUAUUAUUUAAUAAUUUUAAAUAAUAAAAAUAUAUAUAAUAUAUUCCAUACUCUACCAAACAUGGUACUGUAUCAUUUAAUACAUUCCAAUACAAUAUAUUUUAUUACAAUUCAAUACAGUCCAAUACAGUGCGGCACACCAAACGCACCCUAAGUGCGGAAUGCAUUACCUGAUCACUUAAAUCCACUUCCAAAUAUUUUCAUCACUAUUUUCGAAAAUUUCAAAUCAAACCCCAACCCGUACUCGCACGCUUCCAGCGACUUGUUUACAACCAUUGCUUGGAUGCGUUACUUGUUAAAUAACUUCCAACCCAUUACAUGUGUUAUUUUGUCAAAAAGUUGAUUCCCUGCAGCUUACCGGCCCAUUGCCUUUUUGUCAGGUUAUUCCCUAACGUCUAUGUGUCUCUUCUGCAGCCGUGAGAUGAAAUCCAACGGUGACUGUGCUACAAAACAAACGACUGGGGUAACAAACCCAUGACGCAAUAUAGCUGCCCCCGAAUAAUGAUAUUAAAGAGUAGAUACUUUGUUUUUCCACCUUAUUUUUAUCUGUUUAUUUCUUUAUGAUAUUAAUGCAUUAUUAAUUUUUUUUUUUUUGGAUCAGGUCAGGGGGCAGAAACUGAAUGAUAGAGUAGAGGUUGUUACUCUGAAGUCAUGUUUGCUCAGAUGGUUGAAGGUAGGUGAAGCUCUCUCAUGUCCAAUUUUCUAAAUAAAAAAAAUCUCAUACAUGUGGACGUGGGUCUUAUUUUAUUUGUUAUUUUGUAAGUAACUUAUAACCGUUUCACAUAAAUAGUGAAUAGACCCACAUCACUCACUAUUCAUAUAAGAGAAUUGUAAAUUAUAUGCAUGUAACUUAACAUUAAUCUAUUUUUAAUUAUUAACAUUUAAAGCUUUUUGGUUGUGCAUUCAUUGCCAUACUAUUUCAGUAAACUAUAUUAAUUUUCUUGUAUGUUUUUUAGAUUUUUUAAUUCGAAAUUAUUUUUUUAAUAUUGUUGAAAAAGACAGGUUAAAGUAAAAAAAAUAUUGACUAAAUAAAUAAAUGACAGUAUUUUAUUUUUUACAUUCAAAAAAAAAAACUAAUUGGAUGCAGUCCACUUAGUCCUGCACACUUGGAAAGUUACCAUGCUUUUUAGAGCUGUACAUUUUAGACUCAGCUGUCCUUUGUCAUUUCAAGUAAAAGUUGAAGCUGUCGCAAAAGUACAAUAAUAACGUGGUUAAUGCUAUGUAACUUAUAAUCAUCUAGUGAAUAAUGUGGAAUUACUAUUUAUAUAUGAGGAUUGUAAAUUACAUAUACGUAACUUUAGGGGAUCCUAAUAACGUGCAUUUAAGUAACAGGCCUAAACUUUAGAAAUUUCAAAAGCUAUAGUAUACGCAGGUCACAUCUACGACCAUUAUUAGUUUAAUCAUUAAAUGACAAAAUUUUGCCAAUCUUGAGGGGGUACUUAAAAAUGCAAGCAUCUCGUCCCUUGCCUGCUUCAUAGAUGCUCUUACUCAUCCCCCCUCAUCUCACUUGUGCAAACCAAAGAAAAAAGAAAGAUUAUUAUUUUCCUUUUAUUGCGGAAAAAAACAAUAAUUCCUUUUUACUGCUCCAUGUUUAUUAUUUUAUUCUAUUUCUCCAGAAUCUCUCUUUAUCAAUUAAAUUUAUGUUAUAGAUAUUAAAGAUUUGCUUAAAUCAGAAAACUUGUUCAUAGUUUUGGUCAAUAUAAUACAUCCCUUAAAAGGUAAACAUAGGAAAAAAAAAACAAGAAUGAUGGUUUUUUUUUUUUUGACUGUUUUAGGCAAUAAAGAAAUAUUUUGAAAGGGUCGGAGAUUACAAUGAAUUUGCUUACUUGUGGAAAUUUUUUUUAAGGCAUAAAUAAGUGCAACUUGAGAGCAUUUUGUUUUUGUUCCACUAUACAUUUUAUACAACUGCCGCCUUAGAUUGGGUGCAUCACUUCAUUAUAUAAUCAGUAAAAAUUAAUUAUAUAAAUGGAAUCAUUCUCUAUUACAAUUAUUCGACUUCCUGAAGUAACAACUGAUGUUUUUUACCACAUUGUCAAAAGAGUUCAACUUUUAUUUGAGAAUACACCAUAUAAAAGAAAAAGAAAAAAAUAAAACAAGAGUACACAGAAAAAAAUAAAACAAGUUUUAGAAUUAGUAGAUUAGAAUUGUUAUAAGAAAGAGUUGUCCCUAUAACUUCAAUAACCUAGCCAUGUUUCUGAAGUUUGUUUUACUAGCCUUACCAAACUUUUUCUAGUUGAUAUUCAAUUUUUUUUUUUUUUCUAGUCAAGCAUACUUAAUUGAACAGUCAAUUCAACAUGAAAACGAUUUGUCGCUUUAUGAUCCUAAUUUUCAACCAGCCGUAAAUUUUAAUCUAUUAAAAAAAAUUAGUUGGUGGAAAUGUAAACAGAAGCAAGAAGGUUAGAAUUAAUAACUUUAUCAUGAAUAAUUAAUAUGAUUAGAAUUUAAUAAAAUUAUAUGUAAAAGCUUAUUUCAAGAGCAAAAACUUUAUUUUUUUAUCAUUUUUUAGUGCUUAUAAUUAUAACUAGAAAAUAGAACCGCACUUCGUGCGGCUUUAAAAAAAAUUAGUAUUAUUUUUUUAUUACUUUGUAAUUGAUGAAACUAAUAAAAAAUAUGAAUUAUUUUUUUUAAAGAUGACGCAGUCUUAUAAAACUAAUGUUAUUUAUGAAAGUUAAUUAUUUUUUUGUUAACAUUAAAAAUAUAUAUUAAUGUGUAUAGUUAAGUGUACACAACCUUUUCAUCAAUAAAAAUUAUGUUCACACUAAUCAACUCUCCAUUUUUCUUAGUAUUAACAGACUCUCACAUCUUACAAAGUCUAACCCUUAUUAUCCAACUAUCUUUAUCAUUGUUUAACUCAUGAAGAAAAUAGUACUCCAUGAAGCAUACAUUACUAAAAAUUUAAAUAAGUCAAAAAAUAAAAACACAAAAACAUUUCUAAAGAGAAUGUUGGUUAAAUAAUAAAAAAAACUCAAACAUAACAAAUCUUAAAUGCUUAAUAUUUAUAGAGCUUGAAGAAGCCAAAAGAUACUAAAUAAAAGGUUGCAUAAUUAAAUAUAGGAUUAUGACAUUAAAAUUAGGUCAUAGGGCAUUGGUGAGGGAAGAGGAAGGAACAUUCCUUCCUAUAUUAAUUAGUUGAUGUAUUUUAAACCACUAAAGUUUAUUUGUUGGCUUAAUAAAAUAAAUGAAUGUUUCAAAAAUUAUAAUUAAUUUAUUAUUAAUGGUUAUAUAUUGUUGAAUUUAAAUAGAAAGAGGAAGAGGCAUGUAAUCUAUUAAUUAUUUUAUAUUUUUAAUAUUUUGUAAUGUAAUUAUUUUUUAAUCUCAACCAAUAUAUUAGAUAAUAGAGAAUAUAAAAAGAUGAGAAAUAAUAAUGUCACAAAUCUUAACUACUUAAUAUUUAUAGAGUUUGAAGAAGUCAAAAGGUACUAAACAAAAGGUUGCAUAAUUAAAUAUGAGAUUAUGUCAUUAAAAUUAGACUCUAAUGGCGUUAUUGAGGGAAGAUGAAGGAAAAUUCCUUCCUAUAUUAAUUAAUUGAUAUAUUUAAGCCACUAAAAUUUAAUUGUUGGCAUAAUAAAAUAAAUAAAUGUUUCAAGAUUUAUAAUUAAUUAUUAUUAAUGGUUACAUAUUAUUGAAUUUAAAUGGAAAGAGAAAGAGACAUGUAAUCUUUUAUAAUCUAAUAAUUAUUUUUAUUUUUAAUAUUUUAUAAUGUAAUUAUUUUUUUAAUAUCAACCAAUUUAUUAGAUAAUAGAGAAUACAAGAAGAUGAGAAAUAGUGAUGUCAUAUCACCUCCUCUAGUCCCAACUUUAUAUAUAUAUAUAAAAUUACUUUCUUCAGCCUUACCCAUCAAAUCCUGGAUUGAAGUGGUUGAAGAACAUGGCUCCCAAUACAAAUCUAUUUCUUCUGAUGACCAAGUAAAGCAAUGGAUGAAUUCCAUUACAAAAUCUCCUAAGCUCAUGCUCGCCCUCCAAAACCUUUCUCAAAGCCAAAUUUCUCCUAAAAAAGAAAUUGAAAUUUCAAAGCCCUCUUCCCAAAAUGUUGUUGUCUCUGCUGAAAGCUCAUCUUCCCAAAUUGUGCUUUCUCAGCCAACACCUUCAAAGAAAACCUCCGAUUGGUUUGAUAAAACCCAUUUUCAAAACAUUAUUUCUAUGGAAGAUGGAUUUUACCAUACUGAUCCUUUUCAAAGCAUUUCAAAGUUUUUCCCCAAAGGCUGGUUUUUCAAACCAUGGGAUUUAACAAAACCCCAGUCUUAUUAUCAAAGCAUUUUGGAAAUAACUGAAUCAGUUAAAUUCAAACAUUUCUUUCUUGACAAAGCCCAUCCAGAACCGGCUUAUUCCACGGCCACAAUCCUAAAAGUUUUGAGCCCAAAUCAGUGGGGUGACCUACUCCACAGUUAUAAAACCUUCCCUUUAAAUUUUGAGACCCGUUUACCACAUUGUCGGACCUUCUCCUAUUGGGACUACCAACAAGCGUGGUAUAACACCUUUUUUAUCCAGAACCCUAAAAAAUCCCAUUCUUGGUUAUUUUUCUUCAACACAAAAAUAACCGUUCAAAGUCUCCCAAAUUGGUUUCAUCACUGGUGGAAUCUUUUUGGCCCAAUUCCACAAAUCCUAACACCAAACGCCACAAAUUGCCUAAACACCUUCAAAGCCCAUUAUUUACCUUCUGACUCAGAAAAAAGAUUUCCCCCCUUUCUUUGCUUUUGUGCAAAUUUCUUCCUACCUUGGGUUUGUUCGUGGAACCUCCGUUUCCAUACCCAAGAUUCCCAAGUCAUUCUUCAAAGAACUUUUAAAGUCAAAUGGUGGUCAAAGUUUGAUGAACAGUCCAAAUUGACCGUUGACAUGAUCAAGGACUGGCUUUCCUCUAAAGGCCUCCUCCAACCUACCAUAACCACCUCUAAAGCCCAACAAACCUUCUUAACCCAGAAAUCCAAAGCCCAGUCACUGUUGGCAGGUGCCAAGACUGAAGAUGAGUAUUUGAAAGCCAUGGAACAGCUCCUCGCCUCGCGCUCAAAGUCCUCCGUUGCAGCUUCCUCUGAAGAUGAAGACGAAGAGGAUGAUGAUGUCGAAGAGCCUUUCAUUUCUCUCGGAGAUGACAAUGAAGAUGACUGUUUCGGCAUUUUCUCUCCGAUAAAGCAUUGUAAAUAAUUAUUUGAUUAUUUACUUAAAAAAAAAAAAAGAAAAAAAAAAGAGAAAAGUUAUUUAUUUUCGGGUGGUCCUCUGGACACAAGUGAGAGCGCACAUGUCUCUUCACCCGUAUCGUACUAUUCAAAGCUACGAUCCAUUUGUUACUGUGCACUUAAAACUCCGCUACAGUGAACAGUGCAGUUUGCCAGAUGUUACUGUGCACUUAAAAUCCCGCUACAGUGAACAGUUUAAAAGUCUUGUAUAUAAACCAAGAGGAAGACUAAGACUCCUCAGGUUUUUUCAUUUCUCUUCUUCUCUUCCUUCUCUCUAAAACUCUCUCUCUCUCUCUAAAGUCCGAAGAGUUCAAAGAAAUUUUCUGCUUACACAAUAGUUCUAUCACAGAGCUUUGGGUGAUCAGACUAGUUCUUUAUCUUCAAUCUUCCCGUCUUUCAAUCUUCCCUUCUGGAAAGAUUUGAAAAUUUGUAAAAGCCAACCAAAGCAAAGAUGUAUGUUUAAAUUUCAGUUCUUUAAAUUUUUUAAAGUUCAAUGUAAUUUAAAUUUUCGCAAUUUACUUUAAAGCAUUUACUUUUCUGCAAUUUAAUUUUAUGCACAUUUAAAUUCCAGCAAUUUAUUUUAAAGCACUUUUCUUUUCAAAGCAUGCUUGCAGACUGAUCUGUAUCAGAUCUGCCAUAUAAAUUCUACAUUCCUCUGAGGCAAAGAGACCGGAUCUCGAUCCUCAGUUGUAAAUCUUCUCUUCUCCCUCCAUUCCUUCAGAGCACCAUUUCCGGGAUCCGGAUCUGGUACUGUGUAUGUACCCAAACCUUUAAAAGAACCUAAUCUAAAUAUGAUAAUAGCCCAAUAAAAAGAAUCAACCACGUUUAAAGCAACUUAACUUUAUUUGGUAAAAUAAAGCUGAUUUGGUAUAUCGGCUGGAAACCCGAACGUGCGGACUAUUGAUCUGUUCUAAGUCAGAUCUGGGUCCAAAGGCUUUACUUUGUGUAGCAUCGGUCUGGUUUAACAACGCCACGUACCAAUUAGUUAUAAAAAUUUGACCAACCGCGUUCAAAUUUGUUUGAACACUGUAUGAUCUAAAGCAAUUCUACUAAGCAAUUCUACUUAUAUUCAAAGCUGGUAAUUUAUUUUAAAAUUUGGAAAAGCCGAUCCAUUAAUUGUUUAAUUUGAGUUUUUAAUAUUGAAAUCCAACGAAAACACAUCCAUCCUUCGAUCCUAUUUCCUUCUGGUAUAUAUAUAUAUAGAUUUUUAAUAUUUUGUAAUGUAAUUAUUUUUUUAAUCUCAACCAAUAUAUUAGAUAAUAGAGAAUAAAAAAAAAGAGAAAUAAUGAUGCCACAAAUCUUAAAUAUUUAAUGUUUAUAGAGUUUGAAGAAGCCAAAAGGCACUAAACAAAAGAUUGAAUAAUUAAAUAUGAGAUUAUGACAUUAAAAUUAGGCUCUAAUGGCAUUGUUGAGGGAAGAUGAAGGAACAUUCCUUCAUAUAUUAAUUAAUUAAUGUAUUUUAAGCCACUAAAAUUUAAUUGUUGGCAUAAUAAAAUAAAUGAAUAUUUCAAGACUUAUAAUUAAUUAUUAUUAAUGGUUACAUAUUGUUGAAUUUAAAUAGAAAGAGGAAAAGACAUGUAAUCAUUUAUAAUAUAAUAAUUAUUUUCUAUUUUAAUAUUUUGUAAUGUAAUUAUUUUUUUAUUUUUUAAUUUCAACCAAUUUAUUAGAUAAUAGAGAAUAUGAAAUGAUGAGAAAUGUUGAUGCCACAUCACCUCUUGUAGUCCCAACUUUAUAUAUAUAUAUAUAUAUAUAGAUUAAUUCAUAUAUUUUAUGCCACUAAAGUUUAAUUGCUAGCAUAAUAAAAUAAAUAAAUGUUUCAAAAGACUUAUAAUUAAUAUUAUUAAUGAUUACAUAUUGUUGAAUUUAAAUAGAAAGAGAAAAAAAUUACAAAGAGCAUCCACCAAUAUUUUAGAUAUUUUAGAUAAUAGAAAAUGUAAAAAGAUGAGGAAUGAUAUAUAUUAAUAAAGUUACUAUUUAUUAAAUGAGUUAAAUACAAUCAAAUUAAUUAUGAGAAGAUGAAAAGUCAAAUCUAAAAAAAAUCUCUAUUUAUUAGAUAAUAGAGAAUGUACAAAGAAGCAAAAUGGUGAUGCCACAUCACCUCCUCAAGUCCUAACUUUAUAUAUAUAUAUAUAUAGAUAGAUUAUUAUUAAUGAUUGCAUAUUGUUUAAUUUAAAUAGAAAGAGAAAAAAAGUACAAAGAGUAUCCACCAAUAUUUUAGAUAUUUUAGAUAAUAGAAAAUAUAAAAAGAUGAGGAAUGAUAUAUUUUAAUAAAGUUACUAUUUAUUAAAUGAGUUAAAUACAAUCAAAUUAGUUAUGAGAAGAUGAAAAGUCAAAUCUAAAAAAAAAAUUCUCUAUUUAUUAGAUAAUAGAGAAUUUACAAAGAAGCAAAAUAGUGAUGCCACAUCACCUCCUCAAUUCCUAACUUUAUAUAUAUAUAUAAAUAGAUAUAGAUAUAUAGAUUUAAUCUAGAAGUAUUUUAAUUAUAAAAAAUAUUUUUAAAAAUAAGUUUGACGAAUAGUUUAGUGCUUAUAAUUAUUUUCUACUUAUAAUUAAGUUAAUAUUUAAUAGAAAGAACUAAAAUAAUAAAAGAAAAAACCUUUGCCCGGCAAUUCCUUGUUAUUUACAUUUUUGGCACUGUCCUUGACAGAGGACUACACCGAGGAAUCUCAGGCCGUGGCACACGUGCGGCGGCUUCUCGACAUCGUCGCGUGCACCACACGGUUCUCCAAGUCCAGAAACUCCCGAUUGCCGCCAUCGUCAGAGUCAUGUGCCAGAAAGAACGGCAGUAGGCCCCACCCGCCUUCACCAAACUCUGCCGCUCUGUCUGAUGGAGCAGCAACAGCAGCAGCAGAUAACCGAAGCGGGACCCGCGCCACGUCAUCGCCAGUUUCAUCGGCGGUUUCUCCGAGUCUGGACAUGGCGGCCAUUCACCCGACGCCAAAACUCUCCGAGUUUUAUGACUUCUUCUCUUUCUCUCACCUCACUCCCCCCAUCUUAAGUAAGCCUAAUGUUCAUUUAUUUAUUUGUCUUCGUUUUUUACAUGGUUGAUAAAAAAAAAAGGAAAAUGAUAUAAAUAUAUGUGAUUUUUUUGAAUAUGAAAUUUGUUUAUUGAUUUUAAUUUUUAAUAAUUUUGAUUUUGAAGAUUUGAGAAAAUGUGAACGCAAAGAAGGAGACAAGCGCGACAGUGAUUAUUUUGAAAUUCAGGUGCCAUUUAAUAUAAAGUUCUGAUUAUUGUGGUUUGUUGUUGAAGGACUAAUUAAUGUUAUUUUUGCUGAUGAAUUGGCCAAUGAGUGUUAAAGAUUUAAUAAUCAUUGUCUGCUAAUUAAUAAGAAUGCAUGGAUUAUUUUCAUGUCUUUGUAAGUAAUGUGAGUAUUUGAAAGUGCGGGAAACUGUAUUUUGUGCUUACAGAUAAAAAUCUGCAAUGGAAAGCUUAUACAAGUAGUUGCAUCAGUAAAAGGGUUCUAUACUUUGGGAAAGCAGUUUUUCCAAAGCAACUCCCUGGUGGAUCUUCUGCAAAAUCUCAGUCGAGCUUUUGCCAAUGUGGGUACUCAAUAGUUGAAUCUACAGAUUAUUUUUUUCUUUUUUAUCUGAAUGCAUCUUUUUUUCCUCUGUAAAUUCAAUUAGCUUAUCCUUCAAUUGUUUUGUUAAUAAUUAUGGUCAUUAUGCGUGAUGCAGGCAUAUGAAUCCCUAAUGAAAGCUUUUGUUGAACAUAAUAAGGUAACAAUUUCUGUGCUGACAUAGUUUAUUACCAAUUCAAAUGUGAUUUUAACUUGAUUUUACUGAUAUAGUAUAUUCAUUAUCCUUCUUCAGUUUGGUAAUCUUCCCUAUGGAUUUCGAGCUAAUUCAUGGCUUGUACCUCCAUCUGUUGCUGAGUCUCCAUCAAAUUUCCCAUGCCUACCGGCAGAAGAUGAGAAUUGGGGUGGCAAUGGCGGAGGCCAGGGAAGAGAUGGAGAACAUGAUUUACGACCAUGGGCGACGGAAUUUGCUAUACUGGCUAGGCUUCCUUGCAAAACUGAAGAGGAGAGGGUGGUUAGAGAUCAGAAGGCCUUUUUGCUUCAUAACCAAUUUGUUGAUGUCUCAAUUUUUAAAGCUGUUGGAGCAAUACGCCGUCUCAUUGAUUCAAAUUUACACACUCAAGAUACAAUCAAUGUCCAAAGGGGGGCAAUCUUGCAUGAAGAUCGUGUGGGAGACUUGUCCAUUACAGUAAAACGUGAUACAGUAGAUGCAAGCUUGAAGUCUGAGGUUACUAUUAAAGGAAAUCAGUCAUCCGGUAUGUCUGCUGCAGAUGUUGCUCAAAGGAAUUUACUAAAAGGUGUUACUGCAGAUGAGAGUGUAGUUGUUCACGUAAGUCGAUUUCUCCUUUACUUCUUAUGCUUACGUUCACAGAACACACACAUAAAAGACAUUCAUCAAAGCUGAAAUUACUUACGUGGGCGGAAUAAUAUAGCUCUACCUUUGUCAGGGAGUGUUUUUUCAGUCGGAUUAAGAUGUUUCACUCUGUAUCGGAUAUCUAGCAUUUGAUGAUGGCCUAAAAUACCCAUCCUCUUCAUUCUCUCUUUCUACACAUUUAUGAAUGCACAAGAAAGUCAAUUUUAGGUUCUUUCCUAAGAAUCACUACUCGUUACAAACCUUAUAUAUCUGGUUUAGCUUCAUGAAUCUUAUGUGCCAUUCUGUUUGGUGACUCCCUAUUCUGUUGAAAUCACUUGAUAGCAGGUCUUUCUACUCAUUUUAUCCAUAUCCCUCUGAUUUUCCGCUUGUAGUUUGCUCCAGCUUAAUGUCAUCAACCCUUUUUGGGGAAGCCUAUUAACCUUGGUUGGGCAUGCUUGUAUUAUAUCAACUAGUGAUACAAUUGCUAAAGUUUUCAGCAUGGUAGAUCUUGAAAUAAAAUUUUCUUGAAAUAUCUAGAUUUAUCUUCCUUUUCUUUUUCUCUUUCUUUUAUUUUAGUUUGAAAGAUUUUGUGAUAAAGAGAACUGAAACAAUAUAGUUUUUGGCAGGAUACCUCCUCAUUGGGUACCGUCAUUGUAAGACACUGUGGAUACACCGCUGUAGUAAAGGUUGUUGGUGAUGUGACGGAGAAGUUUGGCACACAAGAUAUUGAAAUUGAAGAUCAACCUGAUGGAGGAGCUAAUUCUCUUAAUAUUAACAGGUCUGAAAUUGUAACACAAUUCUUCCUCUGUCGAUUCCUCUUAGCACACAAAGACUAGGAAAUCUACAGAUAGAGAAUGGCUGUAAGAUAUGAAAAAUUAUCUUUCAACCACUAACCGUUUUAAGCUAUUCUGCAAGAUAUCUUAGAAAUGCUAACUGGUAUGAGCUUCUUUGCUUAGUGUCUAUCACAGUUGAAUUCAUGAUGCAGAGCAUUGUUAUUCUCUUUAUUUUUACCAAAUAGAACAGGAUUGAAAUGCUGGUGUUGGGGAUUCUUAAGAAAGGAUAGCACCUGUUCCUUUUUCUUCCUGUUUAGAUGGGAUCUAAUCAGUAGAUGUCUGAACUCUUAAGGGGAGUUGAUGUCAGAUUUCUAAACCAGGUUUUCUUCAAGUGUUAAGUUUAUGAAUAGGCCAAAGAAAAGAAAGCUGAUAUCUAGUUAGGGAUAUGUACUCCUCUUUCAGCAUCCUAUGGACCAGAAAAUGGCUUUUCCUCCAUUAAAAUAGGUGCGAGAUUCUUCACUGUAUGGGGAUGCUUCACCUCUGCAUAGUUGUAGACCACCUAAAAAAUAACGAGUGGUUGCAGGAAACAUUAAGUCAUGGCUUUCACAAUAAUGGUUGAGUGUUUAUAGUUAUGUGCCCUGACAUUGGUUUGUAAUUGUUAUAUUAACAAAAUAACCAACAGACAUCGUUGAUGAUGUUCAAAUAAAGGAUAAAGGAAAGUAUAAUUACAGUGGAUGCUCAGUUGCUGAAAUAGGUCAUCAGCUUUUUGGAUUGUGCUAUUUCAGAAAGUAUUUAGACCUUCUUUGGUGGAUUCUGCCUUUGUUUCAUAUACUCUUAUAUCUUUCUCCAUUUAAGUUCUGACAGGGUAAACUAUUUAUUGCAGCUUAAGGCUUGUACUUCAGAAGUCUUUCAGUGCUGAAUCAGCUAGAGGAGACCGGUCACCUCUGUGCAAUUUGGAUAAUUCAGAAGCUCUUAGAAGUCUUGUACGAAGAGUUAUUAAACAGAGUUUAGCAAAGCUAGAGCUGGAGCCAACUGCAUCAGAAAGAUCUAUUAGAUGGGAACUUGGUUCUUGUUGGGUGCAACAUCUACAAAAGCAGGAAACCCUAACAGAUACCAAGUCAAUGAGGUCUGGCGAUGAUAUUGAGACUGAACAUGCUGUCAAAGGUCUUGGGAAGCAAUUUAAAUUUUUGAAGAAGAGGGAGAACAGACCUAACCUUGUUGGCAGCAAUAAUGAGGCUAACGAAGAUGACAAUGGACCGUGCAGCAUGAAUGUGGGAACUAAUGGCAGACAGCAAAGCAAUGGCGAGCUCAAUUGUGAGAUGGAAUUGAAAAAACUAAUUUCUGAAGAAUCCUUCUUGCGAUUGAAAGAAACUGGCACUGGCCUUCAUUCAAAGGUUUCAAAAUCUCAAGUUUGUUUUGCAUUUCAACUGUAAAGUUUGCUACUUUUUGUGUUUUCAUUAUGCUAAAUUUGGUUUGUUUUAUUUUCAUAUGGAACUGGUAAAAUUAAUUUCUUGUGCAGGCAGUGGAUGAGCUUAUGAAAAUGGCAUACAAAUAUUAUGAUGACAUUGCUUUACCAAAGCUGGUACUAUUUAAUUUAUUUAGGGCCUUUGUUGCAGCCAAUUUAGACGUGUGGGGAUGGUUUAUGGACUAAUUUCCAUUCUUUAUUAGGUAACAGACUUUGGAUCACUUGAACUUUCUCCGGUUGAUGGCCGCACACUGACAGACUUUAUGCAUUUAAGGGGACUACAAAUGCGCUCUUUAGGUCGCGUGGUGAGGAAUUUCUCCCUCUCUUUCUCUCUCAGACAUGCAACCUAUUCACCCGUGGAAAUCAGAAUAAACAAAUGUUGUCUUUCUUUAUGUAAACAAAGCCCCUAAGUUAUCUUUCUAUAUGUAAACAAUCUCCCCAAGUCUUCCUGGAUUGAAUUAUCAAUGUUCCUUUUUGAAAAUUGUACUACAUGAUAGAAUUUUUGACAUGGUGACCUUUUCCAAGAUAUUGAAUUAUUGUCGUCUUUAGAUAUUACUGUAUGUUGUAUGACAUACAAUAUUUUGAGAAAUUGACAUGCUAAUACUUGAAAGCCUGGUAUUCUUCUUCUGUUGGUUCUAAUCCCAUUUACAAAUUCAGGUUGAACUUGCAGAGAAGCUUCCUCACAUACAAUCACUUUGUAUUCAUGAGAUGGUUACUCGAGCGUUCAAGCAUGUACUUAAAGGAGUCAUCGCAUCUGUUGACUAUUUAUCAGACCUAUCUGCAGCUAUAGCUUCUUCCCUAAAUUUCUUAUUUGGCUGUUGUGAGAUGGAAGAUGAGCAAAGCUUGAAUGAAGAUCAUAUCCUUAGAUUGCAGUGGCUACGAACAUUUCUUGGCAGAAGAUUUGGUUGGUCCCUGAAAGACGAGUUUCUGCAUUUGAGAAAGAUUUCAAUUCUACGUGGGCUUUGCCAUAAGGUAAGGUACUGUCUUUUCGGUUCCUUUGGCAGCGGAUUAUUUUCAAAGCUUGAAUUUUGCUUGUAAACUUUACCCAGGUUGGGUUGGAGUUGGUUCCAAGAGAUUAUGAUAUGGAAUGCCCAAACCCAUUCACGAGAGAUGAUAUUGUCAGCAUGGUUCCUGUGUGCAAGGUGAGACUAUUUUCUCUCUUAAUUGUGUUUUGAUUUAGUUUUUACAUUCUCAAUGAGUCACUCAUUUGUAAAUUGAAUGUAAUUGUGCUAUUUUUAUGGCAUUCUACAGCAUGUAGGUUGCACUUCAGCUGAUGGGCGGACUUUAUUAGAGUCAUCCAAAAUUGCCCUUGAUAAAGGAAAACUAGAAGAUGCUGUAAAUUAUGGGACAAAGGUAAUAACCCACUCGAUCUAUACGUAAGAAUUACAUUAUUCUUUUCAUAAUAAGGCAUCUCUUGAUCUCAUAUGAUGUAUUACUUGCAUUGUAAGGCACUGGCAAGGAUGAUAGCUGUUUGUGGUCCCUACCAUCGGACUACUGCAAGUGCUUACAGUCUUCUAGCUGUAGUUCUCUACCAUACUGGAGACUUUAAUCAGGUACGACAAUCUUCAGUUGUAUUUCAGUGUUAACUUGGUGAUUCUAAGUCGAGUAUAAUUAUAACGUCCUUCUGUACGGAGAUUCUCAUUCAGUGGGACAUUUGAUUUGAAACUGUGUUAUGGCUAGUUUUUAUGGUCUUGUAUAAAGAUAUGCAUUAGAAAUUAUAAUUUUCUGGACUUAGGAAUUACAUGGACAGGCAUUAGCAUGAUUUUGAUAUCAGAUUAUAUAUUUUAACUAAAUCAAACACGUUCAUAGUUCUUAUGUUCUGGCAUUUGGUCUAAUGGCAUCUGCGUCUGAGUGUGAGAGUGGCGUUCGUAUGUACUCAAGAUAUCUUCUUCUUCAUUUUAGGCAACUAUAUAUCAGCAGAAGGCAUUGGAUAUUAAUGAGAGGGAACUUGGUCUUGACCAUCCAGAUACAAUGAAAAGCUAUGGGGAUCUUUCAGUUUUCUAUUAUCGCCUUCAACACAUUGAAUUGGCUCUUAAGUAAGUAGCACUGCUUGAUUUACCAGAGCAACUUUGUGAUUUUCAUUCUUUAACUGAUUAAGGUUUAUUUAUUUAUAAAUUAAAUUGGAAGUUUCAAAAAAUGUGACCUUUGUAUUGAAUCUGCUUCGAACGAAUGCAGUUUUUAUCUACCUACUUUAGCUUUCAUUUGUCUUUUAUUGGCUCUAGCUCCUGAUCAUACCGUACCAUUGGCAGAUAUGUAAAUCGUGCCUUAUUCCUUUUGCAUUUUACUUGUGGACUUUCACAUCCAAACACGGCUGCAACAUACAUAAAUGUGGCUAUGAUGGAAGAGGGCAUGGGAAAUGUUCAUCUUUCUCUUAGAUAUUUGCAUGAAGCCCUUAAAUGCAACCAAAGACUAUUAGGAGGUGACCAUAUACAGGUUUUUCUCUCUCUAUUUACGCAUGUAUACAGACUCUUUAGAAUUAUAAAUCUUUCUGUUAACUCAGAAUUUUGUUUGAUUUCUUCACGUGACAGACAGCUGCAAGUUAUCAUGCCAUAGCCAUAGCUCUUUCUUUGAUGGAGGCAUAUUCACUAAGUGUGCAACAUGAGCAAACUACACUUAAGAUUCUCCAAGCAAAGCUUGGACUAGAAGAUCUGCGUACUCAGGUGACUACAUGUAGUCAUAUUUUAAUUGGUUCUGUUGUGCAAUUUGGCUAGUUGGCUUCUUUCUUGUCAAUCUUUUACAGGUGAUAUUAUGAUAUAAAACAAAUUGUAUUGGAGGCAUAUUUUUGGUGUCAAAUAUGGAUAUGACUCAUUCAUUAAUUGUAUCGAAAUAUCAAAAUACGGAUAUGACCCGUUUAUUAAUCGUGUUGACUUGUUUAAUAUUAAAUACAAACAAAUUAAAAAUUAAUUUUAAAAUAACAAAUGUGUCAAAAAAAUGAGUUAUAAAUAAGUGAAAAUGACAUAAGUAUGACAUGAAUAAGUUUAUAACAUAAUGUGAGUAUGACAUGAGUCAUUAAUUUAGUGUUUAGUAUAUAUUUUAGUUUUUUUUUUCCAAUAAUAUUAACACAUAAUAAUUGAUAUUUGUGUUAUAAAUGUAUAAUCAUAUUGAGAUGGUCCAAAACAGAUACGACAUGGUUAUUUAUCGUGUUGUGUCAACUCAUUUAUUAAUCGUGUCAAUAUUUGUCAACACGAAUAUGGGUCAUAUGUCAUAUUAUGUUGUGUAAUCGUGUCGUAAUCCAUUUUGCCACCUCUAAUCUUAACUGUCAUAAGAGAAUUUCUCAAGUUCCAUAUUAUUGAUGGGAAGAGAUUUUUGUUAUUUUGUUGUAUUUUUUUUCGUUUUACAGGAUGCUGCUGCAUGGCUGGAGUAGUUUGAAUCAAAAGCUCUAGAGCAGCAAGAAGCGGCACGGAAUGGAACUCCAAAGCCAGAUGCGUCCAUUGCGAGUAAAGGUCACCUUAGGUAUUAACAGGGUAUUCCCACAUUACUUGUUUCUAAAUUGUUGAUUAUUUCUUGUGGCACCAAGACCUAUAAUGAUCGCUUUUUGCAGUGUGUCAGAUCUCCUGGAUUACAUUAGUCCUGGUCAAGAUUCUAAAAGAAGCGAAGCACAUAGGAAACAACGACGUGCAAAGGUAGUAUAUACUUAGUGCCUGUUUAGUAUGACUUAUCUAAUAGUCAUAAAUUUUUAUUUAAUCCCAUAAGCUGUUAUCAAUUUUUUUUUUUGUUUAAUUGUUUUUUUCGUAGAGCUCUUGAAAAUUAAAUAAGUUAUUUUGCCUCUACUACCAAAAGCUCGAAUUUUGUGCUUUUGAGAGUAGAGGUUAAAAAGUUUUUUUUAAAUCUUAAAAUAUCUAAAAUAUUUUCUACUUAUUUGAUAAUCUUAUUUUAUUCUUUCCAAAACAUAACUUUAAAAAAUUUACUUAUUAAAGUAAUUUUAUAAUUUUUAAUAAAAGCUCUUAUUGACAACCAAACAACACAAAUUUUUUGGGUAAAAACUUUACUUAUAAAAUCUUUACUAACAAAAGCUCUACUCAGAUAAGAUCUAUUUGAAAAGCUAUGUCAAAUGAAGCAUUAAGCCUGCUGCUGUUCUCUGUUCCUUUUUUCUUGUGAUGUCAUCUGAAUGGAUUCUUAAACUAAUUGUAGUUAGGAUUUGGUAUUUUAGAGUACACUCUGCUGGCUGCAUAUAGUUUUGGAUUUGCUGAUGACACGAGUAAACUUGUUGGCCAUGCAAAAUGCAACUAUAUAUCUGCAGGAUAAUAGUUCUACUUUUCUGAGUGAACUCUGAAGGCACCAAUUAUAACAUCCAUUUCCAGCAUAGAAUCCCCUGCCCAACAAAAAGAAAUCUAACAUGCUUAUACAGAUCGCAGACAUGAUUGAAACUUCAGAAGUUUCUGAUCUAUUGAUGGCCAUAGAUUGGGCCAGCUGAUAGUUAGUAGGCAAUGAUGGAGGGUUGCUUGGUCAAGCUGCUAGUUCUUUGGAAAUUCAGAGAUGAUGAGCAGAACGAGUGAUAGUUUUUGUUUUCCCCCGUAAUCAUGAACAGAGUGGGAAGAAACCAUUAAUUUGAAGUGCAAUGGAUGGAUAUGACAGAUCUAUCAUUUUGGCUAGUAGAUGGAGUUCUUCCAUUCUACUGUUAUUUAAUGGUUGUUUUUAUUGAUUCUAGAAAAACAUUUUUCGAUUUGGCAGUUGGAGUUUUGCCCUUUUUUUUUUUCUCCCCAUUUUGUAGGCCUUGGAGAACCAAAUAAUACUACAUAUUAGAUAGACAGGAUUAUUAUGUGCUAAUUUGAAGUAUUACCUGGUUGACAAUUUAAGACACUAGUAAAGUAUUUUGCUAUGAUUAUUUUUUUUUUGAGAAUUCCUUGAUUCAAAAGGCCGAAGAAUUUCAUUAGUUUAACAUAGUAUAUAUUAGCAUAAUUUCUCACUGAGUGUUUUUUUCAACAUUUCAGGCAUGUACAUAUCAAAUUCCCAUUAUGUUCCACUGAAUUCUGCCUCAUGUUAUGUCCGGAUUUGUUGUAAUAAAUUUUGCUACUGUAAAAUUACAAGAUGAUUGUAACUUAAAAUGAACUAUUUCUAUUUGCUCAAUUUUUGACAUUUUAUAUGCAUACAAGUUAAAAAGGUUUUGUUUAUUUUUAUUUUUUUUAUUUUUUCAGGUAAUGCAGAUUAGGGAAAAGAUUCAUGGAGCACAUCAUGAUAUGAUGGUGGAAGAUGCACUGCCCCAUGAUGGAUUGAAAAAGAGUAUGACUAUAGUGGAAAGCAAGACCGAGGAAGUAAUAGAAGACGGUGNNNNNNNNNNNNNNNNNNNNNNNNNNNNNNNNNNNNNNNNNNNNNNNNNNNNNNNNNAAAAAAAAGAAUAUAUAAGGCUUUUGAGGGGUGGCAAGAAGCCAAUCCAAAAGGUAGGUCAGGAAAUGCUGCUGUUCGGAAGCUCAACCGGAGGCGACCUGUUCUUACAAAGCUAAAUGUCAAUGGUUGUGAACAUUCAAAUCUUAGAGAAAAAGGCAAUAGACGGGAAAUUGUAUCUCCAGCACGGGAAAAAGCUUCAAGGACCACCACCACUGAGUUAACAGGCAAGAAGGAUUCAAGUAAAUUGCAGGCAAAAGCUUCUGUCUCCGAAGUUUAUGCAAGUCCACCAAACCUUACUGCCAUGGCUUCCAAGUCGCUGUCUUACAAAGAAGUAGCUGUGGCACCACCAGGUACGGUUCUAAAGCCAUUACCAGAGAAACCUGAUGAAGAAAUUGAAGAAAAAACUGAAACACAGAUGUGCAGUAAUGCUCCUGAGACAUCAAAGGCGGAGUUGAAUAACCAUUUCUCUCCCGUUGAAGAUGCGCCAGUUGAUGGUCAGUCUCAAGAAACUCGUGGAAGUGUAACUCAAUCUGAAACUACUGCUGCAGAUACCGGGGAAGUUCCUUCUUCUUCUAAUGAGGAAAAGCCCAUGGAAACAAAUGGGAGUAAGCUUUCUGCCACAGCUGAACCAUUCAACCCAGGAGCUGUCUCCAUGACUCAUCUGCUACACUCUGUAGCAGCCACGAGUAUUUAUGAUCCGAGAACUAGUCAAGGUAUGCUUGCAGAACCUGCUGUACCUUCGGCUGCUGCUAGAGUUCCUUGUGGGCCAAGGUCGCCUCUCUAUUAUAGAAAUAAUUAUUCUUACAUUAUGAAACAUGGAUUUCCAAAAUACCACUCUUCCAUUAUGGAAAGAAACCUGUUGGGGCCUUCAAGAAUCAUGAACCCGCAUGCACCCGAGUUUGUGCCAAUGAGAGGUUGGCAAAUAAAUCCUGGAUAUGCACAUUCAACUGUUUCAAAUGAGUCAAACUCUUCAAAUGACACAAGUGAGGCAGACGAUGAGAAACUUGACAAAAUGUCCAGUAUUCAAGGCGAGGAUAAUACCUCAAGAAAGAGCAGUACAGAGGCGGAGAAGUCAGAGCUGGCAAGACAGAUACUACUUAGCUUCAUUGUAAAGUCAGUCCAGCAUAAUAUGGAUGCUCCAAGUCAUUCUUCAGGCUACGAAAAGAAGAUUGGGUAUUCAGAAAAUUCUUCAGAUGCAAUUGCAAAUGAUAGUGCUAUCAUAAAGAUCCUUUAUGGAAAUGAAAAGGGCAAAACAAACUUGGCAUCUCAGUCCAAUGAUCAAGAACAGCAAAAACCCAAAGAGGAAAACCAAAAAAGUGGGGAUGGUGAAGGAUUUAUAGUUGUCAGAAAACGGAGAAGAAACCGACAGCAGAUCACAAAUGGGGUAACUGAGAUGUACAAUCAUCAAUCCAUCUGUGCUUCUGUUCGUUAAAAGAGAGAGCAAAGCAAUAAAAUGCAAAGGUGCCGUCCUGUUUCUCCCAAUUUUAUUCGAAAAAUUUGUUAGUGAAUGUUACCGUUGUAGAGAUGGUUAAAGUUUGGAGCAAGUUUUAAUCAAUACUUGAUUGUAUCAUUUUAGAUAUCCUCUCUGGAUGUUCUAAUAUAAUAUUUGUACAAAUCGGUUUCUUGUUUUGUUAAGAGAUUUUGUUUUGAUCAAUAAAUGAUGAUAAAUUAAUUGGGCGAUUUUCCUCAUCAAGAGAUCUGUGAUGUUGUUCUAUAAUGGAUUUUAAUGUUUUAGACUGAGAUUUGUAGUUAUGCCUCAAAUUAUUUGGUAUUUGGUUGGUGCGUGUGAACAAUACGUUCGGAAUGGAGUUGAAUUGACCCACUGAUAGAUAGCUUACAUUUGCAGCUGAAGUUGCUGCACUGAUGAUAUUACAACUGACAUGGUAGGCAAAAUUCCUUAUUCAAUUUAAAUUUGCAAUCAACAGAAACUGAAGAAGAAGCCGUAAGUUUAAUCCUAAUGGAUGCAUAGCUGUUUGGAGAAAAGCCAAUGGAGACAUAACAAAGCACGAUAAGUUAUACACGGCAGAACGGUAUGUGCUAGUAAGCACAGUCACCGAUGGAAAACAUAUUUGAAAAGCCAAUAGUAGCAUGUGUCAAUACAUCUAUCAAUGAAAUAGAACCACAGUCUGCGCCAGUACGAGUUUAUCCAAAGUGCUGCAAGUAAACCCAAAAUCACUGACACAUAGGAUGCUCCAAAACUCCAUCUUAAUGCCACCAUGUCAAUCACAGAAUCGCCUUCAUCUUCUCCUCCUCCUGUAGGUGUCGCUGGUGGUGCCAACGCGCUGCUGCAUUUCCUCUUUAUCAUUGAGCCACAAAGAGCCGAAUUACCUUUAUAACUGCUGUCAUCAAAGGUGGCAAACUGCUCUUUGUCCGGGAUUGGGCCGGACAAAUUGUUGUAUGACACGUUGAAGUUUGAUAAAAAGUUGAGCUCAGUUAGUUGAGGAAUUCGGCCACUUAAUUUGUUGCGGGAAAGGUCCAGGCUCUCUAUCAUUUUCAGAUUGGAGAAGCUCUCUGGUAUAGUGCCUGAUAGUAAAUUAUUGGACAGAUUAAGUGCACGAAUAUGUUGAAGAUGCCCAAUUUCCCAUGGAAUUUCUCCACUGAACUCAUUGCUCGACAAAUCCAGUCCAGCCAUGUCGUCGAGAUUGAGACCAAUGAAAAAUUCAUAUCUAUACUUUGUCACAAAUUCUACACCUACUGGUUGAUCUAGUCCACCAUGUAGUUCACCUGGCGGCAGCAGAUGAAGAGUGGAAUUGUAGUAAGUAGAAGCGGAAUCACGAUUAGACAUAGCAAAUUCAUAUUCAAAUGAACCAUCAUCAAUCGCUUCCCUCCCGAAUGAGAUGUUACCCAGGCAUGAAGGUAUCGGCCCAUUAAGUCUGUUAUGUGAAAGAUCCAUGAUACCUAAUUUUCUUAAUUGGCACAACUGAUUAGGAAUACGUCCUUGUAGAGAAUUCCCUCUCAAAAGAAGAAAAUGCAAAUUCGAAAGCUCAUUGAUCUGAUGAGGAAUCCUACCAAAAAAUUUAUUGUCCCUCAAAUCGAGAGUCAAUAAUGUAGAGCUUCUAAGCAAUGCAAUUGGAAUUAACCCAUUAAUUGCAUUGUUAUGCAGAUAAAUGUGCUUCACUGAUGAAAGAUUGGAGAGAGAUACCAUGGACCCAGACAAACCAUUUUCGGAGAUGUCUAUAAACUCAAGACUUUCAAGAUUGCCGAGCUGGACCGGAAUACUACCUUGCAAAUAAUUUUCUGACAUUAAAAGAAGCCAAAGGACUGAGAAGUUGCCAAUCCAGUGGGGAAUAUCGCCGGAUAACUUGUUGUUGGAUACAUCUAAUACAUCCAGCAAAGUGGAGCUCAACAAACCAUCUGCCAUUUUCCCACUGAAAUGAUUGUUGUUCAAACGUAAUGAACUCAAAUGAGUCAAGUUCAUAAAAUUGGGAAAAAGUUGGCCAUAGAAAUUGUUAUUUGAUAGGUCCAACGUUUCUAAGGAGAGGCAACUAGAGAAUAUAGAUCGAGGUAAUUCUCCUGAAAAAUUAUUUCUAGACAAAUCCAAAGUAAUUAGCUCUUUCAUCUCACUGAUUGAAUAAGGAAUAUUACCUUCAAAACUAUUUUUUGACACAUCCAAAUAUAUCAAUUUCUGAAAGACAAUACCCAAAUUCUCUGGUAGCUUACCAGAAAAAUUGUUAGUGGAAAUAUCUAGAUGACGAAGCUUGUCGUAUUUGGCAUUGGGAAGUCGCGGAAGAAUUCCCGAGAAUGAGUUAUUCCACAAAAUCAAAACUUCUAAUCCUGUGUUGUUUUGCAACAACCAAGUUGGGAAAUUGCCAACCAACUGAUUGUGAGAGAGAUCAAGGAAUUUUAAGUGGUGUUGGUGUAAAAGAAAACUACUAUUGACAUUUAAGUGGCAGUGAGAUAAUUGGAGAACCUUGAGAGGAUAUGUGGGGAGCCAGUUUUCGGUUUUCACUUGCAACAUAUCGUUUCCUGACGAGAGUACCAAGACCUCAAGCUUUGAAUGAUUAGCCAAUGAAUUUAUUAAGAAUGUUCCUUGGAAAUCGAUGAAAGAGAGAUCCAAAUAUUCAAGUGAUGUGAGGUUGGUCAAGACAGAAGGAAAGUUUCCACUUAACUGAUUGUAAGAAAUAUCAAGAACUUUAAGAUGGGUCAAGUUGUUGAGACACUGAGGAAGAUGACCCUCAAAAUUAUUUGAGCUUAAAUCCAACUCAAGAAGAUUCUUCAAAUUACAUAUUCCUAAAAGUGAAAAUAAAAAGCUCAGAUUUCAUAAAACGAAAACUAAUUAUAGCACAUUCAAUCAUAAACCCAAUAUAAGACUUAUAAAACGGACAUGAAAUCAAAUUGUCUAAGUAUUUUGGUCAACAUAAAUAAUAAUAGAAUGAUAUGAAUUUAUUUCUCAUAUAAUAUGAUGUUGAUUGCAAAAGCGUUUCAAUUAAUCUAACAAUAAAAAAGAAAAUAAUAAUAAAAAUAUAAAAGCAGUCAGCAAUUCUUGCUCAUCGUAAUCCAUUCAAUAAGCGUUUCAGCAAUUCUCGUUGUUUAAAAUAAUGAUUUUCUGCGGAAGAGUUUGUUGACUUCGUCUUUUUCGUUGGAUAUUGGUUUUCUAAUCUCUAAAUUUGUUGGAUAAUGUAAAGAGAAACUCAUAAUAUAUUGGUUGCUUUCUUAAACUUUAUUUAAUUUCGUCGAAGUACUUCGACCAACAAGUCACUGGGAAGUAGGAAUUGUGUAAUCAGUAAUGCAAAUAUUGGGUGCGUUGGUAUUGUUUUUAUAUGCUGUUUUUUAUUUUUUGAAUUUAGAAAAUAUUAGAUACGUGUUCGGUAGAUUGUUUCUGAAUUUUUUUAAAAAAUAUAAAAUUCAUUCUACACAUUUUAACAAAAGAAAUGAGAAACAACUUUUUCUUAUUUUCCUUAUUUCCCAAUACAAUAUUAAGUUCCAAAAUGAAGAAUUCUCUUUACCUCCUCCUGAAAUAAUAAUAAUAUCAACAUUAUUAUUAUUAUUAUUAUUAUUCUUGUUGUUGUUGUUGUUGUUGUUGUUAUUGUUGUUCUUGUACCCAAAGAAUCAAUUUCCCUCACAAUAAUCUUUUCUUUUUAUAUACAUUAUAAUAUUUAUGUUUUUAUAUUAACUAAAUCAAAUAUGUAGGGUUUAUCAUUUUUCUUUGAACAAAAAAAAUAGAAAGAUCACCUAAUUUAUUCUUAAAAUUAAAAUAAUCAAUAUACAUUGCUUAAUCUUAAGUUUAUGGAAAUUAUUCCAAUAAUAAUUCUUUGAGACAUUCUUACCAAACAUAUUUGUUUUCUCAUUUUUGAGAUUAUUUUUAAAAUGAUACUGAACACAUUUUUAAAUUUUAAAAAUAAAUUUAAAAAUAGCAUUUUCAUUUUUUUUGUGAAAACAACAAUUAGAAAACAAUAUUGGGCUCUUAUUUAUCAUGUUUCAACAUAAAAACACAAUGUAAAUGGUUUAAUAUGGGUUUCUAGAGAAUUUUUUAUAUUACUAUUACUCAAAUUCAAUGCUUCCAAGCUUUUGAAUUUAGCUAAUCUUGCAUCAAGAAUUAAUGAACAUAAGGAAAAAAAAAUUUAUUCAGAACUAUAAAUAUUGAAAUAAAGAUAAAUAUCAUUGUUGAUUUUUUUGUAAAAAAAGAUUUAGAAUUAAGAGAGAGUGAAAGAAAUGAGCGGGUUAUGUCGGAAAUUGGUGAUAGAGUAUGUCAAGUACUAAACUUUGUAUAGAAAGCAGUGCUUCUAAUUUAAAUUUGAUCUAGUUUAAAGCAAUUAAAAAAUGCAAAUAUAUUAUCAUCUUGAUUAACAUCUAAAACAAUUUUUGUCAUUGGAGGAAGUGAGUUGUUAUAUACCUUGAAUUGUAGUUAUCCCACAAGAAUGAAGAUCCAAUGCUUUCAAAUUUGGCAAAUCUGCCAAUCCUACAUGCGCUAAUAAAAAAUGAAAAUAUUACAUUUAAAGGUAUUGUAUGUGAUCUGCACGUUUGAAGAAUAUUAAUUCUUAAUUUGCUUCUUAUCUCAGAUUCAAUGGCUUACCUAGCGUUGUCAAAUUUUGAUUUAAGCUUAAAUCCAACACUUGCAGGUUUGUCAAAUUUGCUAAUCCUAUUAAAAAAAAACAUAAAUUUUGUCAAUAAUAGUUACAUCACUCUCGUCUAAAUUGUUUAAUUAAAAUAAUAUGAUAAAUAUUAAAUGAAAAUUAAUUGUGCAAAUUGUUUAAUUAAAAAAAUUGCCUUCUAAAGAACUGUGUAUAUAAUAAUUAUAACUCAAAUCCAACGUUUCCAAGCUUUUUAAUUUAGCUAAUCCUGCACCAAGAAAGAAGAAAACUUUUAUUAAUCAUCUUUGGAAAAAAAAAAAGAAUUAAGAUUAAGAAACAAAUUUCAAAGUUAGAUUAAAUAAUUGUAGUAAUAAAGCUUAUGAUGAUUAAGAUAUAAUUAAAUUGAUCAUAUACUCAAAAAUGAUUUUAUUUUAUUUUAUUUUUUAAUUUUACUAAGAAAUUAGAAAGUAAAUUUUUGUCGUGUACCAAUUAUAGUCAAGUUUGUCAAGUUUUCCAGUCAAAAAUUGCUUUUAAUUUGACAUUAUACAUAUGUAAAAAUUAAAGCCAUAAUAAUAUCACAAGGAAUUUGGGUAGUGACUUGUUGCCGUGUACCUUGAAGUGUAGUUAUUCCACAACUACCAAGAUCCAAUUCUUUCAGGUCUGUCAAAGAUAAUCCUAUACCAACGAAAAGCAAACUAUUACUUUUAAAAUUAUUGUAGAAGGUUGUGAUUAGUGUGCUAACUUGGUAGUUAUCUCAGUAGCCUACCUAGCCUUGUUAAAGAGCCACUAGUUAUAUUGCGGUUCCCGCUUAGAUCCAACACUUGCAAGUAUCUCAAAUUUGCUAAUCCUGCUUAGAAAACAUUAAUUUUGAUCAAGACAAUAUAAAUAUAUAUUUUAAUUAAUAAAUUAAUUAAGUUGCCUGACAUGUAUAUCUGCUGGCUUGAAACGUAUAUGUAUACCUUGCUUGGUUCUGGAACCUUCAAUCUUAUUGUAACGAAGAUUCAGAGUGGUAAGUGAAGUUAGUGUAUUCAAAUAUGGUAAUAUGCUGUCGAUGAAGAAAUUAAAACCAAGAUUUAAGAUCUUUAGCUGCUUCAAACUCCCAAAGCUAUCGUAAGCUGCAAAUGCAUAUGAAGUGUUAUUUUUAAUUAGUCACUGACAAAAUAUUUAUGGACGAGAAAUAAAUGUAUACAUAUAUACGGACCUCUAUUCUCACAGAAGCCUGUAAACCCAUUCCCAGGUAAGUCGAGCCUUUGCAAUUCUUUGAAAGGAUGAAACAAUGACAUAUUCAGAAGCGAAGCCGAAGUUCCAUCAUAAUAAUUCAAUCUCUUUGUAUAAUUGAGUGAGAGUUGCAUCACGCGUCGUGUGGUGGCGUUGCACAUAACUCCCUCCCAAUCAUCACAACAAUCAGACGGCAUUCCAUCAUCCUCACCAACCCAUGAAGGAAGAAUUUUGUCAUCAUAUCCAAUAUCACUGACUAAUGAUAUGAAGAAGCUCUUGAUUUCCAACAGAGCAGUCCUCUCUGUUUCCAAGCAUCCUUUGUAUCCAUGAAUUUCAUCCAUCGAUACAAUAAUCCAAAUUAGUGACAUUAAUGAGAACUUAAUACAGGAAGUACUUUCCAUUGUAGAGCAACUUUUCAUUUGGUUAAAAUUAAAUGUGCAAUGAGCAACUUUCCAUUGCAGAGCAAUUUAUACUAAAAGUUUAUCGUAGGUCUUGCAAUUUGAUUGGCUGAAGACUUUUUUAAGACUUUCCAAUACAUUGCCAUCUUUGAAGACUUGUAAGCACUUCAUUAAUACCCCGUGGAAAAUAUAGAUAAAGUGAUUGUAAACUAUAAAUUUUUGUAAUAGUUUGAUGGAGAUAAUCAUAACUAAUAAAAAAAAAGUUGACCGAGAGAAUUUAAAUAAUUCAACCAUAUGUUUGGAUUUCCAUUGCAUUAUCAGUCAAUCUAUUAAAUAAUGUGUUUUGAGAAGAAUUUGAUUGGAUGUUUGAUAAGUUUAAAUUAAUUUAUUAGAAAAUCAAUAAUUAAUCAACAUAAAUCUUCGUAUAUGUUUAGUUAGUGUGGCGUUGUCUGAAAUGACAAAAAACAUAAAUGUUAUUUGAAGCUCUUGUGACCCUUUGUGUUCAUGCAUUUGAAUCAAAGCUGUACUAAAAUCAAAGAUAUUGGGCAUCCUUAAUAAGGAAAGUUUCCAUUGCUCUCAGUCUGCACUCUUCAUUACUAUUGCAAUCACUUGAAAUGACUAAAACAGAAAUUUCGUAUGAACUUGGGACAGCUGCACGGGUCCAAUUUAAAUGACAACUACGUGGAAAAUAAAAAUUUUGCAUAUAUUAUUACAACUACGUGGAAAAUUAAAGUUGACUGACUUUCAAAUUAAGCCAACAAACAAGUGGCCAUCAACUCUUUUUCCACUAACAAUUAGUGGCGACGGUCAAUACUAUAAAAUAAAAGUUGACUAAGAAUUUAUGUAAUUUAAGAGUAUGAUUGGCCUUUUAUUGAAUAUUAUGAUUGGGUUUGCACUGAAUUAUCAAAAAAUCUAUUCAACGAUUUAUAUUCUAAAAUAUUUAGUGAGUUUAGAAAAUUAUUUUAUUAGAUUUUUGUUAAUUUUUUUUAUUAUUAUUAGAUGGCCAACAAUUAAUCAAGUAAUUUUCCAUAUAUAUUUGAUAAUUUACUCAUAAAAGCGUGGACUACAUUCAAAUGGCAUUUUAUAUGAUGUGUGAUAUAUGUAGAGGUGAAAUUUAAAUAGGCUUAAUUUUAUAAAUAAAUACAUAUGUAUUGCAGCAUUCAAUCAUUGUGUUAAAGCGCCAAUCACGGUGACCACCAAAACCUAUGAAUGAUUAGUCCAUCGAAACCCAAUGUAUGCUCAAUUAAUAUUUCCUAUCAAGAUCAAAUUUUUCGCUCUAUUGCUUCAACAAUCAUGAGCAUAAAAGCUCGAUUUAUACAAAAAUUACGAAUUUAUGAAAAAAAAAAGUCACAUUUAUUAUAAUAUGAAGUUUGAUUGAUUUUUAAAGAUUGAUUCAAUCAAUCUUAAUGUUACUGGACAAUCGAUCUUAAUGUUAAUUCAAAAUCAAUCUUUAUUUCGAUGGGCACAGAUAAAGAUAAUUAGUUUUGGUCUCUAUAAUGACUGACGAAGACUUGUAGGACCUGGACCAAUGAGGAAAAACACUUUCAAAUUAAGCCAACAUACAAAUGGUCGUCAAUUCUAUUUUUUACAAAAAUUGAUGGAGAUAGUCAACUAAUAAAAUAAAAGUUGAUUGAGAUAAUUUAAAGAAUGUAGGCAUAAGUUUGGCUUUUAAAUUGUCAAAUAAUUUAUUCCACUAUUGAUACUUAAAAAAGUGCUUUGGAAUUAAUAAUUCAAUAGGGUGUUUGAUAUAUUGGAAUUCGUGAAAAUCAAUAAUCAACUAUUUUUUAUACAUGUUUAGAAAUUUAUCCGGUGUGUAUAGGGGCUUGUAUAUUUCACAAUAAACAUGAAUUAGUACAUCCAUUGAUUGACGUAUAAUUAUAAUCAUAUAAUCAAACACGCACACUACAAGGCGACCUUCGAUUGACGUAUUCUGUGAACUAACCCGUGGGAGAUGGAGGAUGUCUUAACGUUAUAAAAAAAAAUUGAUGAAUAAUAUAGUUCCAGGCAGUGCUAAAACCAUAAUGUACGCCAGUAUGAGUUUAUCCAAAGUCACCGGCUACACCAAUAUCAUUGUGACAUAGUAACAUUCUUGUCCCAUUGAGUGAGAGUUGCAUCACCCGUCGUGUGGUGGCGUUGCACUCAACUCCCUCCCAGUCAUCACAACAAUCAGACGGCAUUCCAUCAUCAACCCAUGAAGUAAGAAUAACGUCUUCAUAUUCCCUAUCACUGAUUGAUAUAAAGAAGCUCUUGAGUUCCAACAGAGCAGUCCUCUCUGUUUGCAAGCAUGCUUUGUCUCCAUGCAUUUCAUUCAUCAAAAUAAUAAUCCAUAUUAGUGAAAUUAAUGAGAACUUGACAAAGGAAGUACUUUCCAUUGCAAAGCAACUUUUCAAUUGGUUAAUAUAAAAUUUGCAACGAGGAAACUUCGAUAUUUAUACUAAACAUUUAUCAUCAUGGACCUUGCAAUUUGAUUGGCUGAAGAUUUCCAACCACCCAACCUAACGAAAAUGAAACAUCUUAGAGAUAUCAAGUAAUAAAAAUACUUGAUUAUCUUAUUUUUGUUUUAGAGGGUUAUUAAAGACAAAACAUUGUCAAUACAUUAUAACAUCGCUAUCUUGAAGUCUUUGUCUUUUAGUGAAGACUUGUAAGCUUGAAAUUACAUAUAUAUUGCAACAUCGACCCAGGAGAAAAAGAACUUCACUAAUACUCCGUGAAAAAUAAAAUUAAAGUUCACUGACUCUCGAAUUACGCCAACAAACAAGCGAGUGCAAACUAUAUUUUCUCCAACAGUUUGAUGGAGAUAGUCGUAACUAAUAAAAUAAAAGUUGUGUGAAAGAGUUUAAAUAAUUUAUCCGUAUAUUUGGGAUUACAUUGGAUUAUCAGUUAAUCUAUUAAAUAAUAUGUUUUGUAAAGAAUUUGAUUGGAUGUUUGAUAAGUUUAAUUUAGUAGUUUAAUUACUCAUAAAAGUGUGAUGUACUCUAAAAUGACAAACACAUAAAUGUUAUUUGAAGCUUUUGUGACCCUUCAUGUUCAUGCAUUUGAAUCAAAGCUAUUAAAAUCAAAUAUAUUGAUAAACCUUAAUAAGGAAAUUAAGUUUCGAUUGCUCUCAAUCUGCAACUCGACUACUAUUACAAUCACUUGAAAUGACAAAAACAGAAAUUUCAUAUGAACUUGGGACAGAUGUACACGGGUUCAAUUUAGCUAAUUUCCCAUAUAUUUACAACUACGUACGGGGAAAAUUAAAGCUGAUUGACUUUCAAAUUAAGCAACAAACAAGUGGCUGUCUACUAUUUUUCCUCUACCAAUUGAUGGAGACCGCCGAUGCUAUAAAACAAAAAUUGAUUAAGAAUUUAGAUAAGGAAAAUUAUCAACUGUCCGUCUUAAGUUUAUCAUUUAUUCAUUUUUCGCCUUAAGUUUACAAUUCGUAUUAGUCAUCUACUAAAAAGAUAGAAUUACACUUAUGAAAUGACAAUACAUAAAUAAAUACAAAUGGCAAUAGUGGUAAUUUUGUAUGAAUUUUUCUAUUCUUUUGGCGGUUGGUUGAUACAAAUUAAAAACAUAAGAAGAAAAAUAAAUAAAUUCAAUCUUUUUAGUAUUUCUGAUAGUAGGUUAAACCAAAGGAGGAGGGCUUUAUAAUUUCCCUUUAAAUAAUUUAAGGGUGUGAUUGCGUUUCUAUUGAAUUGUACGCUUGGAUUUGCAUUGAAUUAUCAAAAAAUCUAUGCAAGCAUCGAAUUGUAAUGACUGACGAAGACUUAUAAGGCUUGGACCAAUGAAGAAAAAUGCUUCAUUAAUGCUCCGUGGAAAACAAGCCAGCUUGGAAGCAGUUGAUCGGAUGGUCAACAGUUGAUUGAGAUAGUCAACUAAUAAAAUAAAAGUUAGUUGAGAUAAUUUUAAUAAUUUAAGCGUCGUUUGGGUUUCAAAUAUCAAAUAAUUUAUUCCAGUAUUGAGAAGAGUUGAAUUCCGUUAUUUUAUUGAGAAGAGAUCCAUCGCUCCCUCCCAAUUAUCACAGCAAUCAGACGACAUUCCUUCAUCACCGUCAAACCAUGAACUAAGAGCUUCGUCAUCGUAUCCAAUAUCACUGCUGCUGAUAUGAAGAAGCUUUUGAUUUCUAACAGAGCAGUCCUCUCAGUUUCCAAGCAAGCUUUGCAUCCAUGCAUUUCAUCCAAAACGACAAUCCAAAGUAGUGAGGUUAAUGAGAACUUAAUGAAGGAAGUACUUCCAUUGCAAAACAGCUUUUUAUUUGGCUAAAGUUAAAUGUGAAUUAAAUAUCUUUGACUGGUGAUAUACAUAUAUUCAGAGAUUUGAAGUGCUCAAACCAAAAACAAAUAAAAAUAUAAAAAUAUUAUUAUAAAAAAAUUGAUGAAUAAUAUAGUUCCAGGAAGUGCUAAUAUGGCUCUUUGAACUCUCUUUACAGUAUUGGUAGAAAUUUAUCCGAUGUGUACAAGGGCUUGUAUAUUUUGCAAUAAAAUAUACGAGCCAAUAUGAAUUUCUUUCUUUCUUUCUCUCUCUUUUUUUUUUUAAGUUUCUCUCUCUUUUUUUUUUUAAGAAACAUGAAUUGGUUCGUCCAUCAAUUAAUAAUAAAACCAUAAUGUACACCGGUAUGAGUUUAUCUAAAAUCACCGGCCACACCAAUAUCAUUGUGACAUAGGAAGCGAUGAGGAAAUUUACGAAAUAUUUAUUAAACCAUAGUCUACGCCAGUAAGAUGGAAUUAGCAUUCAAUGAUCAUAGACUUUCUGCAAUUUCAUUGACUUGUGAUCAGGGAGUCCUUAUUCUACAAUAAUUAUAAUCAAACACGCACACUGCAAGGCAACCUUCAAUUGACGUAUUCUGUCAACUAACUGGGGACAGGGGUCAUAAAAGGGUACGUGAGAGAAAGCACGAGUCUAUGCACAGUUCCGGUUUUGCUAGUUGAUGGAACAUGGAGGAUGUGUGUUAACGUUAACCAAUAGUCAAGUUUAUGAACACAACCAAGUAAUCGUAUCAUCAAUCAGAACCACAUUCGACGCACGACUAGUAAAUAUCAUAAUUGAGUUUGAGGACCACAACCGCACAGUGAAAGAAUUUGAAUGAAGGAAAAGUAAAAGAAAAGGAAAAGGAAAAGAGGGGAAUGCUAAAGAAAAAUAAGUUGAUUCAUCAGUUAUUCAAUAUGACAAUUGCACACAAAUUUUGGAUGUUUUUAGCCUCCAUGUGAAUCAAAAUAAUUAAUAGAGACUAUCCCGCGUGUCACAUGUAACUAACUUUGGCGCCAUCUUGAGCUACUUCUGUUAAGGUCUUCACUCCAUAGUCUUAAGAACACAAUGCACAAUCAAUUCUUCAGAUUCAUAUGGCAAAUGAAUUACUCAUAAAAGAAAGAUAAAGUAAACUAUGGCCUGGUACUGUCGUUUUAUGCGUUCUAGUGGUGUUGUAGUAUAAACAGUACUCGUUUUUCUAUCUUGGUGGUUUCUUGAUUGUGUUCAAAUAUCAAUACUCGGAGACAGAUAGAGGAAAGCUAAAGAAAAAUAAGCUAAUUCAUCACUAACAUAAUAUGACAAUUGCACGCAACUUUUGGAUGUUUUUAGUCACUGAAAUUUUUAACAUUAAUGAUUAAUUACAAGUAUGUGAAUGAAAACUUAUAAACAAAUUUUGUUUACAGGAAAAAUGUAACUGUGAAAGAAAGUAAAAGAGAGCAGAGAGACUAAAACCAGAGGAUUUCAUUCGUCAUUUCAUAACUAUAUUCCUAGUGCAACUGCGCAAGGUUGAGCAUUCAAAGUCCAUAAUUCUAAAUCAAAAUCACCAACAGACACCUGUACAUGAAAUACUCAGGCCUUUACUCUGGACUUAAGACCGCAUGUCUGAGAAAUUCGUCAGAUUCAUGUAGCAAAUGAAUUGCACAAGGAGGCAUAAAAAUUAGUAUAUUUUUCAAGGACCCAGCUUGAAAGCAAUGAACUAAAAAUUAAUACAUAAAAGUUCAAUUACACGUAAAGAAGGAUAAUAGUAAACUAUGGCCUAGCAAGAUGACGGAUGAAAGAAAACCAUGGCCAGCGCCAAUACGAAUUCAACCAAAGGAUUCAUCUUAAUUGCAGAUUCAUCUUCGUCUUCUCCUCGAUUGGAUGUUAUUGCUGGAUUUUCCUAUGUUCUGGUGCAAGUCUUAUUAAUUGUUGGACCACAAAGACCGAGAUUAUAACUCUUUUCAUCAAACCUGCCAAAUUGUUUUUUGUCUGGGAUCAGACCGGACAAGUUCUUAUAUGACUCGUUAAAGUUGGAUAAAUAGUUGAUUAUUGAUCAGAAGAUCACUAAUCAGAAAAUUUUUCAUUUAUGUUUGUGUAAAUUAUUCAUAAAAGUAUGGUCUACUCUGAAAUUACAAAAAUAAACAUAAUAAAUUUGAAUAAAGGAAAGGAAAAUGAGAAGCAAAACAGAGGAAUGCUAAGGAUAAAUAAGCUGAUUCAUCAGUAACUCAAUAUGGCGAUUGCACACAACUUUUGGAUGUUUUUAGCCUCUGAAAUUUCAAUAUGAAUGAUACAUUACAAAUAUGUGAAGCAAAACUUAGAAACCAAUUUUUGCUUACAGAGAAAAUGUUAAAAAACAAAUAAUGAUAAAAGAGUGCAGAGAAACUAAAAACAGAGGAUUUCACGGAUCAUAAUUUAUAAGUGAUAUUCCUAGUGCAAGGCUGAACAUAAAUCUUAGGUGUGCGAAUCAAGAUCAUUAACGAAGAGAUCACGCGUGUCCCAUGUAACUAACUUUGGCGUGAUGUAGGAUGGUUGCAUAGAAUGAGUAGGGUAUCUUUCAAAUGUCAUAACUUGGGCUACAAGUGUAACUAACAACGACGAUGCUCAAGUUUGGUUAUCGUCGAUGACUGCGGAUUGAUGUUCGUAGCUCCUCCUAUAUCAAGGAAAUGUCAUAAUUACUUUCCAAACAUAAGAAAUACAACUAUUUUAUGUGAUAUGAUUCACAAUAAAUAUUUAUCCCAUAGCUUAUAACUCUCGAAUCCAUUAUUUGUAAAUAAAAAUUACCCUAAUACUCUCAAAACCAUCAAUUGCACCUUAUGCUCAAAAUUUCAUAUUCCAGCUCAAUAAUUAAAUUUCCAUAUCCUAUAAUACUAAUAAAUCAGCCACAUUAUCGCCAAUCUCAUUAUUAGCCAUGAACUACCCAAACAUAAUAUAUAACAAUAAGCUAUUUACAUACCGAAUUGAGGAAAUAGUGAGCGCUACACAUUUUGGCUCUAAUGCCUUGGUGCCCUUGUGCACCUAAAAUGAUCCACCAAUUACUAAAAUUAGCUUGGGACUGACUACACCCAUUUGUUGGGAACCCUAACUAUAAAUAAAGUACACUAAUCUUUGAAUUAUUUUCAUUUUCAUGUAAAUGCAAUUUCAGGUAAAGAUAAAAUGAUAGAAAUCUUACUUCAUUUGGUAAGAAAUUCAACUUGAAAGCUUGAAUCCCUUCCCUCUCACUGAAAUCCUUUCUCUACACUUCCUACAUUUAAAUUCCUCUCCAAUGAAUUUCCAAAUGAACUUAGGGAUAAAAAUACUCUAGAAUGACUCUCGAAUCCAAGUUGUGCAAGACCAAACUCAAUUUUGGAAAAAUCCUAAAUCAUGAAAAUUUUCCCAUUGUCUUCCUCUCAUGCCCGUGAGCUUUUGCAAAGCAAUGGUAAGUGCUUUCUUUUUUAAUUCGCUUUAUAUAUAAAACUUAUUUUAUUUUUUUGUUUAUGGGCUUUUGAAAUAUCCAUUUAGGCCCAAUUAAAGAAAAUUAAUUUAUAUACAUUCGUAUUCAUAAGUUAUUAUUAAUAACUUGUAUAUACAAGUCAGGGCAGUACGCAAAUUUACUGAAUACAGAGUAAAGUUGUACUUUAAUUGGUGAACUCUGAAGGCACCAAUUAUAACAUCCAUUUCUAGCAUAUAUAUAUAUAUAUAUAUAUAUAUAUCAUGGAAAUCUGACAUGCUUAUACAGAUCACAUACAGGAUUCAGAGAUGAAGGGCAGCAAAGAUUGAUAAUUUUUGUUUUCCCCAAUCACCUUGAACAGAGUGAGAAGAAACCAUUAUUUCUAUAUGUGCAGUUCUUCCAUCCUAUUGUUAUUUAAUGGUUGUUAAAUAUAUAUUUGCAACCAACAGAAACUGCAGAAGAAACAGUAAGUCUAAUUUUAACGAAACCGCUCGAAGGAACUUCAAAACAUGAGCAUAGUUUUAGAACCAAAUUAAGAAUUUUAGCAAACACAUACACUGAUACAUAGCAGUUUGCAGAAAAGCUAACGGAAUACGUAACACAGCAUGACAAGUUAUACUCGCAGACCCGUAGGAACUUACUACAAUGGCCUAGCACAAUCACCGAUAGAAUGCAUAUUUGAAGAGCCAAUAGUAGCAUGUGUCAAUACAUUCAUCAAUGAAAUAGAACCACCGUCUACGCCAAUAGGAGUUUAUCCAAAGGACUGCAAACAAACCCAAAAUAACUGUCACAAAGGACGCGCCAAAACUCCAUUUUAAUGCCACCAUAUCAAUCAUCGAAUCGUCUUCUUCUUCUUCUGCUCCUUCUGUUGGUGUUGCUGGUGGUUUUAAUGCACUGCUGCAUUUCUUCCUUAUCAAGGAACCACAAAGCUCUGCUUCUACUGUUUGAUUUAUUGAGGCAUGUGGUUCAGUGGGCGGUUGAAGAUUAAGAGUAGAAUUGUAGAAAGUAGUAGCAAUAGAAUCGAUGUAGAAACCCUGAUACGCUGUGUAUUCAUCAAGCAAACCAUAGUCAUACAAAUAAUAAUUAGUUCAUUCUCUCCAGAAUGACACGUUACCCAAGCAUGAAGGUAUUGACCCACUAAAUAUGUUAUUUGAAAGAUCCAUGAUACGUAAUUUUGCUAACUGGCACAAUUCAUUAGGAAUAUGUCCUUGUAGAGAAUUCCCUCUUAAAAGAAGAACAUGCAAAUUCGAAAGCUCAUUGAUCUGAUAAGGAAUCCUACCAAAGAAUUUAUUAUCCCUCAAAUCUAGAGUGAUUAAUUUAGAGCUUCUAAACAAUGCAUUAGGAAUUUACCCAGUAAUAGCAUUCUUCUGCAAAUAAAGGUGUUUCACUGAUGAAAGAUUAAAGGAAGAUACCAUGGUCCCAGACAAACUAUUUUCAAAGAUGUCUAUAAGCUCAAGACUUUUAAGGUGGUUGAGUUGGACUGGAAUAUUAGCUUCCAAAUAAUUUUUUGACAUUAAAAGAACCCUAAGAGUUGAGAUGUUACCAAUCCAAUUAGGAAUAUUACCGGAUAUAUCUAACCCCUCUAAUGAAGUGGAGCUCCUCAAACCAUCAUCCAUCUUCCCACUGAAAUGAUUGUUGUCAAAAAUAAAUAAUUCAAAUGGGUCAAGUUCAUAUAUUUGGGAAAAAUUCGGCCAUAGAAAUUGUUAUUUGAUAGGUCUAACAAAUCUAGAGCGACGCAACCAGAGACUAUCGGUCAGGGUAAUUCUCCCAAAAAAUUAUUUCUAGAAAAAUCCAGCAUAUAUAACUCUUUCAUCUCACCUGUUGAAUAAGGAAUAUCACCUUCAAAAAUAUUUUUUGACAUAUCCAAAUAAAUCAAUUUCUGAAGGACAAUACCCAUAUUCCGUGGUAGCUUACCAGCGAAAUUGUUAUUGGAAAUAUCUAGAUGACGAAGCAUAUCGUGUUUGGCAUUGGGAUGUAGAUGAAGAAUUCCUGAGAGUGAGUUGUUCGCCAAAGACAAAUAGUUUUAUCUUGUGUUGUUUUGGAACAACCAAAUUGGGAAAUUGCCAACCAACUUAUUAUGAGAGAGGUCAAGGAAUUUUAAGUGGUCCUGUUGUAAAAGAAAACUUGGAAUGACAUGUAACUGGCAGUCGGAUAAUUUGAGAACCUUCAAUUGAGAUGUCGGGUGCCAGCUUUCGGUUUUCACUUGUAACAUAUUGCUUCCUGAUGAGAGUAACAAGACCUCGAGCUUUGAAUGAUUAGCCAAUGAAUUUAUUGAGAAUGUUCCUCGGAAAUUAAUGGAAGAGAGAUCCAAAUAUUCAAGUGAUGUGAAGUUGGUCAAGGUAGAAGGAAAGUUUCCACUUAAUUGAUUAUUAGAAAUAUCAAGAACUUUGAGAUGGGUCAAGUUAUUGAGACACUGAGGAAGGUGACCCUCAAAGUUAUUUGAGCUCAGAUCCUACUCAAAAAGAUUCCUCAAAUUACAUAUUUCUGAACCUGAAAAUAAAAGAUCAAAAUUUUAUAGAAUGGAAACUAAUCAUAGCGAAUUCGGUCAUAAUCCAAUACAAGACUUAAAAAACAGACAAAAAUCAAAUUGCCUAAUUAUUUUGGUCAGCACAAAUAAUAAUAGAGUAAUGUGAACUUAUUUCUCAUAUAAUAUGAUGUUGAUUGCAAAUGCGUUUCAAUAAUCUGAAAAAAGGGAAAAAAAAUGCCCUCAGCACUUUUUGCUUAUCAUAACCCUAAGUCCUUGUUUAUAAUUAUAAUUUUCUGAGGAAGAAUUUGUUCACGUGAUGUUGUUCAUUGGACAAUGGUUCUGUAACCUCUAUAAUGUAAAGAGAAACUCAUAAUAUUUUAGUUGUCUUCUUAAAUAAUAAAUUGUCUUAAAAUACAAUUAAUUUGUCUUAAAUUUAAUUUAUUCCUCAGCAUUCAAGGAAAAACAAAAACAAAAAAAAAAGAAAAAGAAAAAAGAAAUGGUCUUCAUAUAUAAUUCUGUCCAAGUACUUUGAUACACAAAUCAAUCGGAAGGUGGUGUAUCAGUAAUGCAAAUAUUUAAUUAUCAUGUUUCAACAUAACAAUUCUGUGUAAAUUGUUCGCUUUAGGUUUCUAGAGAACUGUUUAUAUUAUUAUUACUACUCAAAUUCAAUGCUUCCAAGUAUUUGAAUUUAAUUAGCUAAUCCUGUAUCAAGAAUUAAUGAACAUAAGAUAAAUGUCAUAUUAAUUAGAUUUAGAUUUUUUUUUUCCAGUUUUGACGUAUAGAUAUAAAUAAUACUUCAAAAGCAUUGAAAUGUAAGAGCUAUUAAAAAAUCGUUUUUCAUUCAAAGCUAUAAUUAAUGAAAUGAAGAUAGAUAUCAUUGUUCAUUUAAAAAAAAUUAAAUUCAGAAAAAAGAAAGAGCGAAAGAAAUGAGCAGGUUAUGUUAAUAAAUAGUGAGAGAGUAUGUCAAGGACUAAAAUUUAUUAAAGAAAGCAGUGGUUCUAAUUCAAAUUUGAUCAAGUUAGAAGUAGUCAAUUAUGCAUCGAGAAUCAAAAGAAUGAAGAAUGGGAAUUCAAAAUUAGCUUAAAAAUUAUAAUAAAGUGAUUAGUUAAGAUUCAAUUAAGCUGAUUUACUAAAAAAUAUUGAAAAAUAAAAGACCACAACAUUGCCAAAAAGACUAGGAAAUUAAGUAGGAAGGGGUGAUUGUUGCGGAAUACCUUGUAGUUAUUCCACAACCACGAAGACCAAUUGCUUUCAAGUAUUGCAAAUAUGCCAAUCCUACAUCAAUAAAAAGCAAAAUGUUACUUUAAAAUUAUUGUAGAAGACUGUGAUCAUUGUGAUAGAUCGGUAAUUUCAGUAGCUUACCUAGGCUUCUUAAAGAGCCGCUUGUUAGAUUGAGGUUCCAGGUUAGAUCCAACACUUGCAAGUUUCUCAAAUCUGCUAAUCCUGCUCAGUAAACAUUAAUUUUGAUAAAAACAAUAUGCAUAAAUAUUUUAAGAGAUUAACUUGCCUGGCAUGCAUUUCUGCCUCAAACAUAUUUACCGUGCUUGAUUCUGGAACCUUCAAUGUUAUUGGAACGAAGAUUCAGAGUGGUAAGUGAAGUUAGUGUAUUCAAAUAUGGUAAUAUGUUGUCGUUGAAGAAAUUACCACCAAGAUUUAAGAUCUUCAGCUGUUUCAAACUCCCAAAGCUGUCGUAAGCUGCAAAUGCAUAUGAAUUAUUAUCAUUAAUUAGUCACUGACAAAAUAAUUAUGAAUGAGUAAGAGAUACAUAUGCUUGUACCUUUAUUCUUAUAGAAGCCUUUAAACCAAUUUAUCAGAUAAGUCAAGGCGCUGCAGUUCUUCAAAAGGGUGAAAUAAUAAUGACAUAUUCAGAAAAGAAACUCCAUAAGAAUAAGAGUUAUAAUCAGAGUAGUUGAUUUUUGUUUUCUGAUUGAGUGAGAGUUGCGUCACCCGUAGGGUGGUGGCGUUGCACUUAACUCCCUCCCAGUCGUUGCAACAAUCAGACGACAUUCCAUCAUCAUCAAACCAUGAAGAAAGAAUUUCGUCAUCAAAUCCAACAUCACUGGCUGAUAUGAAGAAGCUCUUGAUUUCCAACAGAGCAAUCCUCUUCGUUUCCACGCAUGCUUUGUAUCCAUGUAACUGAAUCAAAGCCAUGCCAAUCCACAAUGACAACUUCAUCAAAAGCAUUUUCAUUUUUAAUAUUAACUGCUAGAGAAACACUCACAAGAUUGACCUGUCAAUUGUUGCUCUCUUGAAUUUUUUCUGGUUCCAUAGCAAAUAUAUGACUUAUAUAUAUACAAUGGAAAUUUUGCGCAGAAUGAAAAUUUUGCACAUUUUCACGUGCCAUGUCAAUGAGAAAACAUGCAUGGAUAGAAAAAAGUAGGUGAGAGAAUGUUACCUGUUGAUACAUGUUAUCUGCUUGUGACUUUAGUACCGUCCAAAGAAAUUGAAAUGUGAAAUAAUUGAAGAUGCAAAUUGGUUGAUUUCACGGGCCUGGCCUCUGGCAAAGUGAAAUGUUGGCCACGCACUAUACCAGUAAAGUGUCAACAUUGUAGCAUAAGGAAAUUGCGGCAUCUCAGCUGGAUUUUGAGAGUCACUAUUUCGUAUAAUCAGUCCCAUUUGUUCGUGGGGACUCACAUUCUGUCCUAUUGUGGACUCACAAAUAUUUAACAUGAUUUUGAUAUUUUGAUAACUACUUAAACCGCAUUUCCUUGAUAAUUAAAGAAAAAGAGAAGUGAAUGAAGCAAAAGAUACUGAUGACCAUAAUUAUGUAAAUAAAUACAAGACUUUACAAUAGAUUAGACCACCAAUUUGUGCUUUUUCGUCCAAAAAUAAUGCAUCUGCUUUAACAAGAUACGAGUGAAUUGGGGCAUAUCUUUCUUUCAUAAUGUAAACUUGCCAAAAUACAUGUAAUCUGCUGGUGAAAUAAUUUUAUAAAACAAAGGCUUAAAGUUAAAGCUGACUAAAAAUAUUGGUGUACGUCAAGAACGCUACGGGGAAAAUUUAACCGCGAGCUGCAGUCUGCAGUCCCCAGCAAUCCGGGAAAAGGCUGAGGUGGUGCGGGCCUGCCCACUAAUUUGGCAGGUCUGAUGGGAUUUAUAAAUAAAAAUAAUGUAAUUUUAUAUAUUUUUUAAAUAAAAAAUUUGUUGAUGCCGUUGUGAGAUCCAUUGGAUCCAAGGUCUUGAAGAGGAAAGAUCACUAUGGCUGCAAGGUCUGGAAGAGGCAAGUCCAAUAAAGCCAAGGCUGACAAGAAGAAGAAAGAAGAGAAAGGUUUCAAUUGUUAAGCCUUAUUAUUCACUUCUUUCAUUGGAAAGUGCUUUUUGUAAAGUGCUUUUGCAGUCUAGCUUCCGUAUGUUCAUUGAUUUCUUUUGUUGUGCAGUAGUACCCAGUGUUCUUGAUAUCACAAUCAUCACCCCAUAUGAAUCACAAGUUGUUCUCAAGGUAUACAUAUAUACUUAUCAUUAAUACUUUCUCGUUUUGCCCUCACCAGCUAUUAUUAGGAUAUUAUUUUGUAAAACUUUAUAAAUAUAAAUGAAUUAUUAAUUAAUCAUCUUUUUCUUGUUUGAUUGAAAUUUGCUCGAAGGGCAUCUCCACUGACAAGAUACUUGAUGUGAAAAAAUUGUUGGCUUCCAAUGUAGAAACUUGCCACCUCACAAAUUAUUCUCUCUCUCACGAGGUAUAUAUAUAUAUAUUUUAUUAUCUCUCUUUUUUUUAAUUAUAUAAGAUUAUGAAUAAUGAUAUUAAGCACUAGAUACUAUUUUUUUCCACCUUAUUUUUAUUUGUUUAUUUCUUUAUGAUAUUAAUGCAUUAUUAGUUGUUUUUUUUUAUCAGGUCAAGGGGUAGAAAUUGAAUGAUAGAGUAGAGGUUGUUACUCUGAAGCCCUGUUUGCUCAGAAUGGUUGAAGGUAGGUGAAGCUCUCUCGUGUCAAAAUUUCUGAAUUAAAAAGUCUCAUGCAUGUGGAUGUGGGUCUCAUCUUAUUUGUUAUUUUUAAGAGUUCUGCUAUUUACCUCGGGUUAAACCCCGAAAGCUAAAACAAAACGACGUCGUUUCCUCUUCUUCAUGAAACGCUACCGUUUCACCCUAGCAAAAGCAAACGUUCCUCUCCUCUUCAUUUUCGUCUUCCUCUCCUGACUCCUCUUCGUUUCACCAGGGAACGACAUUCGUUUUGUUCGUUUUGUUUAAGAUCCAAAUCAAAGAAAUUUCCUUUUAAACAAAUCUGCCAUUUGUUUUCUCCUUUGAAAUUUCCUCUUAAAAAAUCUGCCAUUCGCGCAGGCAUGGUCACCGUCAACGUGGCAGGCAUCACGCGCAUCUCUCAUUGAACUCAUGAAGCGUCACAGUUAUCACAGCCGCAGGUAAUGCUUUGAUCUUUAGCUUUUCUAGGUUACGGUAAAAUGGGGGCAAUUUUGAUAGCUAUCAUCAUUUCCGUUUUAUUUAAUUUUCAGUUGAAAUAGAAUGUUAAGGAAAUAAGUGUGUUAAAUUGCAAUUGGUUUGUAAUUUAUGCUAAAUUGGUCUGCAAUUUGUGCUUGAGUUGGUCUGCAAUUUGUGCUUGAAUUGGUUUGCAUUUGUGCUGAAUUGGUCAGGAAUUUGUGCUGAAUUGGUCUGCAAUUUGUGCUGAAUUGGUCUGUAAUUUGUGCAGAAUUGGUCUGUAAUUUGUGCUUGAAUUGGUCUGCAAUUUGUGCUUAAAUUGGUCUGGAAUCACCAAAUAGUCCAGAAUUGUUGAUGUAACUUUUACAACUCUUAUAAAUAAUAGAAAGCAAGUUAAUUAGAAGCACCAAAAUAGUUCAGAAUCACCAAAAUAGAAGCACUAAAAUAGUCCAAAAUUGUUGAUUUUGUGGACACACACAGACACACACACAGGGAGAGAGAGACACGCACAGAGAGAGAGAGAGAGAGAGAGAGAGAGACACACACACACACACACACACACUGACACACACACACAGACACACACACAAAGAGACACACAAACACAGACACAGACACACACAUACACACAGCUUUGUUCAGCCCACUUUAGUAGCAAAUUCAAAUACCAAGAAACUGAGUUGGCCUUAUAAAACAUUGUUCUGGUUUUCUUUUCAUUAUUAACUGUAAUUGUAUCCCUUUUUGAGCUGUUUCUUUCCAACGGUCUAUGGCUUUACAAAUAAUGUCAUCCAACACAACCGAGAAUUGAAUCUCAUUGCAAAUGUGUAAUGGAUGUGGUGAUCAGAUGGAGCUGUUAACGUCACGCACAACAAAAAAUCCAAAUUGCAAAUUUUGGAUUUGUAGAGGAUGUAACAACUUUCAAUGGGCAGAAGAUCGUAAAUCUAGCGAAGAGAAAAUAGACUUGUUAGCGGAUGAGGUUAGGAAGUUGGCCUUGGAGAUUGAGUGUUUGUCCGUUAAAUUUCAACUAUUGCAUAAAGAACUUGAGCAUAUGUGAGAUCGUGAAGUGCAGAGGCGAUUGUUGGACGAUGAACUUCGAAAGAGAGAGGCACUACGAUAUGAUUUUAUUAAAUUAAUCAUGAUUGUUGUAUUAUGUUUUCUAUUCAAGUAUUGUUUUUAAGUUGUUUCAAUUUGUACUAUGUUACUGGAAAAGACUUGUAUUGUAGAAUUUGACCACUAUAUGUAAUAGCAUUUUCAUGUUAAAUAUAAGUUUUCGAUUGUUUGAAUUAAUUCAAAGUAUUCUGAAUUUAGAAUUUGACCCCCAGAAUACUUCUCAAAAUUAUACUAUGUCCCAACUCAUUCCAAUAUGUUCCAAAUAGAUCCAUUUUCAGAAUUUACAAAGUCUAAAAUUUAAAAAAUAUCGAAAUACACAUACACCAAGUUACAUUAGCUUUACAAUAAUACAUAAAACAUAAGCUAACUUUGUUGAUUCGUCAAGCCAAUUCCAAUGAACUUCGAUCAUGUGCUUGGUUCAUUAGUUGAAAACUCCCCUCGAUUGGCCUCCUCGAAAUUUUGUUGCGGAAAAUAUUGCAAGUUUGCGUGAUGGACUCCGCUGUAAUUCAUCCAAGACUGAUAAUAAGGGAGGAAAAAUGCAUGUUCUAGGGGUGCUUGCUGUGCUAGCUGUUAUACAAAAAAAAAAAAUUAUAUACAAAUUAUCAAACAUAUGACAAUGAAUGUAAAUAGCAAAAAAAAAAAAAUAUUACCAUAGCCAUAUGGCUCUCUUGUGUUGGGAUUGUAGUAGCCACUUGAGAAGAAAAAUCAUGUAUCUCCGAGUCCUAGAAAUAUGGUUAACACACAUUUAAAGUAUAUAUUAAAUUUAUUUAAAAUGAAUGUAUUAAAUAUAAAUGCAAUCAACAUACAUUUAAAGUAUACAUUAAAUUAAUUUAAAAUGAAUGUAUUAAAGUAAUUACCUCUACAGUUGUGCUUGUCGAAGCAUUAUUCGACUUCUGUUUUGGCCUCUUAAAUUGCUUUUGCUUUCUUUGACUAGGUGGACGAUCUUUACGCCGAGUUACUACUGGAUCAUAUAUAAUUUUGAUACAGCUUCCUGAUCCACUAUAAAUGGUUGUAUCGUGACCGUCACUUCGAACAUUCAGAGAUACAUCCUCCAUUGCUUUCUCGAUCCAACCCAUAAUAUUUUUAUGGCUUUCUUCAUUUUUUGAAGUUACCUCAGCAACAUCAUAAAAAUCAGUGCACUCCUCUUUAUAUCGCUGAUGUUCAAUGCUCGAACUUCGUGCAUCAUAAUUGACUUUGACUUUACUAUAGAAUCUCCGCACAUCUUUCCUCUAUCUUCGUAGAAUAUACUUUUCAGGCAGUAAUUGUAUACGGUUACGUGACAACACUGCGAUGGCGUGUCUGCAAAGAAUGCCCUUAUAUUCAAACAUUGAACACACACAAUGAACUUCACCCUCAUCUUUUGCAAAAAUGACUUGAAAAGUAUUUUCUCUACUAUUUUCAUCGUUUUCAAUAACUUCAUAUUCUAAUCCACCACAACUGAAAACCUCACAAUAUAUCUUAUUCACCAGCUCUUGCUGAAAUUCUUGAAACUUGGAAAUAGUGUACACUUCUUCAACUUGCUUCUCCAUUGCAAAACUGGUACGACAUGGCAUCCGUUGGCUAAAACACCUAACAUCCGCUUGCCAUUCUUUCUCAAUUUUACUUUCCAUUGCUUUCUCAUAUUUCUCCACAAAUUGCUUCAAAGUUGUUUUCGAGUUAACAUACCCAUCAAAGAAAGCAUUCAUACUUUCACUACGCUGAGUGGUUGGCAUUCCAGCCCAAAAAGAAGUUUUUACGAAACAUGGAACCCAACGAUUUCUUUCCUCAUAUAAACCAUUUAACCACUGAUUACUAAGAUCAUAUUUAUCUAACAUGUCAUGCCAAGCUUUCUCGAAUUCAACAGGAGUAUAUGAAUCAUAAACAAUAGAAUGUAAUGAAACUCUAAUGGCAUGAUAUUCAACAUACCUUCCUAACUUCUCAGGCACCUUUUUCAGUAUAUGCCAUAAACACCAUCGGUGCCUAGUGUUUGGAAAAACAAUCUCAAUCGCAUUUUUCAUCUCUUUGUCUUGAUCUGUAAUGAUUCCAAGGGGAGGAGAGCCAGACAUGCAUGAUAGCCAUGUGUCAAAUAUCCACGAAAAUGUCUCCGUGUCCUCAUGCGAAAUCAACCCACAUCCUAACAAAAUUGAUUGACCAUGAUGAUUAAUUCCUACAAAAGGAGCAAAUGACAUGUCAUACUUGUUUGUAAGGUAUGUGGUAUCAAAUGUGACCAUAUCUCCAAAGUUUUUAUAGGCUGCCUUACUCCUUGGAUCGGCCCAAUAUACAUUUUUUAACCGGCCCUCCUUAUUUAGGUCAAGACUGAAGAAAAACCCAUCAUUUUCUGUUUGCAUUUUCUUAAAAUGUCUCUGAAUUGCAACAACAUCCCCUUCUCCGAGCCUUAAUCGCCUCACCUUGUCAAUAUGAUUUCUAGCAUCUUUUUCUAAGAAUGAGACAUUUUCAAAGCCACCAGCCUCAACAACAAUCGACUUAAAACUUUGAGCCAUUUUAAUUCCAGCUUCAUCAUUUAUUUCAAGCUGCUUUUUAACAAAAGGACUAAUGGUACGGUUGCAUCGAUAAUACCUACUCUUGCUCGGACUCACGGCACGGUUGUGUUCAAGGAUCAUAUUUCCAAUUACCCAUUUUCUACUAACAAAAUCCAAACGUCCUCCAAGUUUAGCAUUGCAUUCAAUUUUUUGGUUUGGUUGAAGCCGCAAAACAUUAGUGCUUUUGGCUUUUGAAUUGCCAUUUCGCCCACAAGUAAAUGUCACAUAUCUCAAACUCCCAUCAUCCCCUUUUCUACAAGAUCUCCACAUCACUGGAAACCCCUCUUAUAGGCCAUAAGCCUUAUAAUAUUCAAACAUUUCAUCAGAACUAUUAAAAGACAUCCCAACUGCUGGCUCAACAACUUUUUCCACCACCAAUUCCUCAUUAUUUUCUUCCAAAUCAGCCCCCUGCAAAUCCUGCAAUUCUUUAACUUCAUCAACCUCCUCCACUUACUUCAAAUUAUCCAUUAACUGCUGCAAAUUAAAACAAUUCAAUAUAUUAUUAUUUAUUUUUCGUGAAUUCAUUAAAUUUAGAAUAAAAAAAUUAAAAACAAAAUGAAACAACUACUGAAGAUUCAAAUUUAAACAAUUCAAGCUUGUUGUAAAAGCAUCGCAAUUGGAAACUGAAAAUGUCAAAUAACGGCAAGCCGCAAAACAUUAACUAAUAGAAGUCCGUAGGCAUAAUUAAUACUCAAAUAACUUCAAAGUGUGGUUGAGCCAGACUAAGUUUAACUUAUAGCUAGCUCAAGCGAAAAUAUUGUAGGUCUUACAUGCGCAUGAGCGAAUUCCAACAAAAACAAGUUCAUGACUUACCACAAACUCAAACGUUAAUUCAUGUUGAUGCUAUCUCCAACUUAUCUAUUUAGGUUACGAACUAUAUUCUCAGCAGGGGUUAAAUUAUCUUCUCGAUUGAAUAUAAAGAAGAGAACAUUUGUAUACUCAAAUAUCUUCGUAAUCGAAAAUGAGAUAGAAAUUCGAAAACAAAGUUUAAUACAAACAUGACAACAAAAAUGAGUCAAAAAUUCGUAGUCGAAACUGAAACUUCGAAAAUUUGAAGAUUCGAAAACAAAAUGCUGCCAAAAGAAAACAGUACCUUAGCUUGUGCAAAGCCACGUAUAAUCGAAACUGGAAUCUGUAAAUGCCGAAACUUAGUCUUAUGUCAGAAAAAUUUAACAGCUGCUGUUAAUGCCGAUGAGGUUAGGAAUCAUGGACAAUGUCGAGACUCUAUCUUGUUCAAGCUUCUGCUUUUGCCUUGUUUGAGCCAAAUCUUAUCACCUUCGAGGAAUAUAAGAGCUUAAAGAUUUUGCAUUUCACUCGGGUGUGGUGAAUCGAAGAGGAAGAGCUUAAAGAUUUUGCGUUUUUCUCAGUUCAUAAAGUAGCUGUUUCUUUGCGUUUUUUCUGCUUUAGUUGGUUUUGUUUUUACUAGGCUGAAACGACUACGUUUCAUGGAAGCAAAAAGGAAAAAAAAAAGAAAGAAACCAAAACGGCAUCGUUUUGGUUUAAUUCGGGGUUUGACGCGGGGAAAGUAGCAUUUUCCUAUUUUUAAUUGUUAACAUUUAGAUCUUUUUAGUUCUACAUCCAUAGCCAAACUAUUUUAAGUAAACUAUAUUCAUUUUAUUGUAUGUUUUUUAAGAAUUUUUUAAUUCGAAAUAAUUUUUUUAAUAUUGUUGAAAAAGACAGGUUAAAGUAAAAAAAUUAUUGACUAAAUAAAUAAAUAAAUGACAUUAUUUUAUUUUUUAACAUUAAAAAAAACCAAUUUGAUGCAGUCCACUUAGUCCUGCACACUUGGAACGUUACCAUGCUUUUUAGUGCUGUACAUUUUGGACUCAAUUGUCCUUGUCAUUUCAAGUAAAAGUUGAAGCCGUCUCAAAAGUAAAAUAAUAGGGUCCGCCUAAGUUACAUUUAACGUAACUUACGGCUGACCCGCAAAAUAUCAUUAAUCCCCCUAUACUCUAUGUUAUUUACAAUAUAUUUAUAAGUAUUAUAAAAUUUUCUGUAUUGUAAAAUUUCGUUGAACCUCUUGUACUCUGUUUUAUUUUAAUGAAACUCUUGGAGUACGAAUUUGCCCCCUAUAAUUUUAAAUUCCCAAAAUACCCUACAGUUAAUUAAAAAUAUAAUAAUAAUUAAAUAAAUUAUAAUUAUAAUAAUUAUUUUAUUAUAAUUAUAAUAAUUAUUUUAUUAUAAUUAUAAUAAUUAUUUUAUUAUAAUUAUAAUAAUUAUUUUAUUAUUUUAUUAUAAUUAUAAUAAUUAUUUUAUUAUAAUUAUAAUAAUUAUUUUAUUAUAAUUAUAAUUUUUUAAUGGAUUAUUAUUAUUAUUAUUAACAAGAAUAAAAAGUAUUAUAACUAAUUAAUUUUUAGUUAAAAUGUUAAUAAUAACAUUAACAAUAACUAUUAUUGAUAAUUAAUUUUUGAAUAAUAAUAACAGUAACAAUAACAAUAAUUAAAAUACAAAAGAAUAAUUAUGAUAAAAAUUAAUGAAGGAUUUUAUAAUAAUUUGUUACAAUUUAAUUUAUUCUGAUUUUGAUUUUAAGACAAAGUAAACAAAUAAAUGGUAAUACAGCUCAUUCUAAUUAUGAUUCAUGCCGUUCAAAUAAAUAAAUUAUUAUGAUUCCAAUUCUUUAUUUGGAUUCUAGAUAUGUCGAUUCUAACUUAUUAUGUUUUCAGUAAAUUUUGAUUUAUGUUUAGUGAAUGCACUAUAAAAUUCAUAAUACUUAUAAAAAAUUGUAAAUAAUAUAGAGUGGUCUAAUUGAAUAUAAAGUGAUUUACAAUUUUAUAGUGCAUUCACUAAAAAUGAAUCGAAAUUAGUUGGAAACAUAAUGAGUUAAAAUUGGAUUAGCUAGAAUUAAAAUGAAAAAUUGAAAUCAGAAUAAUUUAUUUACUUGAACUGCAUGAAUCCUAAUUAGAAUAAACUGUAUUACCAUUUAUGUGUUUACUUUGUCUUAGAAUCAAUAUCGAAAUGAGUUAAAUUGUAACAAAUUACUAUAAAAUUCUUAAUUAAUUUAUUAUAAUUAUUACUUUGUAUUUUAAUUAUUGUUAUUGUUAUUAUUCGUCAAAAAUUAAUUAUUAAUAGUAAUUAUUGUUAAUUAUUAUUAUUGAUAUUUUAACUAAAAAUUAUUGUUAAUUAUUGUUAAUAGAUUAAUUAAUUAUAAUACUUUUUAUUGUUGUUGUUAAUAAUAAUAAUAAUCCAUUUAAAAAUUAUAAUUUUAUUUAUAAUUAUAAUAAAAUAAUUAUUAUAAUUAUAAUUUAUUUAAUAAGUAUUAUAUUUUUAAUUAAAUGUAGGGUAUUUUGAGAACUUAAAAUUAUAGGGGGCAAAUUCAUACUCCAAGAGUUUCAUUAAAAUAAAACAGAGUACAAGAGGUUCAACGAAAUUUUACAAUACAGAAAAUUUUAUAAUAUUUAUAAAUAAAUUGUAAAUAAUAUAGAGUAUAGAGGGAUUAAUGAUAUUUUGCGAGUGUUGGGUUAAAUGUAACUGAUCCAAAAUAAUAAUGUGCAAUUAAGUAACUGGCCUAAACUUUAGAAAUUUCAGAAGUUACAGUAUACGCAGGUCACAUCUAGGACCAUUAUUAGUUUAAUCAUUAAAUGACAAAAUUUUGCCAAUCUUGAGGGGGCUACUUAAAAAUGCAAGCAUCUCGUCCCUUGCCUGCUUCAUAGAUGCUCUUACUCACCCCCCCCGUCAUCUCACUUGUGCAAACCAAAGAAAAAAGAAAGAUUAUUAUUUUCCAUUUAUUACACAAAAAACAAUAAUUCCUUUUUAUUGCUCCAUGUUUAUUAUUUUAUUCUAUUUCUCCAGAAUCUCUCUUUAUCAAUUAAAUUUAUGAUAUAGAUAUUGAAGAUUUGCUUAAAUCAGAAAACUUGUUCAUAUUUCUGGUCAAUAUAAUACAUCCCUUAAAAGGUAAAAAUAGGGAAAAAAAAAAACAAGAAUGAUGAUUUUUUUUUUUUUUUUGGUUUUGACUGUUCUAGACAAUAAAGAAAUAUUUUGAAAGGGUCGGAGAUUACAAUGAAUCUAUACACUUGUGGAAAUAUUUUUAAGGCAUAAAUAAGUGCAACUUGAGAGCAUUUUGUUUUUUGUUCCACUAUAUAUUUUUAUACAACUGCCGCCUUAGAUUGGGUGCAUCACUUCAUUAUAUAAUCAGUAAAAAUUAAUUAUAUAAAUGGAAUCAUUCUCUAUUACAAUUAUUCGACUUCAUGAAGUAACAACUGAUGUUUUUUACCACAUUGUCAAAAGAGUUCAACUUUUAUUUGAGAAUACACCAUAUAAAAGAAAAAGAAAAAAAUAAAAACAAGAGUACACCAUAGAAAAGAAAAAAAUAAAACAAGUUUUAGAAUUAGUAGAUUAGAAUUGUUAUAAGAAAGAGUUGUCCCUAUAACUUCAAUAAGCUAGCCAUGUUUCUGAAGUUUGUUUUACUACCCUUACCAAACUUUUUCUAGUUGAUAUUAAUAACUUUAGUUUAGUAAACAGAAGCAAGAAGGUUAGAAUUAAUAACUUUAUCGUGAAUAAUUAAUAUGAUUACAGUUUAAUAAAAUUAUAUGUAAAGGCUUAUUUAAAGAGCGAAAAUUUUAUUUUUUUAUCAUUCUUUAGUGCUUAUAAUUAUAAUUUAAUCUAGAAGUAUUUUAAUUGUAAAAAUUAUUUAAAAAAAUAAGUUUGACGAAUAGUUUAGAGCUUAUAAUUAUUUUCUACUUAUAAUUAAGUUAAUAUUUAAUAGAAAGAACUAAAAUAAUAAAAGCAAAAACCUUUUCCGGCAAUUCCUUGUUAUUUACAUUUUUGGCACUGUCCUUGACAGAGGACUACACCGAGGAAUCUCAGGCCGUGGCACACGUGCGGCGGCUUCUCGACAUCGUCGCGUGCACCACACGGUUCUCCAAGUCCAGAAACUCCCGAUUGCCGCCAUCGUCAGAGUCAUGUGCCAAAAAGAACGACAGUAGGCCCCACCAACCUUCACCAAACUCUGCCGCUCUGUCUGAUGGAGCAGCAACAGCAGCAGCAGAUAACCGAAGCGGGCCCCGCGCCACGUCAUCGCCAAUUUCAUCGGCGGUUUCUCCGAGUCUGGACAUGGCAGCCAUUCACCCGACGCCGAAACUCUCCGAGUUUUACGACUUCUUCUCUUUCUCUCACCUCACUCCCCCCGUCUUAAGUAAGCCUAAUGUUCAUUUAUAUAUUUGUCUUCGUUUCUUACAUGGUUGAUCAAAAAAAAAAAAAAAAGAAAAGAAAGAGGAAAAUGAUAUAAAUAUAUGUGAUUUAUUUGAAUAUGAAAUUUGUUUAUUGAUUUUAAUUUUUAAUAAUUUUGAUUUUGAAGAUUUGAGAAAAUGUGAACGCAAAGAAGGAGACAAGCGCGACAGUGAUUAUUUUGAAAUUCAGGUGCCAUUUAAUAUAAAGUUCUGAUUAUUGUUGUUUGUUGUUUAUGGACUAAUUAAUUGUAGAGUUAUUCAACUCGUUAUUUUUGCUGAUGAAUUGGCCAAUGAGUGUUAAAGAUUUAAUAAUCAUUGUCCGCUAAUUAAUAAGAAUGCAUGGAUUAUUUUCAUGUCUUUGUAAGUAAUGUGAGUAUUUGAAAGUGCGGGAAACUGUAUUUUGUGCUUACAGAUAAAAAUCUGCAAUGGAAAGCUUAUACAAGUAGUUGCAUCAGUAAAAGGGUUCUAUACUUUGGGAAAGCAGUUUUUCCAAAGCAACUCCCUGGUGGAUCUUCUGCAAAAUCUCAGUCGAGCUUUUGCCAAUGUGGGUACUCAAUAGUUGAAUCUACAGAUUAUUUUUUUCUUUUUUAUCUGAAUGCAUCUUUUUUUCCUUUGUAAAUUCAAUUAGCUUACCCUUCAAUUGUUUUGUUAAUAAUUAUGGUCAUUAUGCGUGAUGCAGGCAUAUGAAUCCUUAAUGAAAGCUUUUGUUGAACAUAAUAAGGUUACAAUUUCUGUGCUGACAUAGUUUAUUACCAAUUCAAAUGUGAUUUUAACUUGAUUUUACUGAUAUAGUAUAUUCAUUAUCCUUCUUCAGUUUGGUAAUCUUCCCUAUGGAUUUCGAGCUAAUACAUGGCUUGUACCUCCAUCUGUUGCUGAGUCUCCAUCAAAUUUCCCUUGCCUACCGGCAGAAGAUGAGAAUUGGGGUGGCAAUGGCGGAGGCCAGGGAAGAGAUGGAGAACAUGAUUUACGACCAUGGGCGACGGAAUUUGCUAUACUGGCUAGGCUUCCUUGCAAAACUGAAGAGGAGAGGGUGGUUAGAGAUCGGAAGGCCUUUUUGCUUCAU
rnacentral:lncRNA from 1 species